rnacentral:lncRNA from 1 species
UUGCGUUGUCAUGCACAGAAGCUGGUGCUGGAUGGAGGGGUUGCAAACGGGGAAGAGUACAUGGAGACGCAGUACUAGGAUGGGGUCAACUGCAUCGACAAGCAGCAUCACACGGUAAGAUUAGAUUGGAGCCCUUGAUGUUUUUUGUGCGAUUAUGUAGUUUGUAGACGCGACUUGUUUAUCUGCAGGCAUUUCAUGUCUACUGCUGUGUUCUCUAAGUAUGAUUUGUGCUCCAGGACGCCUUAUGGAAUCAACUAGUAACCUCUCACUGCGAGCUUGAGCUUUAGUUCAUAGUAAUAGCGUGUAAACUGUUGAUUGUAGACACAAAUGCUAGAUCUAGAGCAGGUCCAUCAUUGAGUUCUGCUAGAAUUGGCUGGCUAACACAAGCACUGGAGUAAGCUAGAUCAAGUAAGCCCAAUGCCAUUGCAAAGAGGUGUAACUUGGAAAAAAAAAUCACCCUAUUUAAGAUUACAAUGGAGUUCUGUUUUAGUUGAUGGCUACACAUUGUCAUAUCAGAUGGUACCCUAUGACAGCACAAUGACAAAUGGAGUAGCAAAUGGGCAGCAGUGCGCCACCAAUAGGUUAAUCUUGGGAAGCCAUCGGUGGAAGUAGAUUAUUUUCAUCACGGAGACACUCUCCAACGGAACUCCCCAAAUUAUUUGUGUUUGUCUGUCAUCCUUUUGGCAAAACACAUUAGUGAGGUGUUCAAGAAUAAGAAACCUUUUAAGAAUCUACUUGUUGCACACAACAUAACAAGAAAUUUGAAACCUUGUAAGAAACUACUCGUUGCACACAAUGUUCAAAUUCCUAUAGAAAAGCUUGGUCGUCAGCCAUAUGUAGCUGGUAAAAGUCCACACUUCGUUGAAGUUCUCGAUCCAGCAGUUCAUUGCGUUCUUUGAGCGUGUUGUGAAAAGCAUUCAAGAUGUUUUAGGCUUGCAACGGAGUAUCUUCCUAUCUGGUACUUGUUAGGAACUAGGACGCUCUGGCAGGGAGAUCUUUCAUAGUGCUUGACAUUAUUCAGAACCAGUGGUGGAUGAAGCCAGCUGUUUCUAGUUCAGGACUGGAUUGGUUUCUAUGUAGCUUGGGAGCACAUGGACAUGAAUUGGAGGUUCCACACCUCUAGUGACUUCUUUAAAACCUAUCAACUAAAAGAAGCAUCGAUUGUAGAAAUAAUGGUGGAGAGUACCAAUUCCAGGAAAUCAUUAGAGCUAAAAUGCAAACUUGCAUAAUUCUGCGGGAACAUGCAAACCGGAAGGAAGCAUGGAUGAAGCUGAUGGAACAUGCAAACUAGAAGGAAGGUUAGCAAUAAACUCAGCAAAUUUCUUUCAUCAAUUUUAACCAGCGCAUAAGCUCUAUGUCCCAGCAACCCAUGAUUUCAUAAGUGGAUUCCAUAAAAGCUUGCUUACUCUUGAGUUAUCUUCACCUUAAUAAUUAAUUAAUUAUGUAUAUUCAGAACCAAAAUAUUUUACUUGUUGACAGAUUUAUAUGUGAAUCAAAUUCUCUUCAUUUAUACUAGGUAGACCUUUCUUGCACACAUAAUGGUUUGGCAUCAACUUAAAUUUGAACGGAAAAUACUGUAACACGUUAAAUUCCAAACUUUUCUGGUCUAUAUUGCUGAUGGAAAGCGCCUCAUAAAAUCUCAAGAUCAGGAUGAGUUUGAUUACGCAUGCUGUUGUGAAGUUUCUAUACUAAAUAUGAACUUUUACAAUAGCACUAACAGGUUGUACAAAGUGCCAUACGCAUACCACCUUCAGCUUAUAGUUCUCAGUGAAUUGACCGAAUUUGAAGAGAAAGUCCUUCCCAAGGUCAAAGCCAAAAAGCGCAAUUGGAACAAACUUCAAAUAACCAAAAGGCGCUAUAACUUGGAACUAUUACUAUCAGCCAAAGUGGUAAAAUUAGCGGGCUUUGCUUCUAUAAUUAGAAUAUCAGCUAACGUCGUCAUCACAUGUGUGUGGUAUGCUCAUAAGUAAAUACCAAUAAUGAACCAUGUACUAAUUUGCAUCCAUCUCCAUCAUUAAUUGAUAUGGAAGGCAAUAAAUAAUGAAACUACUAAGGAUCAUACACUGUAGGAAAUUAUUUAGUUAUACACGUAUGACAAACCCUAGCAAAAAUUUAUUACUUCCCUGUAGCAAGCCGCGGCUAUUACUAAGCUAACUAAAUGUUAUUAACUAUACGCGGUUUGCAAAAAAGUAAGACAUACUGGUGGCUUCAUCUCAACACGAAUUAAGCAUAGUUAGACAAAUGCAGCUUCAUCUCAACACAAAUUAAGCAUAUAGUUAUAUGAAUGCGAUAUACUUAUGGCUACUAAGCUACUCCCAUGGAUUGCUGAAAAUUAACAUUGUAUGAAUGCAUUGUCCAUAGCCAAACCCAAGAGGAUAAUAACUCCACUGCUUGUGCAUGUUCAAUUGGUCUGCAUUCGGCAAAGGAAGUUCCUCCUUUUACUUUUUGCUAGGAACUCUUAACGGAUCCUUGUAUAUCCCUCACCAGGUCAAGGAACUUGAGCCUAGAAAUGCACAUAGGGGGAGAGCCCAGAAAUGGGCAUAAGGGCCAAACUGGAACAAGGAUUAUCUUAAUUGCAUCAGUGUUGGUGAUUUCAAGGUCUUUUCUUGUGGAGCUGCCUAUUUUCUCCAUUCCAUUUGAAGGCUAACUUUGUUGUCACGAAACGCCCAAAAGCCCAAGACAAAACAAAUCAUCAAGCAUUAGUGAUUCGUGCUGUUAGGCUCAUUUACAUAGCUUUAUAUGCGACCUUUUUGGGUAUCAAAUGGUAAGAGCUACUUGAGGAAAUCCAAUAAGUGGGUUUUAAUAAAAUAAUAAAAAUAUCAUUGACAUCAAUGUCCAGUCAAACAGUAGUGCUACAAAAUGUGUGUAAUGUGACAUGGUAGUAUGGGCCAUCAAGCAACAAGUUACUUAAUGUACUACACAUUUAUAACAUCAAUCUGAAUUGGGAAUUGUGCCCAGCGGAAACUCGCUGUUUUAUUUCAUUCAGAUGCGAAGGAUACAAAAGUGGCAUGUACACAUAGAACCACACAUAGAACCCAAGUAUGUACUCAACCUUGUUCGAUACAUUCAUCACACAUAACUUAGUCGUUCUAUGUGUUCAGCUUUUGGUCUGUGUUACGCGUUUUCCAUGCGUGCAUCUCACCGGAAUCAAUUAAGCAGUCGGCUUGUGCAUGUAUGUACGUAUACGGCGGCAAGAAUACAUCCAGCUGCUUGCACUUGUGCGUCGAUUCCCAACAACCACAUGAGCUCGAAAGACCACCGUCGGCACCUCUACCGGCCGAAAAAACAAGGCCGUCCUAUAGUGAUAUCCAAACAAUCACUAAGUGUAGCUUGCUAGGCACAUACUGUACAACAAUCACUUGAUUUUGCACAUGGGACCGCAUGGAGGAAGCAUCGACACCAAUAUGCUUGGUGAGCUCAUGCUUCACAAGGUCACACGCAAUACUGACAGCACUUGCACUACCUGACAAAAGAUUUUGGUGUACUGACCAAAACACCAAAAUCCUCAAGCAACUACCAUGGCCAAGUCAUCUAUAUUGUCAAAAGAGCCAUAGCUCACAACUCAACCUCUGCACUUGAGCGACAAGCCGCAACUUGUUUCUUAAUCUUCUAGGCAAUCAGAACCAGCAAGAAAAACACAAUAAGCAGAAAUCGAUUGUUGAUGUAAAGGACCACUGCCCAAGUAGCUUACGAAUAUGCCUGAAGCUGUAACGAACUGGAGUGUCUAAAGAAACCGAAGGAGGCAGCUGUUAAACCCGAGUGGGAAACGAGACAUGACUCCGGAUGUGAACUAUAUAUAGGAGAUAUGGAAUGAGUGAAAGCUAGAUAGGCAAGACUCCCAACAUGAUGGCAAUAGCUAAUCUGAUCAUAAAGUGGCUCACCAUCAGAAGCUCGAAGGUGGACAUUGAGGUCCAUUGGAGUCUUAGUAGCAUGCUGAUGGGCAAGAGAAGCACAAGCAAGAUGAUCCUGGAUGUAUGUACUUCUUGUAGGUUAUUUGUGUGUUUGAGAGCGUGUUAAGCAUAUCUCAAAAAAUAGUGGAGUUUGAGUGAUUCAACUCAAACACCUAUUUCCUACAAAAAUCCCUGAAAAAAUCAACAAUGUCAUCUGCACAAAAGAUUGUGAAGACCUGGCAAAGAAGAAAUUUUACCAGAGCAUCGAAAUCUCUGUCAUUGGAGACGUUGUAGAACAUCGAAAUCUCCGUCAUUGUAGACGUUGUGGGACUCCUCGCUCUUUUCUCGAAAAUCCCCGCGCACACAUCUUGAUGCCGAGCAUGACCCCUACUCAUGCCCAUCGGGGUCUGGAGCGAUAUCUAGGAGGUCGGCCUUGCUGAAGAAAGGGCCCUGUAAUGCAGUGUUCAAGUUGUGAAGCCCGCAUAACUACCUCUCUCCUGUAGCUCAUGGUGUUAGACCUUUCAGCAUGAGCAUUGAUAGUUGUGGAUGACACUAGGAGAGUUGGGACAAUUUUCGUUGGUUUAUUUCUCACACAAUGCCAUGCCAACCUGAGGGGUUGGGGAUACAUAUUUAUAGGCUGCUAGCCAGCCAAGCAUAUGCUAAGAUGCUGCUAAGAUGCCAGUCUAAGAUGCUAGUCUAAGAUGCUAACUGACUGUCCUUGAUGGUCAAGAACAGAACUCUAUCCUAACAGCCAGUCCUUUAUGGUCCAGGAUUUUAUCCUCCUAACUGCCACAAGGACCAUGUGCUGCAGCCCCACAAAUACCCUAAUACACAGACUUAUCCAUCAUUCUCCCCCUAAGUCUUGUACGUCGUCUUGUGGGAGAGUUGAAUCAUCCCGAUCCUAGAGCAAAGCUCGUGGAACUUGAUCCUCCCAAGGGGCUUGGUGAGCAGGUCUGCGAGCUGGUCCGUGGUGUUGAUGUAGCUCGCCUUGAUGCUCCCUUCUUCCAAGCAGCUGCGGAUGAAGUGAUACCUCAGUCGGAUGUGCUUGCUCCGUUCGUGAAAAACGGGGUUCUUUGCCAGAGCCAGGGCGGACUUGCUGUCCACCAGGAGCUGCACCGUUCUGGUGUCUUGAACGAGAAGAUCACCAAGCAGUUGAGCGAGCCAGAGCGCCUGAGUGCAGGCGGUGGAGGCCGCUAUGUACUCAGCCUCACAGCUGGACAGGGCCACCACCUGCUGCUUGACUGAUUGCCAGCUCACGAGACACUUGCCGAGGAAGAAGAGGAUCCCGCUCGUGCUCUUGCUGGUGUCGAUGUCGCCGGCAUGGUCACUGUCGCUGUACCCGACGAAGUGUGCCGCCCCCGGACACCUAGGGUAGUGGAGGCCGUGGUCGAGGGUCCCUGCUACGUAGCGGACGAUCCUCUUCACUGCCUGCUGGUGUUCCAUCGUCGGUCGCUCCAUGAACCGACUGACAUAGCCGACGGAGAAUGCCAAGUCUGGCUGUGUGUGGGCGACGUAGCGGAGGCUCCCCACAAGGCGUCGGUACUGCGUAGCAUCCACUUCCUCCGUCUUGCUGUCACGGCUCAGUUUCAGCCUCUCCUCCAUCAGAGUGAGAGCUGGGUGGCAGUCGGUGAGCCCAGCUAGCUCAACGAUGCGCUUGGCGUAGGCGGACUGUCGAAGCGCGAUCAGUGAUCCUGGUGCACCUCAAUCCCAAGAUAGAAGGAGAGGAGCCCCAGAUCACUCAUCUGGAAGGUGGCCUUCAUGUCUUCCUUGAACGCCGCCACCUCUGCAUCUUUAGUGCCGGUGAUCACCAAGUUGUCAACAUAGAUGCCCACCAGCAGGGCAUUUCCUCCACUGCCCCGUCGGUAGACGGCCGCCUCAUGCGGGCUUUGCUCGAAGCCCAUCUUCUUCAGCGUGGAGUCCAGCUUGGCGUUCCAUGCCCUAGGUGCCUGCCGUAGACCAUAGAGAGCCUUGCGCAGGCGGAGUACCUUGCCCUCCUGGCCGGGGAUCACAAAUCCCGGUGGCUGAUGCACGUAGACUUCCUCCUUCAAGUCGCCGUUGAGGAAUGCCGACUUGACAUCCAUGUGAUGGACACGCCAGCCCUCCUGGGCAGCCAACGCAAGGAGAAGUCGCACGGACUCCAUCUGUGCCACGGGAGCGAAAGCGUCGUCGAAGUCGACUCCUUCCUGCUGCAAGAAGCCUCGGGCCACCAAGCGAGCCUUGUGCUUGAUGAUGGCGCCGGCUCCAUCCCUCUUCAGCUUGAACACCCACUUAAGGGUGAUUGCGCGGUGACCACGAGGGAGAUCAGCGAGCUCCCAGGUGCAGUUUUGCUCGACCGCAUCCAUCUCCAACUGCAUCGCGGCGCGCCAUGCCGCGUCUCUCUCGGCCUCUGCAAAGGACCGUGGUUCACCGUCUUCACACGCGAGCUGUAGCUGCGCCUCCAGAUCACGUGACACCAGUCCCGGCACCAGCUGGUCGCCGAGCAGAUUAUCCAUCGUACGGUACCGCAACGGUUCGCCGUCAUGCCACGCGUCGAUACGCUCCUCGUCGUGAGUGAGCGGGGAAGCGAAGUUCAUCGGGUUGUGCUCUGCGUGAGCUGGUGCUGAUGAAGACGAGCCCGGAGUGGUGACCGCCGGGGCUGGAGUAUGUGGCGUUGCCGGUUGCGGUGUCGUCGGCGUAGCAGGCGCCGGAGUCGAUGUAGUUUUGGGGGCCGGGGUAGACAUGCCCGACGAAGAGGAGCUGCUUGCUCCCCCAGCUUCCUUGAAGUGGGCGUACUCGACAAUGAAGUCGUCAUACAUUGACGUCGAGCCGUCGUCCACCGCCUUGUCCCAUUGCCACCCUCGCCCUUCGUUGAACACGAUGUCUCGCGCUGUGCGCACACGUUGUGUCUUUGGGUUGAGGAUGCGGUAGGCCUUUGAGCCCUCCGCGUAGCCGAUGAAGACUCCCGGAGUGCUCCUAUCGUCGAGCUUGCCGAUGUGGCCGAGCUCCUUGGCGAACGCAAGGCAGCCAAAGACCCGCAAAUGAGAGACCACCGGCUUCCGCCCAUGCCAGGCCUCGUACGGAGUCCUGCCGUCGAGUGCCUUAGUAGGUGAGCGGCUGAGGAUGUAGACGGCCGUUAGCACCGCCUCUCCCCAGAAGACAGCCGACAUCCCUCUCUGCUUGAGGAGAGCCCGAGCCAUCCCCACAACCAUCUGGUUGCGUCGCUCGACGACGCCAUUUUGCUGCGGGUUGUAUGGCGCGGAGUAGUGGCGCUGGAUGCCCUCAUCGGCGCAGUACGACGCGAAUUCAGCCGCCAUGAACUCGCCGCCGUUGUCAGUGCGCAACACGCACACUUUGCAGCCGCUCUCCGCCUCCACACCAACCUGCGCGCGCCUCAUGGCGUCCGCCGCUUCUCCCUUACUGUCGAGGAUCAUCACCCACAUGUAGCGGGAGAGAUCAUCGACGAGCAGCAGGAAGUAGCGUUGACCUCCUGGUGUGGCUGGCGUCACCGGGCCGCACAGGUCUCCGUGCACGAGCUCCAGCUUCUCCUUGGCCUGAAAACUCGCCUGUUGGGGAAAGGGGAGUCGUCUCUGCUUCGUCAGCACGCAGAUGUCGCAGAACUGCUCCACAUGGUCGAGGCAUGGCAGGCCUCGCACCAUCUCCUUGGCACUUAGACGCUUCAGGGCCUCAAAGUGAAGGUGCCCAAAGCGCUCAUGCCACUGCCACGCCUCGUCGUCCCGACGGACAGCGAGACAGACUGGUUGUGCCACCUGCACAUCAAGGACGUAGAGUUGAUUUUCACCUCUGGGAACCUUGGCGAGAAGGCGACGCUGGCGAUCCCAGAUGCGUAGGACCCCAUGCUCAAUCAGAACGCGUGAGCUGUUCUCAUCCAGCUGUCCCAAGCUGAUGAUGGAGUUCCUUAGCGCGGGGAUGUAGUAGACACCGAUGAGCAGCCGGCGCUCUCCCGUCUUGGUGGUGAAUAUGACGGAGCCGACGCCCUUUAUCUCCACAGCGGAGGCAUCCCCGAACUUGACGGAGCCUCGCGCAUCGGAGUCGAGCUCGGCGAAGAAUUCCCUUCGACCGGUCAUGUGGUGGGUGGCGCCGGUGUCGAGGAACCACCCGGUAGUCUUGUCCUUCCUGGAGCCAUCGCCGAGAAGAGCGUGUGCUUUUGGCUCAUCGAGGUGGAUGAAAGCCUUUGCGACUGGAGUCGCCGAGGGUAGCUCAAUGCUUGCAUGCGCCAUGAACAGAGCCGUCUCCUCCUCCUUCGCCUGUGCGACGUGAGGCUGGCUUUGUCGUGGUUGCCGACACUCAUUGGCCCAAUGGCCAAACCGGCCACAGUUGUGGCAACUGUUGUCUUGUGCCGGCUUGGGCUUGCCAGCGGCGCCGUCCUUGGCGCCUUCGUGGGCGUCACCUUCGGCACGUCCUUGUGCCCUGCCCAGGGGGCCUCUUCACGCCUUACGCUGCUUGCUACGCUUGCGGCCGCCCGUCGAGGAGGAAGGCUCCCCCUUCUUCCUGUCACUAAGGCUGGGAUCCCACUGCUCCCGAGUUAGGAGCAGCUUCCCGCCGGUGGUGAUGGGCCCCGAGGGGGGUUGUGGCUCGUCGGUGUCGACGACCUUGAGACGGCCUAUCGCCUCCUCGAUCGUCAUCGUGGAGAGGUCCAGCAACGACUCGAUCGAGCGAGCCAUCUGCUUGUACUUCUCGGGAAUGCACCGAAAAAGCUUCUCGACAGCUCUCUCCUCGGUGUAGGUGGCAUCACCAAACUUCACCAUCUUCUGCAGCAGAGUGUUGAGACAGAGAGCAAAGUCAUCAACGUCCUCACCUGGCUUGAAGCCCAGGUUCUCCCACUCCUUACGAAGUGCCUGCAGGGUGGACUUGCAAGCACGAUUGCUGCCGAUGCGUGCUGCGGCGAUGGCGUCCCAAGCCUCCUUGGCAGUCCGCUUGUUGGAAAGCGAGAACUGCAUCUCGGGCGGGACUGCGGCGAUGAGGGCGUCCAGCGCCCGUCGAUCCUCUAGGUGGUCGACAUUGCUGUCCUGGACUGCCUCCCACAUGCGCCGCACCUGGAGCCUGACCUUCAUGAUCCCGGCCCACUCGACGUAGUUGGUUUUAGUGAGGGUAGGCCACGCAACACUGGAACCAACAUCCCUGACCACAGUCCGGACCUUGUAGAGGCCGCGGUCCUGGUCGUUGCAGUGCCUCCACCUGGAGCGCGGGCGUGCUCGGCUGCCCACUGCGCCGUCCGCUCCUGCGCCACUUUGGCGCGAUCUGCGUGGGCGCCGUUGUCCGCAGGCGCGGAGUUGCUGGAGCUGCUUGGGCUGCCGCGGAGUGCCUUUGCAUCCGCCGUAGCCUCACGGGCUGAUUCUGCUUCUGCUGCUGCUUCUACCUCUGCCCUGGCUGCUUCUACCUCCGCUCUGGCUGCUGCCAGCUCCACGCCGUUGUCCGCAGGCGCGGAGCUCCUGGAGCUGCCUGGGCUGCCGCGGAGUGCCUUUGCAUCCGCCGUAGCCUCACGGGCUGCUUCUGCUUCUGUUGCUGCUUCUACCUCCGCCCUGGCUGCUUCUACCUCCGCUCUGGCUGCUGCCAGCUCCGCUGCAGCCAGCCUCGACACCCUUGCCGCCGCCGUAGCUGCUGCUACAGCCGCUCGCUCACGCUCCUCUGCCACGGCGCGCUCGGCCUCCUGCCGGCGCCGCAUCGUCGAGGUAGCCAGUGUGCUGAGAGCGACCUGCAGACAUGGCUCGCUGUAGGGGGGCUGUUGCAUGAAGAGGAGGCUGAUGAAGACGAGCUGCCGCUCGACAGUCCGGGGGGAGGAAGGUAACCAGAGGCAGACGGAGCAGCUGCUGCUACCGACUUGGGCUGCUCACAGGAAAUGCUCAGGGUACAGGUUAACAAGGCUCUGAUAUCACUUGUUAGACCUUUCAACCUGAGCAUUGAUAGUUGUGGAUGACACUAGGAGAGUUGGGACAAUUUUUGUUGGUUUAUUUCUCACACAAUGCCAUGCCAACCUGAGGGGUUGGGGAUACAUAUUUAUAGGCUGCUAAGAUGCCACUAAGAUGCUAGUCUAACAUGCUAACUAAUUGUCCUUGAUUGUCAAGAACAGAACUCUAUCCUAACAGCCAGUCCUUUAUGGUCCAGGAUUUUUAUGCUCCUAACUGCCACAAGGACCAUGUGCUGCAGCCCCACAAAAACCCUAGUACACAGACUUAUCCAUCACAUGGUACAUCCCCGUGUUGCCCCUCCUGUCCUUCAUUGCUCCCAUCCUUCUUCAACACAACUCUAGUGACUCUCCUGAUCUCUUCUUGACUCAAUUUUGUGAAGAACACAUAGCCCGACCAAUGAGCCAUUUUAGAGUGCGGGAGCGUGGAAGGAAUAGCGCUAGGAGAUGUCCCUGGAUUAAUCAAAGAUUGCAACAAUCAAUGAGUAUCAUUAUUGCGAGGGAGGUACACUUGAGUAGCACCUGGUUGUGGUCUCUCUGCUGGAGGUGUGUGGUUGUUUAGUGUUGUCCUUUGCUGGAGAUGAACAAGACAACAUGAGUUUGGAGGGGAUUCCGGGGGUUUGGGAGAAGUGCAUCCAGCACACAUUGUCAUCAUUGGACCUUUAAACUAAUCUUGGCAACCAAGCUUUACAACACGAACACCAAGCAACACAGCCCGUUCUUCCGCAUGGCCGGCACAUACCUGCCACUCAUGGUACAAUAUGUGUUGCUAUAUCUCCAUUGAGUAAAAUGCAUCUACGAUACUCAAACAUGUCUCAAGGCCGCACUUUGGUCAAUGUACACUGGAAACCUCCAUUUACAGUCAUCAAAGACACUCGAAGGGCCCACCUAUGGUCACCGCCACUCAUAUCAUGCGUAUUUUGUUGACAUACAAACCGUUGACCAUUUGACUGCCCAUGUAGGUAUCUAGCAUGACCUAGGCCCUCAGUUGUAGGUUUUCUUUUGCAAUAUAACCACUUAAAUAAGGACCUGCUCCAUGACACUUCUUUUGAAGGAAAAACAUUAGCGACAACUUGAUGGUCCUCGAGCUGGUCUACUCCAUCGUCUUGCUUUCUGGUGAUCCACGCUCACGGCUAUGUGUUGCCACAUACAAUGUCGGUGGCCGCAACCCUACCUGGAACACCAUGCUUUAUUGUGUUGUCCCCACUUUGUGACGAGAUCCCUUCACAUCUUGCUUCGUCUUGAGUAUGUCCUCUGUCACCGCGACAUCGGCGAGCUGACCUAGGCUAUACACUAGUAGUGCCGCCUUAUUCACCGACAUCCGCAACCUUUGCCUUGAAGGUAUGAUCUUAGCGUUUCUCUCUAGCUUUGUAGAUCCGCCAUAAUUCUACAUCGUUUGCGGAUAGGGAUCGGAGCUAGAUUCUAGAGUUAGUGAUAUGGGUUAGACGUCCCAAGUAUAGUUCUUUUAAAGAUCCAACAAAUUGUUGGCUUUGAUUGAUGUUUAGCAGGAAGCAGCGGGAGAUAACAUGGUGGCGAGGGAUGGCAAUGGGUAGGGUAUGGGUGGGUAUGACCUUCUUCCCAAACCCAUACCCAUAGAAACCUUCUAUACCCACCCACUUCAAUACCCAUGGGUAUAUAUUUAUACCCAUGCCCAUACCCAACGGGUAUCCUAUACCCAAUGGGUAUCCAAUGGGUACCAUCUAUGGCAUUUAAUUUUUUUAAAGGUAGAUAGAUAAGUUUAAAAUUCAAGUGAUGACGGGCAAGCAGCAUAGCACUGAUGCGGCCUCCUUCGGCGGGAAGCCUCUUGGAGGAAUCAAGCGAGUAUGAGCAAUAGCUGGUGGAAACCCAGUGCAAUGGGAGCCGAUGGUGGGAAUCGGGGAUCGAGAGAUUAAUAGGAGUCUGGUGGUGAGGAUAAGCCGAGAUUUUAUCGUUUUGAGGAGGCGCGUACGACGUAGGAGGAGUGCCGAGCAUUUACCUAUGGGCCUAUGAGCUAUAGCCAGUUUAGGUAUGGGCCUAUGAGCUAUAGCCAGUUUAGGGAGUACGGGAUUUAGGGUUGGGCCAUAGGAGUUGGAUGUUGACCCCACAUGUCAUAGGAGUUAUUUUCAUUUGUUAACUAUAUGUGGGUAUCCAUUGGGUUACCCAUGGGUGUAUUUUCAUACCCAUGCCCUACCCAUAUAUUUUGCGGGUAUGGAUACCCAUUACCCAUGGGUAAAAAAUCUCUCAAACUCUUACCCAUGCCCACUGUUUUCGGGUAGGGUACCCGCGGGUACCCAUACCCAUGGGCAAAACUGCCAUCCCUAGUGGCGAUCCGAAGCUCAAGGAUUAAUUGAAAGAAAACAACUAAUAAAAGGCCCCUGAAUGUGCACUUGUUCCUUUCUUGCCCCUAUAUGCUGGUGAAAACUAAAAGUAUCUCUCACGUUGGAUCCCCUGAAUGUGCACUUGUUCCUUUCUUGCCCCUAUAUGCUGGCGAAAACUAAGAGUAUCUCUCACGUUGGAUCCCUCAAAGGGGGCUCAAUGCAUUUUUGCUACAGCUAGUCGCCAUAACUCCAUUGCUCGUCUGAUGACGGCGACAAUCUCAUUUUAGCAAUCUUGCCCCUGAAUGUGCACUUGUUCCUUUCUUGCCAAAUCUCCCAUAAGCCUUUGCCCCCAUGUCAAAUGUGGCAAUGCCACCCAAGUUGGCUAGCAACUUGUUGCACCUCACUCUUCAAUGACCCGGGCUGGUUGGGCGAUAGUUCUAGUGUCAUGUACUGCCAUUGUCGCCAACACCUUCGCUGCUUCGAAGUAGUACGCCCACAUGUUCAUGAGGUGUUGGAUAGUGGUGGUGACUGGUUAGUGGUCUGGUCACCAAAGUUAGUUCAUGUUUGAUUAGACCGGGAGGGGGAGUAAUUAAGUGAGUCUACUUGUGAUGUGGGCUGGUGUAUCCGUAUCUGUUAGCCAAGUAUGCAUCAACCUUUGUUGUGGCGGGUACACGACGACCAACAAAGAUUGCGUGUACGCAACCAUCCAAGCCUCUUCCAUAAAUCUCAAUGACGACACCAUCGACACUAUCAAGUGUAAUUUUGAGAGCUUCGAGAAUCACUCAACCAAAUUCGUCUACAACAUGCAGUUCAAGGGAUUGAUCAAAACAAAUUUAAAGUCCAUCUUCUGGGACACAUGAGCACCUGGAAAGCUCAAUAUCUUCGUGUAGCUUCUGCACCAGACUCACCUUUGGUGCAAUGAUCAUCUUCAACAGUGUGGCUGGAUAAACAACUAUUACUGCCAGCUAUGCCCGCAAAACCUCAAGACCGCAUGACACCUUUUCUGGUAUUGCCACGUCUCCAGGUUUGUUUGGUCCAUGGUGGCGCAAAUAAGUUGCUGCUUUCCGCUCGGCUAGUUUGCAUGGAAAAUGAUGCACUGCUCAACGGACAUUGUCACGGCAAUCACUGCUUACUGCCAAAAAUAAAUCAAAGAAAUUGACAACUAUGACAUUCAAUAGAAAUGUGGAAUAGAGUUCGACACCUCGCACCAAUCAAGGCAAUGCAUUACCCUCACAACCAACUUCUCAUCUUCUGCCUUGCCCUGGUCUCUUUCAUGCAAUGUCUGCCACAUAACCAUCGGCGCCCAACUUAAACCAUAGGUUGAUUGAAGAACAUCAUAAACAACAAUAGGCUCACCCUUUUCCCAAUGGAUCUGAAAGUGAAUUAGGUCAUCAUCAUGGAGACAAGUGGGUACUGGACAAAUAGGUAGUUAUCACUUUAGUCCUUCCUAUUUGCAGCCUUCGGUACCAUCUUUACGUCAGUUCUUACCUUGCCCGAAUGAUCAAAGCAGGGGCACUGAUCACUUCUACUAAAUGUUGCUUCUGCAAAUAUUUAACUCCUCACAACUUUAUCAGCUCUCUCUUCUAACUUAACAUGCAUUUUCUCCGAAACAUGCAUUUGAGAUCCAAGACAAAACCACCACAUCCCCCCAUCUCCUUUGGUGCGCAAGGUAUGUCACCAUCACUAUUUGCUCUCCACAGUUAGAGAGGGCAAGGUUUGCUAACAUCAAUAGGGGAAUCCAUCUUACUCUUCAAAGGGACACUGCAAUUCUCACCCUUUGAAUGUAAACUCUUGCCAAAAAUAGUCAUUUCCUCUAUUUUCAUACUGCACGCUCUCCACAUCUCCUCUAGGGGUCUAACCUUUAGAAGCUCCAGGUAGAAAAUGAGGCACGACACUAGGACUUGUGAGGGAGGCAAAGUGUGCCUCUUGAUCUAACCCUAGUGGGACAACGUUCUCUUGUCAGAUAUGGGCACCUGAGUUGCCACCCAAAGAGCUAAUACAAGGGAGCAACCCGCAUGGCAGCGCGAGUUGCCUCCGCUUCUGUGGCCCUUAGAGACGUGAAGUCGAGGAAUGUUGUGGAAGGAGAUCGUCCUUCUAAUAAUGUUGCCAAUGAUGGUGAAGCACGGGCGCACUCCAACCAUAGCCAUUGGCCAACACCAUCAUCAUAGAGCCUGCAACUGUGUUGGACUCAACCUACAGCUAGGGCAGUAGCGCGUAUGUCGCAUCGGGGUCGUGGCACCACAAGCUCAAAUGGUUGAACACUUCCCAAAAGAUUGGUUUGGUGUAAAAUCUAGUGCUCUGACCAGGUAAACUUUGCAUCCUCCGUGCAUGCAUGAAACCGGUCAUCUGAGAACCUUGAAUAAAUUGCACGCCUAGAAAUUGUAGCGCAUAUGCUUGGUGCAUACAUGAGCUAAAACAAACAUGAAAUUGACAUUAUGAAGCUGACAAUAUGAACUCUAGAUGGUCGCCUUUCAGUUUCAAUAUAACAUAUUACAUUACCUUUCUCCUCGUUGAGGGAACACAACAAAAUCAACCAGGUUCUUAGCAUACAUCAUUGUGAUAUACAACUUCAAGUACUCUGCUGUCACCGGGAUGGAGACAAGGAUUUCUUUCAUAUUGCAACUUCUCCAACAACAAUACUUGUUUUCUCUUUCCCGUUAUCUUUAGAAAAAUACGGCUGACCAUUAUCCUUAUGCUCUUUGCUAUUUUUUAAAUUCUUAUGUAGACUUGAUCAUAUUUUAAUUCGCCUGUUUUGUCUAAACAACCAAUAAGUACACGGCCUUCCGGAACAUGAAUAUUACAUCUAGUUCUUACAUCUAGUUCUUAUGCCAGUCGGAUAUUAUCUUGAUGGGCCUUAAGAAUCAUCAACAGGUAAUGCUCUAAACUUGGUUCAUAACCUCGCAGUAACAUUUUGGAUGUUGUCUUCGUUUCGGCACUACCAAUUUUCUCCAUAACAGAGGGAGCAGCUUGUCUAGUCGUCAACAUUUUAGCUAAUUCAUGCAUGGCAUCUUGUUGCAUCAACAGAAAUAUCUCAUCUCUUAUUCCUAAAGUAGAAAGGAGAAAGAUAAUUUCACGAUUCAUAUAGCAUGGCUGGGCUUUGCUCCAACAUGUAAUGUUAAACAUUAUGCUCUUAGAUUCGAAUUUCUUCAUGCUAGGCCGUAGAGAAAUAUUAUGAAAGGAAUCAUGGUCGACGACAACAAUUCCUUUGUAGCUACUACUACCAUGCCUUAUUUGAAAAGUUGAAGGGGGUUUAGUAUGGGCUCAUCCAAUUCGGUGAGCAAUUAUUUGGCAAAUCUCUAAGUAUCUUCCCCAUACCAUCAGAAAAUAUGUAUUUAGUGCCAUCAGUUGUGACUUCAAUAUCUGGAACCUCUUCCACAUACUGUGGUAGGAUUUCUACUAUUUGUCUGGAGGAGCUGAACAGCUGGUCCAUUCUAGCGAAUUUCUUCAAAGUGGCCCAUCCACUUUCUUAUAUUCUCGCCCUUCAGGGAAUCAUUAGAAGCAAACAUCCAAACAGGACUUCCACGAAGUUGACCUGUUGAGAAGGCCAGGAAUUCAUAGUUCUUUGGACCAAUUUAAAGUCCUUAUUUCAGGAUAAUUAAAAUGCGAUAAUACAAGGGUUGGGAAAAGAACCCUUGUCCAGUUCUAGCAGAUAUAACAUCUGGAGAAAGCUUAGUCUAGUCUUCCUCCACAAAAGUAACUUUAGCCCAGUCAGAAACAUAUUUACUAUAAGGCUUAACCACAUAAUUUGAAACUUCUUACUCGGGUCCCAAGCAGAAUAUUUUGGAUGGAGUAAUGUGAAUUAUGUAACACAUCAUUAAUUUUCCUUCAACUUCGUCCUACUGGACAUCAAAGUAUUGUGGCUUCUUUUCCUACUAUGACCCUCCUCUUGGAUGAAGUGCAAAGAUUCAUAGCAUGCAAACUCUAAGUUGCUCAUUUUCUCGAAAUCCUCCUUGAAAUAUGAAGUGGUAUUUCUUAAAGAGCUUUAAACAGAUCAGCAUUAACAUGUUUGGCAACUAUCUUACCCAUGUGAACAAGAGAAUUGAGACGAAAAUAACCUCAAAAGGCAUUGAGCAGCCACUCGGGCAGUCAACAAGGGGAACCAACAAUGAGCCAAUAGAUUCCAUUAAUGAUACGACCAAUUCCCCCAUUUUUCCUAACAAAGGUAAGUUGCCGAUAAUAAAUGACACUGUUGCACCUUCAUCAAGUAUGAGGGUGAGAGUUGAACACUUCUCGAAAGAUUGGUUUGGUGUAAAAUCUAGUGCUCCGACCCAAGUAAACUUCACAUCCUCUGUGCAUGCAUGAAACCAGUCAUCGGAGGACCUUGAAUAAACUGUAGGCCUAGAAAUUGUAGUGCCUAUUCUUGGUGCAUACCUGAGCUAAAACUAACAUUAAAUUGACAUUAUGAAGCUGACAGUAUGAACUUUAGAUGGUCGCCUUUCAGUUUCAAUAUAACAUAUAACAUUACCUUCCUCCUCGUUGAGGGAAGACAACACAAUCAACCAGGUUCUUAGCAUACAAUCCAUUGUGAUAUACAACUUCAAGUACUCCGAUGUCACUAGGAUGGAGACAAGGAUUUCUUUCAUAUUGCAACUUCUCCAACAACAAUUCCUGUUUUCUCUUUCCCAUUAUCUUUAGGAAAAUACAACUGAUCAUAUCCUUAUGCCCUUUCUGAUUGUGUAAUUUUGAUGUAGACUUGACAAUAUUUUAAUUCGCUUGUUUCGUCCAAACUACCAAUAUUUACACGGCCAUUCCGGACAUGAAUAUUAUAUUUAGUUCUUAUGUCAGUCAGACAUUAUAUUGAUGAGCCUUAAGAAUCAUCGACAGGUAAGGCUCUAAACUUGGUUCAUAACUUUGAAGUAACAUUUUGGAUGUUGCCUUCGUUUCGUCACUACCAAUUUUCCCCAUAACAGAGAGAGCAACUUCUUUGUUCGUCAGCAUUUCAGCUAAUUUUAGAAUGUCAUCUUGCUGCAUCAACUUAAAUAUCUCAUCUCUUGUUCCCAUAGUCGAAAGGAGAAAGAUAAUUUUACUAUUCAUAUAGCAUGCCUGGGCUUUGCUCCAACUUGUAAUGUUAAACGUUGUGCUCUUUGAUUCAAAUUCCUUCAUGCUAGGCUGCAGAGAAAUAUUUCACAAGGAAUCAUGGUUGACAGCAACAACUCCUUUGUAGCUACCACUACCAUGCCUUAUUUGAAAAGCUGGAGGAGGGUUAGUAUGGUCUAAUCCAAUUCAGUGAUCAAUUUCUUUCGCAAAUCUCUCAAGAUCUUCCCAAUACCAUCAGAAAAUAUGUAUUUUGUGCCAUCAGUUGUGACUAAAAUAUCUAGAAUCUCUUCCACAUCCCGUGGUAUGAUUUCAACUGUUUGUCUGGAGGAGUUGAACAGAUGACCCAUUCUAGCAAAUUUCUUCAAAGUGGCCCAUCCACUUUCUUAUAUCCUUGGCCUUCAGGAAUCAUUAGAAGCAAACAUUCAAAUCGCUGUUCCAGAUAUCUUCCAAUAUUCUGAUAAAUCGGCUGAUUUAUCGCUUACCGUUGUUUGACCGAUAAGAUAAAUCAGCCGAUAUGGCGAUAAGUUGACCGUUAUGCUGAGAAAUAGGUCGAUUUACCCCUUAUCAUGGGCCGACCAAUAAGUUCCCGAUAAGCGAUAUCCCCAACAUUGAUUCAAACAGAACUUCAAAAAGUUGACCUAAUGAGAAGGCAAAGAAUUCAUACUUCUUUUGACCAAUGUAAAGUCCUCCUUUCAGGAUAGAUAAAAUGCGAUAAUACAACCAGUUUUCCAGGGUUGGGAAAAGAACCCUCGUCCAGUUCUAGCAGAGAUAACAUCUAGUUCUAGCAGAGUUAACAUCUGGAAAAAGCUUAGUCAAGUCUUCAUCAGCAAAAGUACAUAACACUAGCAAAGUCAGAAGCAUACUUUCCAUUAGGCUUAACCACAUAAACUGAAACUUCUUCGCCAGGUCCCAAGCCGUAUAUUUUGGACGGAGUAAUGUGAAUUAUGUAACACAUCAUUAAUUUUCCUUCAACUUUGGUCCUACUAGACAUCAAAGAAUUGUGGCUCCUUUUCCUACUAUGAGCCUCCUGCUAGAUGAAGUGCAAAGAUUCAUAGCAUGUAAACUCUAAGCUGCUCAUUUACUCAAAAAUUCUCCUUGAAAUAUGAAGUGGUAUUUCUUAAUGAGCUUUAAACAGAUCAGCAUUAACAUGUUUGGCAACUAUCUUCCCCAUGUGAACAAGAAAAUUGAGACAAAAAUAACCUCAAAAGGCACUGAGCAACCACUCGGGCAGUCAACAAGGGGAACCAACGGUGAGCCAAUAGAUUCCAUUAAUGAUACGACCAAUUCCCCCAAUUCUCCUGACAAAGGUAAGCUAGCUAAAAUAAAUGACACUGUUGCACCUUCAUCAACUAUGAGGGUGAGAGUUGAACACUUUCCGAAAGAUUGGUUUGGUGUAAAAUCUAGUUCUCUGACCCAGCUAAACUACGCAUCCUCCGUGCAUGCAUGAGACCGGUCAUCUGAGAACCUUGAAUAAACUGCAGGCCCAGAAAUUGUAGUGCAAACAUGAGCUGAAACAAACAUUAAAUUGACAUUAUGAAGCUGACAAUAUGAACUCUAGAUGGUCGCCUUUCAGUUUCAAUAUAACAUAUAACAUUAGCUUUCUCGUUGAGGGAAGACAACACAAUCAACCAGGUUCUUAGCAUACAAUCCAUUGUGAUAUCCAACUUCAAGUACUCCGAUGUCAACAGGAUGGAGACAAGGAUUAUUGAUAUUGCAACUUUUACAACAACAAUUGUUGUUUUCUCCUUCCCAUUAUCUUUAGAAAAAUAUGGUUGACCAUUAACCUUAUGCUCUUUGUUGUUUUUUAUAAUUCUGAUGUAGACUUACCAUAUUUUAAUUCGUGUGUUUCGUCCAAACUACCAAUAUUUUCACGGCCUUUUGGGACAUAAAUAUUACAUCUAGUUCUUAUGUCAGUCAAACAUUAUCUUGAUAGGCCUUAAGAAUAAUCAACAGGUAAGGCUCUAAACUUGGUUCAUAGCCUUGCAGUAACCUUUUGGAUGCUAUCUUCGUUUUGUCACUACAAUUUUCCCCAUAACAUAGAGAGCAACUUCUUUGUUUGUCAAUAUUUUCAGCUAAUUCAUGCAUGUCAUCUUGUUGCAUCAACUCAAAUAUCUCAUUUCUCAUUCCCAAAGUCGAAAGGAGAGAGAUAAUUUCACGAUUCAUAUAGCUUGGCUGGGCUUUGCCUCAACUUGUAAUGUUAAACAUUUUGAUUUUAGAUUCGAAUUUCUUCAUGCUAGGCCGCAGAGAAAUAUUAUGAAAGGAAUCAUGGUCGACAUCAACAACUCGUUUGUAGGUACCACUACCAUACUUAUUUGAAAAGCUGGAGGAGGGUUAGUAUGAUCUAAUCCAAUUCGGUGAGCAAUUUCUUUGGUAAAUCCCUCGGUAUCUUCCCAAUACCAUUAGAAAAUAUGUAUUUAGUGCCAUCAGUUGUGACUUCAAUAUCUGGAAUCUCUUCCACAUCCCGUGGUAGGAUUUCAACUGUUUGUCUGGAGGAGUUGAACAACUGGCCCAUUCUAGCAAAUUUCUUCAAGUGGCCCAUCCACUUUCUUAUAUCCCCGGCCUUGACGGAAUCAUUAGAAGCAAACAUCCAAACAUGACUUCCACGAAGUUGACCUGCUGAGAAGGCUAUGAAUUCAUACUUCUUUGUGAAAUGAACCCUUAUCCAUUUCUAGUAGAGAUAACAUCUAGAAAAAGCUGAGUCCAGUAUUCGUCAACAAAAGUAACUCUAGCAAAGUCAGAAGCAUACUUUCUAGCAGGCUUAACCACAUAAUUUGAAACUUCUUCCUUAGGUCUCAAGUACUAUAUUUUGGAUGGAGUAAUGUGAAUUUUGUAACACAUCAUUAAUUUUCCUUCAACUUCGGUCCUACAAGACAUCAAAGUAUUGUGGUUCCUUUUCUUGCUAUGAGCCUCCUGCUGGAUGAAGUGCAAAGAUUCUGAGCAUGUAACUCUAACUUGCUCAUUUGCUCAAAAAUCCUCCUUGAAAUAUAAACUGGCGUUUCUUAAAGAGCUUUAAACAGAUCAGCGUUAACAUGCUUGGCAACUAUCUUCCCCAUGUGAACAGGAGAAUUGAGACGAAAAUAACUUCAAAAGGCACUGAGCAGGCACUCGGCAGUCAACAAGGGGAACCAACGAUGGGCCAACAGAUUCCAUUAAUGAUACGGCCGAUUCCCCCAACGAGGGAGUAAAUUGUUAACAAAUUGCUAGCACUGGUGCACAUCAUCUAUUUUUGCAAUAAAUGCCCCUGUCCCCCAAAAUUGUCCAUAACAAAAAAUACUCUAGUUUUACUGAAGUUUGAGAACAAACAAAUGCAAAUUCAGUUACCACUCUACUCACAUUUCACGAAUACAGUAGCGAACCAUACCACCGAGUUAAAUCAAGGUAUGCACACAAUGCAUAUCAACCUAUUGUCUGCCUCACCUCACUUGUAUGAAUCUCAUAUGUCAGAUGUAAAUGCAUCUAAAAUUUUGGGCUUUCUACUUCACCAUGUGAUCGUAAUGUCUAACUAAUAUUAUGUAAAAAGGAAAGAAAUGGAAGUAUCAGAGCAACACGGUGAGCAGCUCACCUGCAGCAAGAUGUCGGUAGGCCCAACAAAGCUGCACUGGUAGCAGUUCCGGAUGUCCUCAAAGAACAUGUCAAGCUUGUACCUCUAGGAAUCACGAUUCUGGUACAGGUCUAUGCAUCGCUUCCCUGAGAUGACUUCUACAUGGACGCUAUCCCAAGAAUUAGCCACCUCAAAUUUGCGCUCGGCGACACGGUUGCCUAGCCCAAUGCAUCUGAAAGUGAAUUAGGUCAUCAUCUUGGAGACAAAUGGUGACUGGACAAUAUAGAUAGUUAUCACUUGAGUCCUUCCUAUUUGCAGCCUUCCAUACUGUCUUUACGCAGUUCUUACCCUGCCCGAAUGGUCAAAGCAAGGGCAUUCAUCACUUCUACUAAAUGUUGCUUUUGCAAAUAUUUCACUCCUGACAACUUUGUCAGCCCUCUCUUACGCAUUUUCUCCAAAAACAUGCAUUUGAGAUCCAAGACAGAACCACCGCAGCCCCCCAUUUCCUUUGGUGGGCAAGGUAUGCCAUCAUCACUAUUUGCUCUUCACAGUUGCAGAGGGCAAGGUUUGCUAACAUUAGUAGGGGAGUCCAUCUUCCUCCUCAAAGGGACACUACGAUUCUCACCCAUUGAAUGGAAAUUCUUGCCGAAAAUAUAGUCCUUUCCUCUAUUCUCAUACUGCACGCUCUCGACCUCUUCUCCUCCAGGGAUCUAACCUUUACGAAGCUCCCGACAGUAGAUGAGGCACGACACUAGGGCUUGCGAGGGAGGCAAAGUGUGUCUCCUGAACUAACCCUCAGUCAGACAUUAUCUGGAUGGGCCUUAAGAAUCAUCAACAGGUAAGGCUCUAAACUUGGUUUAUAACUUUGCAGUAACACUCUGGAUAUUGUCUUUGUUUCUGCAGUACCAAUUUUCCCCAUAACAGAGAGAGCAGCUUCUCUGCUCGUCAGCAUUUCAGUUAAUUCGUGUAUGUCAUCUUGUUGCGUGAACACAAAUAUCUCAUCCCUUAUUUCCAAAGUCGAAUGGAGAAACAUAAUUUCAUGAUUCAUAUAGCAUGGGCGGGCUUUGCUCCAACAUGUAAUGUUAAGCAUUGUGCUCUUAGAUUCGAAUUUCUUCAUGUAGGCCGCAGAGAAGUAUUAUGAAGGAAUCAUGGUCGACAUCAACAACUCCUCUGUAGCUACCACUACCAUGCCUUAUUUGAAAAGCUGAAGGAGGGUUAGUAUGGUCUAAUCAAAUUCGGUGAGCAAUUUCUUUGGCAAUUCUCUCAGUAUCUUCCCAAUGCCAGAUUUAGUGCCAUCAGUUGUGACUUCAAUAUCUGGAAUCUCUUCCACAUCCCGUGGUAGGAUUUCAACUGUUAGUCUGCAGGAGCUGAAUAGCUAGCCCAUUCUAGCGAAUUUCUUCAAAGUGGCCCAUCCACUUCCUUAUAUCCUCGGCCUUCAGGGUAUCAUUAGAAGCAAACAUCCAAGAAGCACUUCCACGAAGCUGACCUGCUGAGAAGGCCAGAUAUUCGUAGUUCUUUGGACCAACGGAAAGUCCUUCUUUCAGGAUAGUUAAAAUGCGAUAAUAUAGGCCAGUUUUCAAGGGAUGGGAAAAGAACCCUCAUCUAGUUCUAGAAGAGAUAACAUCUGGAAACAGCUUAGUCCAGUCUUCUUAACAAAAGUAACUCUAUCAAAGUUAGAAGCAUAUUUACUAUGAGGCUUAACCACAUAAUUUGAAACUUCUACCUCAGGUCCCAAGCAGAAUCUUUUGGAUGGAGUAAUGUGAAUUAUGUAACACAUCAUUAAUUUUCCUUCAACUUCGGUCCUACUAGACAUCAAAGUAUUGUGGCUCCUUUUCUUGCUAUGAGCCUCCUUCCGGAUGAAGUGCAAAGAUUCAUAGCAUGUAAAUUCUAAGUUGCUCAUUUUCUCAAAAAUCCUCCUUGAAAUAUGAACUAGUAUUUCUUAAAGAGCUUUAAAAUGAUCAACAUUAACAUGUUUCGCAACUAUCAUCCCCAUGUGAACAAGAGAAGUGAGACGAAAAAUAACUUCAAAAGGCACUGAGCAGUGACUUGGGUAGUCAACAAGGGGAACCAACGAUGGGCCAACAGAUUCCAUUAAUGAUGCGACCAAUUCCUCUAAUUCUCCUAACAAAGGUAAGCUGUCAACAAUAACUGACACCGUUGCACCUCAUCAAUUAUGAGGGUUAGAGCUGAAAACUUCUUGAAAGGUUGGUUAGGUGUAAAAUCAAGUGAUCACACCCAGGUAAACUUCGCAUCCACCGUGCAUGCAUGAAACCGGUCAUCUGAAGAACUUGAAUAAACUGCUGGCCCAGAAAUUGUAGUGCACAUUCUUGGUGCAUACAUGAGCUGAAGCAAACAUUAAAUUGACAUUAUGAAGUUGGCAAUAUGAACUCUAGAUGGGCGCCUUUCAGUUUCAAUAUAACGUACAACAUUACCUUUCACGUCAUUGAGGGAAGACAACACAAUUAACCAGGUUCUUAACAUACAAUCCAUUUUCAUAUACAACUUCAUGUACUCCGAUGUCACCAGGAUGGAGAGAGGGAUUUUUUGAUAGUGCAACUUUUCCAACAACAAUUGUUGUUUUCUCUUUCCCAUUAUCUUUAGAAAAACACGUUUGGCCAUUAUCCUUUGUUGUUUUUUGUAAUUCUGAUGUACAGUUUACCAUAAUUUAAUUCGCCUGUUUCGUCCAAACAACCAAUAAGUACACGGCCUUUCGGAACAUGAAUAUUACGUCUAGUUCUUAUGUCAGUCAGACAUUAUCUUGAUGGGCCUUAAGAAUCAUCAACAGUUAAGGCUCUAAAGUUGGUUCAUAACCUCGCAGUAACAUUUUGGAUGCUGUCUUAGUUUCGGCACUACCAAUUUCCCCCAUAACAGAGAGAGCAGCUUCUCUGGUCAUCAACAUUUCAGUUAAUUCAUGCAUGUCAUCUUGUUGCAUCAACACAAAUAUCUCAUCUCUUAUUCCCAAAGUCGAAAGGAGAAAGAUAAUUUCACGAUUCAUAUAGCAUGGCUGGGAUUUGCUCGAACAUGUAAUGUCGAGCACUGUGCUCUUAGAUUCGAAUUUCUUCAUGCUAGGCCGCAGAGAAAUAUUACGAAAGGAAUCAUGGUCGACGGCAACAACUCCUUUGUAGCUACCACUACCAUGCCUUAUUUGAAAAGCUAAAGGAGCGGUAGUAUGGUUAAUCCAAUUCGGUGAGCAAUUUCUUUGGCAAAUCUCUCAUUAUCUUCCCAAUACCAUCAGAAAAUAUGUAUUUAGUGCCAUCAGUUGUGACUUCAAUAUCUGGAAUCUCUUCCUCAUCCCGUGAUAGGAUUUCAACAACUUGUCAGGAGCUGAACAGCUGGCCCAUUCUAGCAAAUUUCUUCAAAGUGGCCCAUCCACUUUCUUAUAUCCUCGGCCUUCACGGAAUCAUUAGAAGCAAACAUCCAAACAGAACUUCCAUGAAGUUGACCUGCUGAGAAGGCUAGGAAUUCAUAGUUCUUUGGACCAAUGGGAAUUUCUUCUUUCAGGAUAGUUAAUUUCGAUAAUAUAGGCUAGAUUUGAAGGGUUGGGAAAAGAACCUCGUCCAGUUCUAGCAGAGAUAACAUCUGAAAAAGCUUAGUCCAGUCUUCGUCAACAAAAGUAACUCUAGCAAAGUCAGAAGUGGAUUUACUGUGAGGCUUAACCACAUAAUUUGAAACUUCUUCCUCAGGUCCCAAGCAUAAUAUUUUGGAUGGAGUAAUGUGAAUUUUGUUACACAUCAUUAAUUGUCCUUCAACUUCGGUCCUACUGGACAUCAAAGUAUUGUGGCUCCUUUUCCUGCUAUGAGCCUCCUGCUGGAUGAAGUGCAAAUAUUCAUAGCAUGUAAACUCUAAGAUGCUCAUUUUCUCAAAAAUCCUCCUUGAAAUAUGAAGUGGUAUUUCUAAAAGAGCUUUAAACAUAUCAGCAUUAACAUGUUUGGCAACUAUCUUCCCCACGUGAACAAGAGAAUUGAGACGAAAAUAACCUCAAAAGGCACUAAGUAGCAACUCAGGCAGUCAACAAGGGGAACCAACGAUGAGCCAAUAGAUUCCAUUAGUGUUACGAUCAGUUCCUCCAAUUCUCCUCACAAAGGUAAGUUGUCGACAAUAAAUGACAUUGUUGCACCUUCAUCAAGUAUGAGGGUGAGAGUGGAACACUUUCCCCGAAAGAUUGGUUUGGUGUAAAAUCUAGUGCUUUGACCAAGGUAAACUUCGCAUCCUCCAUGCAUGCAUGAAACCGGUCAUCCUCCGUGCAUGCAUGAAACUGGUCAUCUGAGAACCUUGAAUAAACGGCAGUCCAGAAAUUGAAGUGCAUAUUCUUGGUGCAUGCAUGAGCUGAAACAAACACUAAAUUCACAUUAUGAAGCUUCAAGUACUCUCUCCGAUGUCACCAGGAUGGAGACAAGGAUUUCUUUCAUAUUGCAACUUUUCCAACCACAAAUCCUGUUUUCUCUUUCCCAUUAUAUUUAGAAAAAUACGGCUGGCCAUUAUCCUUAUGGCCUUUCUGUUUUUUGUAAUUCUAAUGUAGACUUGACCAGAUUUUAAUUCGCAUGUUUCCUCCAAACUACCAAUAUUUACACGACCUUUCGGGACAUGAAUAUUACAUCUAGUUCUUAUGUCAGUCAGACAUUAUCUUGAUGGGCCUUAGGAAUCGUCAACAGGUAAGCCUCUAAACUUGGUUCAUAACCUUGCAGUAACAUUUUGGAUGUUGUCUUCAUUUCGUCACUACCAAUUAUCCCCAUAACAGAGAGAGCAUCUUCUUUGUUCGUCAACAUUUCAGCUAAUAGUUGAAUGUCAUCUUGCUACGUCAACUCAAAUGUCUCAUCUCUUAUUAUCCCCAUAACAGAGAGAGCAUCUUCUUUGUUCGUCAACAUUUUAGCUAAUAGUUGAAUGUCAUCUUGCUGCGUCAACUCAAAUAUCUCAUCUAACUCAAAUAUCUCAUCUCUUAUUCCCACAGUCGGAAGGAGAAAGAUUAUUUCACGAUUCAUAUAGCAUGCCUGGGCUUUGCUCCUACUUGUAAUGUUAAACAUUGUGCUCUUUCAUUCGAAAGGAUAAAGAUUAUUUCACGAUUCAUAUAGCAUGCAUGGGCUUUGCUCCUACUUGUAAUGUUAAACAUUGUGCUCUUUCAUUCGAAUUCCUUCAUGCUAGGCCGCAGAGAAAUAUUACGAAAGGAAUCAUGGUCGACAGUAACAACUCCUUUGUAGGUACCACAACCAUGCAUUAUUUGAAAAGCUGGAGGGUUAGUACGGUCUAAUCCAAUUCGGUGAGCAAUUUUUUUGGCAAACCUCUCAAGAUUUUUCGAGUACCUUUAGGAAAUCUGUAUUUAGUGCCAUCAGUUGUGACUUCAAUAUCUGGAAUCUCUUCCACAUCCCGUGGUAGGAUUUCAACCGUUUUUCUGGAGGAGCUAAACAGCUGGCCCAUUCUAGCGAAUUUCUUCAAAGUGGCCCAUCCACUUUCUUAUAUCUUCGGCCUUUAGGAAUCAUUGGAACCAAAUAUCCAAACAGAACUUCCAAAAAGUUGACCUGCUGAGAAGGCCAGGAAUUCAUACUUCUUUGGACCAAUGUAAAGUCCAUCUUUCAAGAUAGAUGAAAUGCGAUAAUACAACUAGUUUUCAAGGUUUGGGAAAAGAACCCUCAUCUGUUCUAGGACAGAUAACAUCUAGUUCUAGCAGAGAUAACAUCGGAAAAAGCUUAGUCCAGUCUUCAUCAAGAAAAGUAACUCUAGCAAAGUCAGAUGCAUACUUUCUAUCAGGCUUAACCACAUAAUUUGAAACUUCUUCCUCGGGUCCCAAGCAGCAUAUUUUGGAUGGAGUAAUGUGAAUUCUGUAACACAUCAUUAAUUUUCCUUCAACUUCAGUCCUACUGGACAACAAAGUAUUGUGGCUCCUUUUCCUGCUAUGAGCCUCCUGCUCGAUGAAGUGCAAAGAUUUACAGCAUGUAAACUCUAAGAUGCUCAUUUUCUCAAAAAUCCUCCUUGAAAUAUGAAGUGGUAUUUUUUAAUGAACUUUAAACCGACCAGUAUUAACAUGUUUGGCAACUAUCUUCCCCAUGUGAACAAGAUAACUGAGACAAAAAUAACUUCAAAAGGCACUGAGCAGCCACUCGGGCAGUCAACAAGGGGAACCGACGGUGAGCCAAUAUAUUCCAUUAAUGACGACCAAUUCCCCCAAUUCUCCCGACAAAGGUAAGCUAGAGAAAAUAAAUGGCACUUGUAUUUUGUGCAUUCUAUUUUUUUUCCUGGUAAUUUUUGCCAUGUCAUAUUUCUGAACAUAACUUUUUCCUUGGCAAUUUUUUAUUUUUUGCCAUGCUGUCUUAGAAAUCAUUUUUGUUGUAAACCUUGCCAUUGUAAAAAAAAAUAUCAUGCCAAAUUAUGAAAUAGUUUGAUCAAACUCGAAUGGCAUUUUUUUGGAAUUUUCAUGUGUUAUAUAAGUAUCAUGUUUUAGUAAAAACAAAUUGAGGGGUAUUAUUUUAGUAAAUGGCUGUAAUAUAGUCACGUGGGCAAUUUUUCCUUCUAGUCCUUUUUAUGCCUUUUCAGCCUUUAUAAAGUCCUUCUACUUGUGUUCACAUAUGGGCCUAUUUUGGCCCAUAUUUCCUUUUCCUUAGCGCUAAGUUUUCUCGAACGGGUAGUUCGGGCCGGGAGGUUCUCCAGAUGGAAUGAAAUCGUUCGGUCGGUACCUAGUCGCCCGCCGAACAAUACGUUCGGGCACAUGGUUCUCGAGACCGAACGAUUUCGGCCGUUAUUGACGUCCAUAAACUAACGGAGUGCGGACUUUUACCAGCUACAUAUGGCUGACCAAGAUUUUCUAUGGGACCUUUACCGAAAAAAGCUUUCGCCCCGCUUUAUAAAUAAAGCAAACCUCCAAAAGCACAUACAAGGACUAGUUCAGAAUUCACACACCCAAGUCACACAAUAAUAAGUCCAAAGGUACUGCUGAGGGCACAGCUCAACUAGCCCAAAACACACACGAAAUAAGAAACAGGCUCAGCCGGGGCCAAGGCCGGACUAAUCAGGCUCAGGCGGAGGCGGCGGUGGUGGCGGCGACAGGCGGACGGCCAUCGAGCGGAGGUCGGCGAUGAAGGCGGAGAUGGCGUCCCGGUCCCGCGGGCGGCUAAGCGGCCGCCAGAGCUGCAAGUAACCAGAUAGUUUGAAGAGAGCGUCAGUAGAUCGUCGAAGAGGGGAGCGCUGAAUCACAAGCUUAUUGCGAAUAGUCCAGAGCAUCCACGCGAGGGCCCCAAUCUCAAGCCACCUAAUGUGGUUCUAUGGGACUUUACGUAUUGUGUGCAACAAGUAGUUCUGACAAGGUUUCAAAUUUCUCGUAAUGUUGUGUGCAACAAGUUGAUUUUGACCAGGUUACUUAUUCUUGCAUAGCUCAUUAAUGUGCUUUGCACACAGUGAGAAGUUACUAAUUGGUUCCAUCAAGCGUCCUGGAGAAGAAAAAACUAUAAUCGCACAAAACAUCAAGGGCUCUAAUCUAAGCUUAUCGUGUGAUGCUGCUUAUCGAUGAUGUGUUUAUCCCAUCAUAGCAUUGCGUCUCUAUGUACUCCUCCCCGUCGCAUCCCCUCCUUUCCAGUGCACGAGAACGCAACACGCUUACACAUCGAUAGGUUCAACAGUCAAUCAAACAUCAAAAGUUCAAACUCCGGGAAAAAAGAGAAGGCGUCAACCUGGGGCUUGGCCUCGAGGUCGCAGAGCCUGCGGAGCUCCCGCGAGUCGCCUCCAGCGGCCACCUCGACACAGCCCACGCCACCGUCGGACGGGUCGCUGCACAGCGGCUUGACCGAGCAUCUCAGGGUGAGCUAUCGAAGUACCCGCGCCGCCUCCUCCGGCGGCAAGUGUGGUUUGUUCCGCGCCGGCCACAUUGUUGCCAUGGCGGUGGCUUGGCUUCUCUCCUCUCUUGUUGGCUCGCUCGGUGGUCGCCUGGAGUCUCCAGUUCAGGUGGGCGGUGAAGGCUGGUUUUGCGAUGCUGGGCCUCUCAGCGAUCCUAGCGAAAAUGCAAAACGAAGGCCGAGGUCCACACAAAGGCUUUAAUUUUUGAAGAAUUAAUACUCAUACUUUGAAGUUUGAAAAAACACACAUAACCAAAGACAGUGUACAUAUGUGCAGAUUAUCAUGAUGAAAUACUUUAAAAUGAGAACUACACAAAAAAUCGCUUUUCAGCAUAUGUAUUGUUCAUCCUCAAAGUUCAUAAAAAAAUUGUAGCUUGCAAUUCAAGAUAUUUCAUCAUAAGAUUUGACACACAUAUUCAUUAGAUCGUUGUAUACUUGUAUAUCUUUUCAUAAUUUUUUGAAAUUGAAAAGUUCAGAAUUUUGAACUUUUCAAAGUUAAGGCCUCCAUGGAGCUCGGCCUCCAAAACGCUCUACUUGUGAUCGUUAUCCUAUUCUGCCCCUGUUAUGCUAAGAUUGUGGCGGCUAGCACGUCGCGAGCUUGGGAGGCGAAUGAUUAUUCGUGCGGAAUCAGUCAGCUGAUCCAAAGUAUUUCCCAUUCAAUAGUAGAGAAAUAUAAAAAUAAAACGGUUAAAAAAGAGUAAUGUUUGUUGUCCUGCCAGGCAGAGUACUUCAUCCAACCUUACACGUCCCCUUCCCCCUUUCUCUCUGUUUUGAUUUUCCCCUCUCUGGUGUUGACAGAACCCAACCAUAUAGUGUUAGGAACAUAUCUCCCUUACCACGAUUGUGUGGAUACAUGAUACAAAUCUCACUAAAUAGGAUAUGGUUUAGCACUGGAGGAGCACAAAAUUAGGGAUAGGCAGCGGCGGCAAAGAGGAAGGAUGCACUCGUUUGGUCAUGAGGCGACCGAGGAAGAAGACCAAGUUGUGCUUGUUCAGAAAGCUACUCCUUUUUAUACUGUUUCACCAGCCAAGGCCCAUUACCAGCCCGAGCCAAUUCAUGCGUUCAUGGAGCAUCGCUUUGCCAUGCAUGCUACCAGGCUACUAACGCAAUACCAGCGAAGGCUUACCAGGCUACCAACCAAGGCACCCACCAAUUCGAGUACUCGACUGAGGGCCUAAUAAACCCAGACGGAGGUAGUACUAUACAUAGCAGCGGUGCAAUCAUCACACAGCUUGCCAGUGGCACAAGUGCGGUUACCACUUAUUACAUCUUCUUGCCAACUCCCACUUACUUACCACUUAAUAUUAUCCUUUUGAUAUUAAGAUUUUCAAUGCAUAGCAAAACAUUUCUAAUCUUUCAACCGUUUCAGGUGCAUAUGUGGGUAUGUCAUAUUAAAAUCAAAUAACAAUCUUCCUCAUUUCAUAGUUUGUGAUGAUUGGUUGCUACUUUGCACAAGACCCAAAAGGGAUGUCUAUGUAUCCUAGCUAUCCGAUAGAUUGCUAAUGAUCGAAAAAUGGCCAAAUUGGCAAAGUUGUAGGCGACCAUGUAAGUCAUGUAGAAAGAAAAUGCGCUGAUGAGCUGAGGACAAACUGUCACACCUCCAUAGCUGGGAAUCGUGGCAUAUCUCCCUCCCUGCACCCUGUCUAGUUGUGGAAGUUAUGUUGAACUGAUAGCCCACUUAAUCUAGAAGUGGCGUUUCAUUCGUGCAAUCCACAUGAUAUGGCAUGAAGGAAACAGGGACACACAGCUGCACCCACAAGGUUUAGACUUCAGAGUUCAGAGAUCACAUCCCAGAGGGAACCUGCUACCUCCUCGCAUUUAAAUUUCCUGGUUCAACAAUUGCUCACAUGUCACAGCCAUGUGAAAGUUGCCAGUAGGUGCAAGGUUACAGGCAAGCACAGAUAUGUGUCUCAUCAAUUAAGCACAAGACAAGAUCCCUCCAUCAAUUUCAAUUUCCAACAACAUCGAUCGGGCAUUCAUUCAUAUUGCUACCAUCCUAAAUGAGAUGUCACGGCAAUAUCACGUCACCAUUUGAUGAUAAGCAUAGGUAAAGGAAACAGAUGAAGCCCGAGCUAGCUAGCUAAAAGAUUCUCGGACUGUCAUGCACAUGAUGGGAUAUAUAUGUAUCUCUUGAGGGAUAUAUAUGUUGCUUAUGAUGGCACUUCUAGAAGUUCUUAUGGGCGGGAAAUAAUAUAGUGCGCUGCUCCCAAGAAUAAAGUGCUAGAUGCACUUUCUCUUUGUGAAUCCCGUGAUGACAUUUUCCCCAAAAUUAAAGUGCUAGAUGCACUCCCCCCCCAAGUCUCUUCUACCAAACCCACCAUCGUGCAAUCCUAGUGUCUGUUGUCAUGGUGAUUCUUCCAUGUUUCCGUCCUCUAUAAAAUUGCCUUAUGUCCAUACAUGUGUGGCUUACACAAUUGAGUCGUGUAGAGAUUAAGAGAAUCAUAUGAACUGCGAGCCAGGGGUUCUAGCAAUAUUUUGAUCAACACUCCCUUAUUGCACCAUCCACGAGAAAUUUUGAUGGGGAUGUUUUCGUGAAUAUGUCAUGUAGCCUACACAAUCAAGUGUUGAGCUUGGAGAGCUAGCAAGCUUAAGCCACCAACUGUUGAAUGUGUAAGAUGGUUAAAGUCCGGUCAUAUUAACUCAUAACUCCAUCCAUUUCAUAUCUGCUAACUAGCUUAGACAUCUUACUGAAGAAAAUUCAAUUUCAACAACUCAGAUGUUAUGCCAUUCUAGAUGGUGAAAUGUUUGCCUACUCAUUUCGAUCUUUUUGGCUACAAAGUAUAAUAUCUGGCAUGUUCUGUCAUGUUCAAAGAGUAUUGUAGGAAGGCUCUCGAGUUCCUCUCUUUUGCUCAGGAUAUACUAUGUGAGGUCUAAACCAUGAGUGGUGUAAGUGACUGUCUUUUAGAUAUAUAUCUAUAUAUUCCCAUACCAUUACUGAAGGAGGAAACUAGCUAACGAAGUUAAUUUGGCACGGAAUGAUGUUGAAGAGGCUUUUCGUGUCAAACAAUUAUUGUGACUGAUAGGUCUCUAACGUAUGUAUAAUUUUUUAUUGUUUCAUGCUAUUAUAUUAUCAAUCUUGGAUGCUUUAUAUGCUUCUAUUUUAUAUCAUUUUUUAGACUAACAUAUUAACUCGGUGCCCAGUGCGAGUUGUUGUUUUCUGCUUGUUUUUUGGCCUUUCAAAAAAUCAAUACUAAACAAAGUCCAAACACGAUGAAAACUUUAUGGUGAUUUUUUCUGGACCAGAAGGGAAACUAGAACGUUCGGGAGGAGGCCAAAAGAUCUACGGGAGAGCGACGAGCUCACCCGGUGCGCCCGAGGGGGCGCCCCCUGAGCUCGUGUGUCCCAUGCAACUUUGUUUGACCUAAUUCCACCUCUGUAAAUUACGAAAUAUUCCCAAACCAACAGAGAGCAACCCGAAACACUUUUUCCGCCGCCGCAAGCUUUUGUUCUUCCACAAUCUCAUCUAGAGGCCUUUUCCGGUACUGUACCGGAUGGGGAAUUGAUCACAGAGGUCUUCUACAUCAUCCUUUCUUCCUUCCAAUAAUGCGUGAGUAGUUCACCACAUACCUACGAGUCCAUAGCUGGUAGCUAGAUGGCUUCUUCUCUCUCUUCGAUCUUCAAUACCAUGUUCUCGAUCUUCUUGGAGUUCUAUCCGAUGUAUUUUUUUGUGGUGUGUUUGCUGGUAUCCGAUGAAUUGUGGGUUUAUGAUUAGAUCAUUAAUUGAAAGUAAUUGAGUCUUUUUUGAACUUUAUUAUGCAUGCUUAUUAUAGCUUUGUAUUUCUCUCCGAUUUAUCCAUUUGAUUUGGCCAACUAGAUUGAUUUACCGUUAGUGGGAGAUGUGCUUUGUGAUGGGUUCAAUCUUGCGUAGUGACAGAAAGGGUAGUGAGGCAUGUAUUUUUAUUGUUGCCAUUAAGGGUAAAACAAUAGAGUUUUAUUCAUAUUGCUUGAGUUUACUUUGUCUACAUCAUGUCAUCAUAUUACAUGCAUUAUUCUUUUUGUUAUGAACGUAAUACGUAGAGAGGCAAGCAUAGAAGUGCUCUCGAAGUGGAGUAAUAGUAAUAGAUGCAUAAUUAUUUCGGUCUACUUAUCAUGGACGUGAUGCCCAUAUACAUGAUCAUUGCCAUGAAUAACUUCAUAACUAUGCAUUUUUCUAUCAAUUGACCAACAGUAAUUUGUCUACUCGCAGUAUGUUAUUGUUUUGAGAGAGAAGCCUCUAGUGAAUACUAUGGCCUCCGGGUCUACUUACCUUGCUGAAAUUUAUUUACUUUUAUUUUUAUCUAUCUAUCACUAUCAGAAUUAAUCCUUGCCAGUGACGAGUUCAAGGGGAUUGACACCCCUCUUGCCCGUGUUGGGUGCAAGUAUUUGCUUUUGUGUGUGCGGGUACUAUUCAUUAGGAUUUGCAUUCUUCUCCCAUUGGUCCGAUAAACCGUGGUUCUCACUGAGGGAAAUAUUUAUCAGUUAGUAUAUUGCUUCACCCUUCCACUUCGAAAAUCCCAAUGCAUCUCACAAGUAGUAGUGACGUCGAAAUUCAAUACCAAAUCUGAAGUGUACCAAAUGUGAGGUGUUAUGAUGAUUGUGCAAAUAUAUCAAAUUCUUAUGAACAAUCUGAUUUCAUUUGAACAAUCAUCAAAUCUUCAAUCAUGGCAUUUAAGAGUGCCUUCAGUGAUCUAAAGAUGGUGUGGCAACACACGACUAAAGAUAAGUCAAUAAUGAUGAUGAUUAAUGCAUGAAUAGAACUCUCAUGUGCUAGCUGGAAUAGACAUAAAUCACCGACAUUGUUAAGGGCACGGGUGAUUGCUUAGGUACUCAAAAUUAUUAUGUUGUGAUCAGGAAUUCUUUUGUAGGUCGUUUAAACCCUUGGUGUGCAUUCACUAAAUAUGUGGUAUAACAAUUUUCUUUAGUGAGAAUAUAGAUGUUCGCAGGGCAUGAACAAAAAAACCAAUGUAUCACCAUAGGGAUAUAUAUAUAUAUAUAUAUAUAUAUAUAUAUAUAUAUAUAUAUAUAUAUAUAUAUAUAUAUAUAUAUAUAUGUUGCUUAUGGUGGGACUUCUAGAAGUUCUUAUGGGCAAGAAAUAAUACACUGCACUCCUCCCAAAAUUAAAGUGGUAGAUGCACUUUAUCUUUCUAAAUCCCGUGAUGGCACUUCUCCCAAAGUUAAAGUGCUAGAUGCACUUCUCCCAAACACCAACAAAUUUCUUCUACAAAUCCACCAUCAUGCAAUCCCGAUGCCACUUGUCAUGGUGAUGUCUUCCAUGAUUACAACAAUUGCAAUGUGGCAUUCAUUAUUUAUUCUAUUGGUAAGGUGUAUACUAGCAAAAUUAUUCAACUUCAUUUUUUUUCCUAUUAGCUCAGCACAUUCCACUGGAAUUGCUACUCCACAUCAUUUCAUGAACCUCUGUUUCUUUUCAUUAAUAGGUUUUGAAGAGGGUACUAGAGGCAUGGGACCUCUAAUUUAUCUUCAUGUAUUCUCGAGCUGCAGCGGCAUCCAAAUCAAGUCUAGAACUAGAAACUGUCUUCAUCUACCACUUCCAGGAUCAUUGGUUCUGCAUUAAGAACGUGGAUGGAGAGUGGUACGACUUCAAUAGUCUAUAUCCAGUCCCGCUCUCAUUUUUCCUCUCAGCUUACCUUGACACCAUGACACUACUAGGAAAAGGCAUGCUAGUGGCGCACCAGUUUUGCCUUCUAAUGGCGCACUACUGGUGCGCCACUAGCAUCACGCCAUUAGAAUUAAAUUCUAAUGGCGCAUCACUGGUGCGCCAUUAGUAUCUGGUGUUCUAAUGGCGCACCAGGUAGUACACCAUUAGUAUAGCCCACAGUGCGCCAUUAGAAUGCCUCCGAGGGGGCCAUAUGUACCCAUGUACUUUGGCAUACUAAUGGCACACCAGUGGGUGAUGCGCCAUUAGUGUGAUUAUCUCAGUGCGCCACUAGUGUCUUGUGUGGUGCGCCACUAGUAUGAAUAUUAGGGAUUUUUUUUCUGAUAUUUUCACAGGUUUCAAAAUAUAUUAUUGGACAGAAUUUAGACAACACCACACAGCAUCGAAUACAAUAGAAGAUUAGUCUCCGAAUACAAAUCAUCAUAUUAAUCUCCGAAUUCAAAAGACCAAGCAAAGAUAGAACAUUACAAGUCUCAAGACCGCGAGUAGCGAGUUUGUCUUCACAUUACAAGUCGAUAUCGAUCAUCUAAACUACCAUCACAUAGAAGAAAGUUGCUGUCAUCACAAUGAGCAUCAUCGCGAUGAAACUGGUCUUCAUCCGGUUCCUCCAACGCUCCCUCCUCUCUCCCGCUAGAUAGCGGGCGUAUCUAGAUUCCGCCUCCGCCCUAGUGGUGUACCCUUUGUAACUGUUACCGCUGAAACGGUGAACCUGUCUCCGACACUCCUCCCAGUCGUCGUAGACUCCGGGAACCUUACCCUUGUACACGACAUACGACGGCAUCUCUAUGCACAAGCCAAGCAACAGACAAUACAUAAGCAAUAUAUAAGUAUGCAACAAAAGGAUCGGAAGAGAAAAGCAAGAUAUUAAUAGCACGAUUCAUGUUCCUACUAAUAAAUAGCAUCGAUUACAUCUAAGUUGAACGACUGUCCAAACCAAAGAGACAUACAAGUUCAUUAAAGUUUAAUUACAACAUGAGCCAAUCAAUGUUUCAGAACUACAUAUAGCAUCACUCCUUUUGACUCGACUCAUGGGGGACCGGAGCGUGGAUGAAGCCGCCGUCUGUUGUGAUGGUCAUGAAAUCGCGGGCGUUGUCAGCCUGCAUUUGUAGCGUUGUGUCUAUCUCACGGUUGGACGGUUGAUAUCUGAGGUAGAACUGCCCCGAGGUACGAAGGACAUCUUGAUGGAUAAUUUCCGCAAACUCCGACUGGAUGCGAAAGAAUUCUUGUUUGAUGUCCGCGUCCUGGAUUGCCGACAAGCUCGCGGCCCAAUCUUUGAGAUUAUCUGGUAGCAGAAGGUGAUGAUGGUCUCAUACGAUUGCCCGCAAGUGAUGGAGGGCAUAGUAGGCAUCCUUCUGACCGCCAGGCGGCUGCUUGACGCAGGAGAACUUUGUAUUGUGGGCAAACACGUGCGCGCCGUACCGCCUACGAACUGGCUUGGUGAAGGUGCCUCCAGAUUUGGCGUAGCCGGGGAGAACAUCAUCAAGAACUUUCUUGAUAUUUGUGUAGUCUAUCUUAGAGUCACGGUCCGGGUCGAAAUACGUGUCCAUGGAAUAUUUCGGGCUUAAGAGGAUGAGUGUGCAAUGUGUGUCACUGCACAGAACACAAAAUGUUAGAAAAAAAAAAGAACGAUCCAAAUCUAAGAAAUCAUAUGUUACGGGGCGGUUAGGGGAUGACUUACUCGGGAAAGUAAGGCACGAGGAAGUUAUCCUUAUCUGGGUUUGCCAGAAUGACGCCUUUGAGGUAAGAACUCGCGACAUGCCGGUCCCCAGCGUUGCACAAGUUCUUGGCAUGCAUGUAGAAGGGGUCGACUAUCACGAUGUCCGGGGUCUUGUCUCUAAUGAUCUGUAUCUCCAUACUCAGCGAAAACAGCUGAACGAGGGUGUAGUGCAGCGGAUGAAGGUUAAACAUAGCAAAGAUGUCAUCAAACCGCAGGACGAUCGUACCCUCGAUGGGGCCAUCCACAAAGCCCUUGCCCUCUGGCACCUUGGCCACGAAACCGGGUAUGCCACAUCAUUCUCUCUGAGACGCCGCUUCUCCAAAGAAAGAACACUGUCAUGCAGACUCUGCAUAGCACUGGUUGCAGCAUUGAGCAUAUUUGUCGGUAGCAUCGCCCUACCCGCCACAUGCACCCUCCUCGAGAUAUCCUUAGGUAAAGGUGGCUCGUCCUGAGCACGGAUCGUACUCGGUGCCGGCUGGCUGGCACCCUUUUACUCUUUUUUUUCCGUCCCUUCUUCUUCUGUUCUAAUGGGACUGAGUUCUGCUCACAGACCGCCUUCUUGAGUGUGUUGGGGCUGAUAAUAUUUGGCUCCUCGGCUAUCUGAGGCUCGGUGAAGUCGGCAGCUGGAGGCGUCUCCUGAGAACUGAACGCCAGACGACGCCUGAUGCAAUUGGGUUUCUCCGCCAUACCAGCUAGACCGCGGUCGUCUUUUGUAGGGUUGGGUUCUUGAGAAAGAGGCCCGCAGAAUUCGUCAUCGUACCCAUGUUCGGCAAAGUACUUAUCGACGUUGCUAAAUAUACAGCCGUCGUCGUUGUCGUCGUCGUUCAGAUCCUGUGCCAUAUGCAUGUUCGGAUCCUGUGCCAUAAGGAUGUCCGGCAUGUCCGGUAGCGUUGCGGCGGUCUUGCCAUGGCUUGGCGCCGGCACGACUGGCAGUGUUGUCUUUGGGGUGGUGUCCCCCGCCCCCAAAUGAAUCUGGCUCUUCGGCAAAAGCAGGGGCCAGCUUAUGCAAGUGCUGAGGGUCAUCAGAUCAUCUUCGUUGGCCCCAGCGGGUCGAAUCGGAGGUAACAACUCGUCGUAGCCUGGCAGCACCCGAACCAGUUCAACCCUAUACAUGGUGGGUGGCAUCGAUUUACCGUGGAACACGGGGUUGCCCGGUUGAACGAUUUUGCCCUUGGCAACAUCGACCAACUCGUUGUUCACGAAGUGUAGGAGAGUGCACGGAACGUCGGCGGCGCCCUGCGAAAACAUGUAGGACGUCAGGGAUGCCCAGUCAAAGGCAAAAGGAGAUAAAGUCCUCGGCCGAGAGGCUUAAUGAGUUACCGUGAUGAUGGCGUCGAGCUCGGCUAAUGUCGAGGCACCACCAACGGUGGGCGUGCAACUGGCGGAGGGGCCGCUUGCUGCCGAGGUGCCGGCCGGCGUACACCCGGGUGCAUUAAGCUCCAAUGCCGGCCGUGCCGGCGUCGGAGACACCAAUACCGCCGCCGGAGACACCAAUGGCGCCGCCUACGCGUUGUGCGAGUUGCUGGCCGUGAAGCUGAGAAUCCGGGGCGGCCUCUGUUGGCCACCCGCAAUCCACGUCGUCAGCCCAUGAAUCAAGGUAGGCAUAAUGCCAGUGAGCGUCGAUCCUAGAUGUUGUUGCACUUGCUCUUGGAUAAUCUCCGGAAUCCACGCCACUUGUGCCUUGAGUUCUUGAACCUCGCGUGACUGGCUUUCUGAGCUGGUCUUUUUCUCCUUUCGCCCACCAGCGGUAUAGUAUGACGACCAUUUUGUGGACAAGCCUUUGCCGGCCACACGACCAGCUGAAGAUGGCUUACUGAGCUUAUCCUUGUUUUUCAUUAUGUUCAACGCCCUAUUUAGAGUGUUGUCCCAAGCAUGGGUGCUCUGAGACAACCCCGCGCUACUGCUUUCAGUCUCCUUCGCUAGAACAAGCUCAAGCGCCCUGGUCUUCGGAUCCGUGUUAAGCUCCUUUGUUAUCGGGUCCUUCUUGUACCGGGCCCUGACAUAGUUCCUGGUCUGCUUGUCACUGCUGUAUUUGUCGAAGCGGGGCGGUAGGCCUUGCUCGGCAUGCUUCCUGUCCUCCUUGUCCCAUAUAGGCUCCGCCACUUUGUAACCGCCGGGACCGAGUUUGUGUUCCCCUAAGUUCAACUCCUGCAUUUCUUUCCCCCACUGACUUGAUUCGGAGGUUGCACUGCUCUCGCACUUGAUCUUGAACUCCUUGUAGUCAUCUUCGCUGAUCAAAGGAUUUUUCGCCUUGAUCUUCUCAUAACUAUCACCUUUCUCAAUCAUUCUCUUCACUGCGCUUCUCCAAGUAGACAGGGUCGUGCUCAUCCUCGUGAGGGCGGCACUGUUCACUUUAUUCCCUGAGAGGCGUGUGUUUUCAAAUUCAGCGGGGAACUUGUAUCGCUCGUAUAGCUUCAUGAAGAGGAGGUUGCGCAAAUUCUCUCGGUCCUUAUGCCUAAGGUUCUCGGUGUUGAUCGAGACGAUGCUCCGGAGAAUGCACCCGAGCUGAACCGAGUACCCCUUGACUAUAUGUUUGGGCUCCGUUGGAUUCCCGUCGGAAUCCACUUGAGUAAAUUCCUCCUUGACGGUGCAGAGCGCGUUCGGGCGCCGGUCCUUCCGUUGCCUCUUCGGUUGGCUGCCAUCUAUGCGUGCGCCACCAUCAUCAGUGGUGUCAUCCCCGACGGCACUAGGGGUUGUGUAGUCAGGAUCGGUGUCUUCCGCAGCGUCCUCAUAGCGGUGAUGUUCUUUCUCCAACUCCUGGGAUAGCUCUUAGAAUUGCUUGCCACCCAAACCGCCAGCCUCAUCGUUGUGGGCCAUGUUUCGCUCUAAAUAGGAAAAAAGUUUGGUCAAAAAGUUGGUUAUUGUCAAGGAACAAGAUCAUGGUCUCAUCAUUUAGGGUUUGUCGACACCGAGGCAUCCUAAAAGCUAAGCUUUUAUCGUUUAGGGUGGGUCGAUGCCGAGGCACCCUAAAAGCCUAAGCAUACAUCAUUUAGGUUCUCAUCGGCAUCGAGGCAUCUGGGGCAGCCAAGUUAAGUUUUCAUCAUUUAGGGUUUAUCGAUGCCGAGGCACUCAAGGUUGGGCCUAAUCACUUGGCACUAAUCACUUGGCUCUAUUGCCACCUAUGUUGGGUUUAUCAUCUAGGGUUUAUCGAUACUAAGGAGAAUUCUAAGUUGGGCCUAAUCACUUGGCUCUAUUGCCACCUAUGGUUUAAUGCAGCAAGAAUGGCGGGGCAGUUGAUCCUACUUAACUAAGUACUAAGAUACCCCGGCGCAUGCAUUAGUCGCAAGUAUCCCAUAUGUCCUAUUUUUAGCAAAGUCAUGCUAAAAUUCACGGAAAAUUUCAGCAUGACCUUUGCUAAAAAUAGGACAUAAAUGAAUAAUAGUACACUUAGGAGCUCACUGAAAAGCAAUGACAUAUUCAUGAUCUAGUUUAGCAGCAGGUUGCAAUAUUCCCCCUAAUUGCAAGAUGCAUCAUUUCUAAUUAAUUAGGAGAACCUACCUAGCAAGUCUCCGAUUCGUUUAUACCGUCAAUAAAAAAAUUCUACAAGAGAAAAAAAGGCAAGCCAAAUACUCAUGUCAUUCCAUUAGGGCAUUAUCUUCCUACAACUACUCAUCUUCAGCAGCACAUGAUACUGCUACUGUAUCUAAUACAACAACAUGACACUUGUUAUUGUAUCUAAUGUUCCUACAACUACUGUAUCUACAACAGUAGCACAUGAUACUGCUACUUUAUCUACAACUACAACUACUACAACAACAUAAAACUACUAUGCAUCAUCUUCCUACUAUACUUGCUACUCAUCUUCAGAACCAAACAGCAGCAAAAACAUGAUCAUCUCACUAAACAAGUUCAGAGCAGUCAGUUUCAAUACAGUUCAGAAACCACAAACCCAGCCUAAACAUCACUCAAGUCAUAACUUGUUUACAGCGAGACAAAUAAAAUUUGACAAUGGUAAGACCAGAGUAAGUAGAUUUAGGGGAUCUGCCUCGUGUCUCUAUUUGGCUUUGAACUGAAGAAUUGGCUUUGGUUCUUAUUCAGAUGACCUACACUGCCACGGUCGAGGGGAGGGAGGGAGGGAAUGGGGAAUGGUGGAGAGAGAGAGGAAGGAGGAAGGAGGAGAGGUACCUGGUCGCCGGAGCGGUCGGGGUCGGGGUCCGAGCUCGUUCGGGUCCUUGCUCGCCGCGGUCGAAGGAGAGCAGGGGCCGGUUGUGGAGGAUGGCAGGGGUAGGCGGGGUGGGCGCGUUGGGGCCGUGCUCGCCGGCUGCUGCAGGGGCCGGAGGAGGCCCUCGCUCGUCGGAGGGUGGAGGAGAGGAGAGGAGCGAGCGGCGCGCGCUCGACCGAUACCGUUCGGGGGGCGCGGGGGCGGCAAGGGUGGAGUCCCGCGGGGGUCGGGGCGGCGGCGGCGGGGCAGCGCAAGACCACAGCGGCGGCGGCGUCACCGACGGCGUGCAGGCGCGGCGUACGGUUGGGGUCGAGUGGAUCUGGCGAGGGAGGGAGGGAGGCCACAGUACGAGGGGAAUAGGUGGAGUGGGGGGAGGGUUCUGAUGGCGCACCUCCCCCUAGUGCGAUAUAAGUACGACGAUUCUAAUGGCGCACCUCGCCCUGGUGCACCAUUAGAAUUUUGUUUUAUUUACUAGCCCGACUGGUCAAGUUAUAUUCCACCUAACCCCCACUCCAUCAGAACACGCCCACUAGCCCGACUCGUCAGCACGCAGCACACACACUAGGAGGUCCUGGGUUCGAUUCCCAGGCUCCCCAAUUUUUGUAUUUAUGCAUUUAAAAUAUUGUUUGAUAUUUAUUUGUGUUUAAAUAUGUUCAAACUUGUUUAAAGCAUAACAGUAAUAUUUUUUAUAAAAACAAUAAUAAUUUUUUUUAAAUAUCAUCAAAUUUGUUAUUUGAAAUAUUUAUGAAUAUGAAAAAAUAUCAUCAAAUUUAUUAUUUAAAAAUAUCAUCAAAUUUGUUAUUUGAAAAUAUAAUCAAAUUUUUUUCUUUACAAAUUUAGUUGCAUUCAUUUGUGAUGGUGGAGCGGGCCGGGGAGGGUGCGGGUGGUCAUCGGCGGCGGUUGAGUGGNNNNNNNNNNNNNNNNNNNNNNNNNNNNNNNNNNNNNNNNNNNNNNNNNNNNNNNNNNNNNNNNNNNNNNNNNNNNNNNNNNNNNNNNNNNNNNNNNNNNNNNNNNNNNNNNNNNNNNNNNNNNNNNNNNNNNNNNNNNNNNNNNNNNNNNNNNNNNNNNNNNNNNNNNNNNNNNNNNNNNNNNNNNNNNNNNNNNNNNNNNNNNNNNNNNNNNNNNNNNNNNNNNNNNNNNNNNNNNNNNNNNNNNNNNNNNNNNNNNNNNNNNNNNNNNNNNNNNNNNNNNNNNNNNNNNNNNNNNNNNNNNNNNNNNNNNNNNNNNNNNNNNNNNNNNNNNNNNNNNNNNNNNNNNNNNNNNNNNNNNNNNNNNNNNNNNNNNNNNNNNNNNNNGACCCUGGUUACUAAUGGCGCACCUGCUUCUGGUGCGCCAUUAGAAGUUUUGCAAAAAAAUAAAAAAAAGUAUAUAUUCUAAUGGCGCACCAUGGCCCAGUGCGCCAUUACUAGUUUAAAGACUAGUAAUGGCGCACUGUGCCACGGUGCGCCAUUAGUAGUUUUGCAAAAAAAGAAUAAAAAAUAAACAACAGUAGCGGCGCAGUGUGUGGCCAGUGCGCCAUUACUAGUUAGCACUAGUAAUGGCGCACCGAGCCAUGAUGCGCCAUUAGUAUGUUUGGAAAAUUUAAAAAAAAUUGUUACUAGUGGCGCACCAUGUUCCUGGUGCGCCAUUAGUGUCUUCCACAUGACGGGUGCGCCAUCAGUGUCCAUCUCAUCUAUAGCCCUUUUCCUAGUAGUGUGAGGGGGCCUGGCUUGAACAUCUAUGUGUAAGGGGCACUUUUCCCAGGGACUGCCCUAAUAAUUACAAUUAUUUUGGCCAGUAGCUGACUCCUGAUAAAGCAAGGAUCAUUACACAUCCACGCUUCGGGGCGCGAUGGAAACAAGAGAGCAACACUGCAAUAGCAAUGGUCUCGAGGAGGUAUCUCACAGUGGGGGUAGCCGCUAGCGUGAGGAACCUUGAAGUUCCAGGCACCAAGACCGAAGUACCUAGUCAGCAACCUCGCCAACGAAAGGGCAUAUCUAAUUGCCUAUGAUGCAAGAGGAGAGUGAUCACGACCUGAAGGCAGCAAUAACUAUUAGCGUGAUGCCAUUUGAAGCUCCGGCGACCAGUUCUCAUCCAACCCAAGAAGAGAGAAUUUCAACCACCAUGGCGGAACCUAGCUCCGAUAACUAUGAAGGGCUGCUGGAAGAAGAUUAGGAUGUCAUUUUUCUUCUUCAUUUUUCUUCUUCAUUCACAUAGUAGCAGUGACGUCCAAAUUCAAUACCAAAUCUGAAGUGUACCAAAUGUGAACUGUUAUGAUGAUUGUGCUGAUAUAUCAAAUUCUUGUGAACAAUCUAAUUUCAUUCGAACAAUCAUCAAAUCUUCAAUCAUGGCAUUUAAGAGUGCCUUCAAAGAUCUAAAGAUGGUGCAACAACACACGACUAAAGAUAAUGCAAUAAUGAUGAUGAUUAAUGCAUGAAUCAAACUCUCAUGUGCUAGCUGGAAUAGACAUAAAUCACUAAUAUUGUUUAGGGCACGGGUGAUUGCUUGGGUAGCCAAAACUUAUAUGUUGUGAUCGGGAAUUCUUUUGUAGGUCAUUUUAACCCAUUGGAGUACCUCCAUUGAAUAUGUGGUAUAACAAAUUUCUUCAAUGGGAAAACAUAUGUUCGCGGGGCAAUGAAGAAGAAAACUAAUGUAUCACCAUAUGGAUAUAUAUGUUGCUUAUGGUGGGACUUCUAGAACAUUUUAUGGGCAAGAAAUAAUACACUUCAGUGCUCACAAAAUUAAAGUGGUAGAUACACUUUCUCUUUUUGAAUACGAUGACAGUUCUCCCAAAAUUAAAGUGGUAGAUGCACUUCUCCCAAACACCAAAAAAUCUCUUCUACAGAUCCACCAUCAUGCAAUCCUGGUGCCUCUUGGCGUGGUGAUUCUUCCAUGCUUUUGUCCUCUAUAAAACAUCAUUAUGGUCAGACAUGUGUCUUUUACACACAAUCAAGUCGAGUAGAGAUCAAAAGGGANNNNNNNNNNNNNNNNNNNNNNNNNNNNNNNNNNNNNNNNNNNNNNNNNNNNNNNNNNNNNNNNNNNNNNNNNNNNNNNNNNNNNNNNNNNNNNNNNNNNNNNNNNNNNNNNNNNNNNNNNNNNNNNNNNNNNNNNNNNNNNNNNNNNNNNNNNNNNNNNNNNNNNNNNNNNNNNNNNNNNNNNNNNNNNNNNNNNNNNNNNNNNNNNNNNNNNNNNNNNNNNNNNNNNNNNNNNNNNNNNNNNNNNCAAACUCCCAUGAAAAUACUUAUGCACAUCAUAGAAAUUAUGUGAAGUCUCCCCUGGAAUCUAGAUCGUCGCCUCCGCGUAUCUCCUUUCCCCGCCGGUAUAAUCUCCCUCCCUCCCUCCCCACACAGAACAACACGCCAGAAGUCCACCCCCAAAUUGCCACCACCCUAGAGCGAGUCUCCUCCUCCAUGCCCUGGAGCUUCAACGGCGCCGCUCGUACCGUCUUCCUCUCUUUCGUGCAUUGGCUGGCGAAGUACGAGCAGCUUCCAGUACUCUGGUGGUUGAUUGCUUAGUUCCCGACCAACCUCCUCAGAUUCCGCUCGCCGUCUAGAUCCGCCCUGGAUGCUGCUCCGGUUGCCGCUCUGCCAAAUUCUCAAUUUUCCACAAACGAAAGCACUUCGUUGUUGCGCGGCUGAGUACCAGCAGCAUCUUGUUUCAGCAAUAGCUGGUGGUUCAAUUGAACAGAUGCUCGACUCGGCAUGUGUUUUGCUGUCUAUUACCCUCAACAAAUUUCGCAGAACAUCAUUUUUGUCAAUUAGACUGAAUUCCCCAUGAUCUGCAUCUUGAACCCAGCCUUCUGUCGGCGGAUUCGCCCGUCGCGCGCUAGCUAGGGGAGUGUUUGGAUUCGAAUCAUGCCGAUGAAUUAUGCCUUUUUGCUGGUUGUUCCCAAGGGAUGUGAGUUUUUGUAGCUAUGAUUCUUGUACAUGCUCAGGGUGGUUGUGUAUUUAUGCGAGUUUCAUUUUUGUAGCUAUGGUUCUUGUCGAUACUCAGGGUGGUUGUGUAUUUAUGCGAGUUUCGGCAUCUCCAGUAUUUCUUUCAUUCAAAUUUAAGUUGCACGUACAAAAGGUCGACAUAGUAUAAAUGCAAAGAUAAGAACUUGCUUCACAUAUAAAUCCAUCAAUAAUAUUCUAGUUUGGAAUAUAUAUAUAAUUAUUAAGGUUUAGAUAACACAAGGGCAAGAAAGUUGUUAUGGAAUCCACUUAUGAAUUCAUGGGUUUGCUGGGACAUAGAGUAUAUUGUUGGGGAACGUAGUAAUUUCAAAAAUUUCCUACGUACACGCAAGAUCAUGGUGAUGGCAUAGCAACGAGAGGGGAGAGUGUUGUCCACGUACCCUCGUAGACCGUAAGCGGAAGCGUUAUGACAACGCGGUUGAUGUAGUCGUACGUCUUCACGAUCCGACCGAUCCAAGUACCGAACAUACGGCACCUCCGAGUUCAGCACACGUUCAGCUCGAUGACGAUCCCCGGUCUCCGAUCCAGCAAAGCUUCGGGGAUGAGUUCCGUCAGCACGACGGCGUGGUGACGAUGACGAUGUUCUACCGGCGCAGGGCUUCGCCUAAACUCCGCAACGAUAUGACCGAGGUGGAAUAUGGUGGAGGGGGGCACCGCACACGGCUAAGGAACGAUCCGUAGAUCAACUUGUGUUGUUGUGCCUAGAGGUGCCCCCCUGCCCCCGUAUAUAAAGGAGCAAGGGGGGAGGGGCCGGCCGGCCUAGGAGGGGCGCGCCAAGGGGAGUCCUACUCCCACCGGGUGAGUAGGACUCCCUCCUUCCUUGUUGGAGUAGGAGAAGGGGGGAAAGAGGGGGACAGGAGGAAGGAAAGGGGGGCCGCACCCCUUGUCCAAUUCGGACCAGAGGGGGGCUGCGCGCCUCCUUCCUUUCGGCUUCUCUCCUCUAUUCCCGUAUGGCCCAAUAAGGCCCAUAUACUCCCCGGCGAAUUCCCGUAACUCUCCGGUACUCCGAAAAAUACCCGAAUCACUCGGAACCUUUCCGAACUCCGAAUAUAGUCGUCCAAUAUAUAAAUCUUUACGUAUCGACCAUUUCGAGACUCCUCGUCAUAUCCCCGAUCUCAUCCGGGACUCCAAACUCCUUCGGUACAUCAAAACUCAUAAACUCAUAAUAUAGCUGUCAUCGAAACCUUAAGCGUGCAGACCCUACGGGUUCGAGAACUAUGUAGACAUGACCGAAACAUGUUUCCAGUCAAUAACCAAUAGCGGGACCUGGAUGCCCAUAUUGGCUCCCACAUAUUCUACGAAGAUCUUUAUCGGUCAAACCGCAUAACAACAUACGUUGUUCCCUUUGUCAUCGGUAUGUUACUUGCCCGAGAUUCGAUCGUCGGUAUCCAAUACCUAGUUCAAUCUCGUUACCAGCAAGUCUCUUUUCUCGUUACAUAAUGCAUCAUCCCGCAACUAACUCAUUAGUCACAUUGCUUGCAAGGCUUAUAGUGAUGUACAUUACCGAGAGGGCCCAGAGAUACCUCUCCGACAAUCGGAGUGACAAAACCUAAUCUCGAAAUACGCCAACCCAACAUGUACCUUUGGAGACACCUGUAGUACUCCUUUAUAAUCACCCAGUUACGUUGUGACGUUUGGUAGCACCCAAAGUGUUCCUCCGGUAAACGGGAGUUGCAUAAUCUCAUAGUUACAGGAACAUGUAUAAGUCAUGAAGAAAGCAAUAGCAACAUACUAAACGAUCAAGUGCUAGGCUAACGGAAUGGGUCAUGUCAAUCACAUCAUUCUCCUAAUGAUGUGAUCCCAUUAAUCAAAUGACAACACAUGUCUAUGGUUAGGAAACAUAACCAUCUUUGAUUAAUGAGCUAGUCAAGUAGAGGCAUACUAGUGACUAUAUGUUUGUCUAUGUAUUCACACAUGUAUCAUGUUUCCGGUUAAUACAAUUCUAGCAUGAAUAAUAAACAUUUAUCAUGAAAUAAGGAAAUAAAUAAUAACUUUAUUAUUGCCUCUAGGGCAUAUUUCCUUCAGUCUUCCACUUGCACUAGAGUCAAUAAUCUAGUUCACAUCGCUAUGUGAUUUAACACCAAUAUUCACAUCUGCAUGUGAUUAAUACCCGUAGUUCACAUCAUCAUGUGAUCAACACCCAAAGGGUUUAAUAGAGUCAAUAAUCUAGUUCACAUCGCUAUGUUAUUAACACCCAAAAGAGUACUGAGGUAUGAUCAUGUUUUGCUCGUGAGAGAAGCUUAGUCAACGGGUCUAUCAUAUUCGGAGCCGUAUGUAUUUCGCAAAUAUUCUAUGUCCACAAUGCUCUGCACAAAGCUACUCUAGCUAAUUGCUCCCACUUUCAAUAUGUAUCCAGAUUGAGACUUAGAGUCAUCUGGAUUGGUGUAAAAGCUUGCAUCAUUGUAACUUUUAUGACGGGCUCUUUUAUUACCUUCAUAAUCGAGAAACAUCUCCUUAGUCCUCACUAAGGAUAUUCUUGACCCAUGUCCAGUGAUCUACUUAUUAGAUCAAAAUUGUAUUCCUUUGCCAAACACAGAGCAAGGUAUACAAUAGGUCUAGUUCACAUCAUAGCAUACUUUAUAGAACCUAUGACUGAGGCAUAGGGAAUGACUUUUCAUUCUCUUUCUAUUUUUUGCAAUGGUUGGGUCUUGAGUCUUACUCAACUUCACACCUUGUAACACAGGCAAGAACUCCUUCUUUGACUGUUCCAUUUUGAACUAUUUCAAAAAUUUAUCAAGGUAUGUACUCAUUGAAAAAUCUUAUCAAGCGUCUUGAUCUAUCUAUAUAGAUCUUGAUGCUCAAUGUGUAAGCAGCUUCACCGAGGUCUUGCUUUGAAAAACUCUUAUUCAAGUAUCCUUUCAUGCUAUCCAGAAUUUUCAUAUCAUUUCCAAUUAACAAUAUGUCAUCCACAUAUAAUAUUAGAAAUGCUACACAGCUCCCACUCACUUUCUUGUAAAUACAGACUUCUUCAAAAGUCUGUGUAAAACCAUAUGCUUUGAUCAACUCAUCAAAGCAUAUAUUCCAACUCCGAGAUGCUUGCACCAGUCCAUAGAUGGAUCGCUGGAGCUUGCACAAUUUGUUAGCACCUUUAGGAUUGACAAAACCUUCUGGUUGCAUCAUAUACAACUCUUCUUUAAGAAAACCAUUAAGGAAUGCAGUUUUGUUUAUCCAUUUGCCAGAUUUCAUAAAAUGCGGCAAUUGCUAACAUGAUUCAGACAGACUUAAGCAUAGAUACGAGUGAAAAACUCUCAUUGUAGUCAACACCUUGAACUUGUCGAAAACCUUUUGCGACAAUUCUAGCUUUGUAGAUAGUAACACUAUCAGCGUCCGUCUUCCUCUUGAAGAUCCAUUUAAUCUCAAUGUCUCACCGAUCAUUGGGCAAGUCAAUCAAAGUCCAUACUUUGUUUUCAUACAUGGAUCUUAUCUCAGAUCUCAUGGCCUCAAGCCAUUUUGCGGAAUAUGGGCUCACCAUCGCUUCUUCAUAGUUCGUAGGUUCGUCAUGGUCUAGUAACAUAACUUCCAGAACAGGAUUACCGUACCACUCUGGUGCGGAUCUUACUAUGUAAGACCUACGAGGUUCUGUAGUAACUUAAUCUGAAGUUUCAUGAUCAUCAUCAUUAACUUCCUCACUAAUUGGUGUAGUAAUCACGGGAACAGAUUUCUGUGAUGAACUACUUUCAAAGGAGGGAGCAGGUAUAGUUACCUCAUCAAGUUCUACUUUCCUCCCACUCACUUCUUUCAAGAGAAACUCCUUCUCUAGAAAGGAUCCAUUCUUAGCAAUGAAUGUUUUGCCUUUGGAUUUGUGAUAGAAGGAGUACCCAACAGUUUCCUUUGGGUAUUCUAUGAAGACGCACUUCUCCAAUUGGGGUUCGAGCUUAUCAGGUUGAAAACCUUUUUCAUAUAAGCAUCGCAACUCCAAACUUUAAGAAACGACAGCUUAGGUUUACUUCUAAACCAUAGUUCAUACGAUGUCGUCUCAACGGAUUUAGAUGGUGCCCUUUUAAUGUGAAUGCAGCUGUCUCUAAUGCAUAACCCCAAAACAAUAAUGGUAAAUCAGUAAGAGACAUCAUAGAUCGCAUCAUAUCCAAUAAAGUUCGGUUACGACGUUCGGACACACCAUAACGUUGUGGUGUUCCAGGUGGCGUGAGCUGUGAAACUAUUCCACAUUGUUUUAAUUGAAGACCAAACUCGUAACUCAAAUAUUCGUCUCCGCGAUCAGAUCGCAAAAACUUUAUUUUCUUGUUACGAUGAUUUUUCCACUUCACUCUGAAAUUCUUUGAACCUUUCAACUAUUUCAGACUUAUGUUUCACCAAGUAGAUAUACCCAUAUCUGCUCAAAUCAUCUUGUGAAGGUCAGAAAAUAACGAUACUUGCCACGAGCAUCAACACUCAUUGGAUCGCAUACAUCGGUAUGUAUUAUUUCCAAUAAGUCAGUAGCUUGUUCCAUUGUUUCGGAGAACGGAGUUUUAGUCAUCUUGCCCAAAAGGCACGGUUCGCAAGCAUCAAAUGAUUCAUAACCAAGUGAUUCCGAAAAUCCAUCUUUAUGGAGUUUCUUCAUGCGCUUUACACCGAUAUGACCCAAACGGCAGUGCCACAAAUAAGUUGCACUAUCAUUAUUAACUUUGCAUCUUUUGGCAUCAAUAUUAUGAAUAUGUGUAUCACUAUGAUCGAGCUCCAACAAACUAUUUUCAUUGGGUGUAUAACCAUCGAAGGUCUUAUUCAUGUAAAUAGAAUAACAAUUAUUCUCUAACUUUAAAUGAAUAACCGUAUCGCAAUAAACACGAUCAAAUCAUGUUCAUGCUCAACGCAAAUGCCAAAUAACAUUUAUUUAGGUUUAACACUAAUCCCGAAAGUAUAGGGAGUGUGCGAUGAUGAUCAUAUCAAUCUUGGAACUACUUCCAACACUCAUCGUCACUUCCCCUUCAACUAGUCUCUGUUUAUUCUGUAACUCCUGUUUCGAGUUACUAAUCUUAGUAACCGAACAAGUAUCAAAUACUCAGGGGCUACUAUAAACACUAGUAAGGCACACAUCAAUAACCUAUAUAUCAAAUAUACCCUUGUUCACUUUGCCAUCCUUCUUAUCCACCAAAUAUUUGGAGUAGUUCCACUUCCAGUGACCAUUUCCUUUGCAGUAGAAGCACACAGUUUCAUGCUUAGGUCCAGCUUUGGGCUUCUUCACGGGAGUGACAACUUGUUUGCCAUUCUACUUGAAGUUUCCCUUUCUUUCCCUUUGCCCUUUUCUUGAAACUAGUGGUCUUGUCAAUCAUCAACACUUGAUGCUCUUUCUUGAUUUCUACCUUCCUCGAUUUCAACAUCACGAAGAGCUCGGGAAUUGUUUUCGUCAUCCCUUGCAUACUAUAGUUCAUCACGAAGUUCUAGUAACUUAGUGAUGGUGACUAGAGAAUUCUGUCAAUCACUAUCUUAUCUGGAAGAUUAACUCCCACUUGAUUCAAGUGAUUGAAGUACCCAGACAAUCUGAGCACAUGCUUACUAGUUGAGCUAUUCUCCUCCAUCUUUUAGCUAUAGAACUUGUUGGAGACUUCAUAUCUCUCAACUCGGGUAUUUGCUUGAAAUAUUAACUUCAAUUCCUGGAACAUCUCAUAUGGUCCAUGACGUUCAAAACAUCUUUGAAGUCCCGAUUCUAAGCCGUUAAGCAUGGUGCACUAAACUAUCAAGUAGUCAUCAUAUUGAGCUAGCCAAACGUUCAUAACGUCUGCGUCUGCUCCUGCAAUAGGUCUGUCACCUAGCGGUGCAUUAAGGACAUAAUUCUUCUGUGCAGCAAUGAGGAUAAACCUCAGAUCACGGAUCCAAUCCGCAUCAUUGCUACUAACAUCUUUCAACACAAUUUUCUCUAGGAACAUAUCAAAAUAAACAUAUGAAAGCAACAACGCAAGCUAUUGAUCUACAACAUAAUUUGCAAAAUACUACCAGGACUAAGUUCAUGAUAAAUUUAAGUUCAAUUAAUCAUAUUACUUAAGAAAUCCCACUUAGAUAGACAUCCCUCUAAUCCUCUAAGUGAUUACAUGAUCCAUAUCAACUACACCAUGUCCGAUUGUCACGUGAGAUGGAGUAGUUUCAACGGUGAACAUCAAUAUAUUGAUCAUAUCAACUAUAUGAUUCACGCUCGACCUUUCGGUCUUCGUGUUCUGAGGCCAUAUCUGUAUAUGCUAGGCUCGUCAAGUUUAACCCAAGUAUUCCGCGUGUGCAACUAUUUUGCACCCGUUGUAUUUUAACGUAGAGCCUAUCACACCCGAUCAUCACGUGGUGUCUCAGCACGAAGAACUUUCGCAACGGUGCAUACUCAGGGAGAACACUUCUUGAUAAUUAGUGAGAGAUCAUCUUAAAAUGCUACCGUCAAUCAAAGCAAGAUAAGAUGCAUAAAGGAUAAACAUCACAUGCAAUCAAUAUAAGUGAUAUGAUAUGGCCAUCAUCAUCUUGUGCUUGUGAUCUCCAUCUUCGAAGCACCGUCGUGAUCACUAUCGUCACCGGCGCGACACCUUGAUCUCCAUCGUAGCAUCGUUGUCGUUACGCCAUCUAUUGCUUCUACGACUAUCGCUACCGCUUAGUGAUAAAGUAAAGCAAUUACAGGGCGUUUGCAUUUCAUACAAUAAAGCGACAACCAUAUGGCUCCUGCCAGUUGCCGAUAACUACGGUUACAAAACAUGAUCAUCUCAUACAAUGAAAUAUAUCAUCACGUCUUCACCAUAUCACAUCACAACAUGCCCUACAAAAACAAGUUAGACGUCCUCUACUUUGUUGUUGCAAAUUUUACGUGGCUGCUACGGGCUUAGCAAGAACCGUUCUUACCUACGCAUCAAAACCACAACGAUAGUUCGUCAAGUUAGUGCUGUUUUAACCUUCGCAAGGACCGGGUGUAGCCACACUCGAUUCAGCUGAAGUGAGAGAGACAGACACCCGCCAGCCACCUUUAAGCAUAAGUGCUCGUAACGGUGAAACCAAUCUCGCGUAAGCGUACGCGUAAUGUCGGUCCGGGCCGCUUCAUCUCACAAUACCGCCGAACCAAAGUAUGACAUGCUGGUAAGCAGUAUGACUUGUAUCGCCCACAACUCACUUGUGUUCUACUCGUGCAUAUAACAUCAACGCAUAAAACCUGGCUCGGAUGCCACUGUUGGGGAACGUAGUAAUUUCAAAAAAAUUCCUACGCACACGCAAGAUCAUGGUGAUGCCAUAGCAACGAGAGGGGAGAGUGUUGUCCACGUACCCUCGUAGACUAUAAGCGGAAGCGUUAUGACAACGCGGUUGAUGUAGUCGUACGUCUUCACGAUCUGAUCGAUCCAAGUACCGAACAUAUGGCACCUCCGAGUUCAGCACACGUUCAGCUCGAUGACGAUCCCCGGGCUCCGAUCCAGCAAAGCUUUGGGGAUGAGUUUCGUCAGCACGACGGCGUGGUGACGAUGAUGAUGUUCUACCGGCGCAGGGCUUCGCCUAAACUCCGCGACGAUAUGACCGAGGUGGAAUAUGGUGGAGGGGGGCACCGCACACGGCUAAGGAACGAUCCGUAGAUCAACUUGUGUUGUUGUGCCUAGAGGUGCCCCCUGCCCCCGUAUAUAAAGGAGCAAGGGGGGAGGGGCCGGCCGGCCUAGGAGGGGCGUGCCAAGGGGAGUCCUACUCCCACCGGGAGUAGGACUCCCUCCUUCCUUGUUGGAGUAGGAGAAUGGGGGAAAGAGGGGGAGAGGAGGAAGGAAAGGGGGGCCGCACCCCUUGUCCAAUUCGGACCAGAGGGGGGCUGCGUGCCUCCUUCCUUUCGGCCUCUCUCCUCUAUUCCCGUAUGGCCCAAUAAGGCCCAUAUACUCCCCGGCGAAUUCCCGUAACUCUCCGGUACUCCGAAAAUACCCGAAAUCACUCGGAACCUUUCCGAACUCCAAAUAUAGUCGUCCAAUAUAUCGAUCUUUACGUCUCGACCAUUUCGAGACUCCUCGUCAUGUCCCCGAUCUCAUCCGGGACUCCGAACUCCUUCGGUACAUCAAAACUCAUAAACUCAUAAUAUAACUGUCAUCGAAACCUUAAGCGUGCGGACCCUACGGGUUCGAGAACUAUGUAGACAUGACCGAAACAUGUUUCCAGUCAAUAACCAAUAGCGGGACCUGGAUGCCCAUAUUGGCUCCCACAUAUUCUACGAAGAUCUUUAUCGGUCAAACCGCAUAACAACAUACGUUGUUCCCUUUGUCAUCGGUAUGUUACUUGCUCGAGAUUCGAUCGUCGGUAUCCAAUACCUAGUUCAAUCUCGUUACCAGCAAGUCUCUUUUCUCGUUACAUAAUGCAUCAUCCCACAACUAACUCAUUAGUCACAUUGCUUGCAAGGCUUAUAGUGAUGUGCAUUACCGAGAGGGCCCAGAGAUACCUCUCCGACAAUCGGAGUGACAAAACCUAAUCUCAAAAUACGCCAACCCAACAUGUACCUUUGGAGACACCUGUAGUACUCCUUUAUAAUCACCCAGUUACGUUGUGACGUUUGGUAGCACCCAAAGUGUUCCUCCGGUAAACGGGAGUUGCAUAAUCUCAUAGUUACAGGAACAUGUAUAAGUCAUGAAGAAAGCAAUAGCAACAUACUAAACGAUCAAGUGCUAGGCUAACGGAAUGGGUCAUGUCAAUCACAUCAUUCUCCUAAUGAUGUGAUCCCAUUAAUCAAAUGACAACACAUGUCUAUGGUUGGGAAACAUAACCAUCUUUGAUUAAUGAGCUAGUCAAGUAGAGGCAUACUAGUGACUAUAUGUUUAUCUAUGUAUUCACACAUGUAUCAUGUUUCCGGUUAAUACAAUUCUAGCAUGAAUAAUAAACAUUUAUCAUGAAAUAAGGAAAUAAAUAAUAACUUUAUUAUUGCCUCUAGGGCAUAUUUCCUUCAUUUAUGCACUGGUUAUUAAAUAAAUUUGCCGAGUUUACAGCUUCUCUUCCUUCCAGUUUGCAUGUUCCAUAAGCUUCAUUUGUUGUGAUGCCAUCCAUUGUAUCGUCUGCAUUCUUUAUUCUGGCAGUAUGAUGUAAAUUGGCAGACUUAUGCAUUAUUUCCUGGAAUUGCUACUCCACCAUUAUUUCUAGAACUUUAGUUGAUAGGUUUUAAAAAGGACAGGGCAUGGAACAUCCAAUUUAUGCCCAUAUACCCCUGANNNNNNNNNNNNNNNNNNNNNNNNNNNNNNNNNNNNNNNNNNNNNNNNNNNNNNNNNNNNNNNNNNNNNNNNNNNNNNNNNNNNNNNNNNNNNNNNNNNNNNNNNNNNNNNNNNNNNNNNNNNNNNNNNNNNNNNNNNNNNNNNNNNNNNNNNNNNNNNNNNNNNNNNNNNNNNNNNNNNNNNNNNNNNNNNNNNNNNNNNNNNNNNNNNNNNNNNNNNNNNNNNNNNNNNNNNNNNNNNNNNNNNNNNNNNNNNNNNNNNNNNNNNNNNNNNNNNNNNNNNNNNNNNNNNNNNNCCAUUGGCCAUGCCCCCCCGGCCCUCCCUCUCCCCCACCCCCCCUCCUGCUCUCUGCGGGGCGGGCCUGUGACUCUUGCUCCGGGCGCUCGCCGUCCUCGCCGCUGGCUCCCUUGGCGUCGGCACCCUUCCUAGGCUCACGGUUCUGGGCGCUCGGUGAUUUGGAGGAUUCGGCCUCUGGUUCCGACUCGGAGGGGUGUGCCCCGCCGUUGGUGGUGGCUCCGGUGGUGGCUCUGGGGCCUAUGGCUGGUCGUUCCCGGAAGUUUGCCCCGGGCGGUCGGGGCAGGCCGGUGUCGUUGCCGUCGGGGUCUCCUGGGUGGUCGCGGGUUGGUCGCCGCCGUCGCGUGGUUGGUGUGGAUCUGGCUUCUUCUCAGGUCUCCUUCGUCCUCCCCGGUCUGCUGUGGUUCCUGAUCUGGGUGGGUUGGCUUCUCCAGUCGGUGCUCCUCCCUGCUCUCCUGGUCCCCGGCCGGGGCCGUCGCCGACGACGGCGGAGGCGCCGGCGCGCGUAGAAGCAGUUGGUGACCUAAUCCUAGAUCCGGGAUGCUCGGAGGGCUUGGGGGGCCUUGGUGGGUGUCGGUGUCAAAACCGGCGGAUCUCGGGUAGGGGGUCCCGAACUGUGCGUCUAGGCGGAUGGUAACAGGAGACGAGGGACACUAUGUUUUUACCCAGGUUCGGGCCCUCUUGAUGGAGGUAAAACCCUACGUCCUGCUUGAUUAAUAUUGAUGAUGUGGGUUACAAGAGUAGAUCUACCGCGAGAUCAAGGAGGCUAAACCCUAGAAGCUAGCCUAUGGUAUGAUUGUUGUUCGUCCUAUGGACUAAGGCCAUCCGGUUUAUAUAGACACCGGAGAGGGCUAGGGUUACACAGAGUCGGUUACAAUGGUAGGAGAUCUAAAUAUCCGUAUCGCCAAGCUAGUCUUCCACGCCAAGGAAAGUCCCAUCCGGACACGGGAUGAAGUCUUCAAUCUUGUAUCUUCAUAGUCCUGGAGUCCGGCCGAUGAUGAUAGUUCGGCUAUCCGGACACCCCCUAGUCCGGGACUCCCUCAGUAGCCCCUAAACCAGGCUUCAAUGAUGAUGAGUCCGGCGCGCAUAUUGUUUUCGGCAUUGCAAGGCGGGUUCCUCCUCCGAAUAAUUUAUAGAAGAUCGUGAACACCAGGAUAGUGUCCGGCUCUGCAAAAAUAAAUUCCACAUACCACCGUAGAGAGAAUAAUAUUACACAAGAUCAAUCUGCCGACGUAUUUUGCGGCGUGACGUCACACCACUUCCAAGCCUUUACUCGAAUUGUUUUUAUUGUUCCACCUCAGCGCGUUUAGCGAGGCGGUUUCCUUGGCACGUCUGUCAAAGCAGAGAUCGUGUUCCCCUUAUUCCGGGAUUCCCAUCAAUACGGACGUGGGUAACCCAACCGCGCCAUUGAUUGUGACGCUUGGGAGAUAAGCGAGUUUUACCAGGCCGGUGGGGACGCGUGUUUCUGUCCGCCCAUAUAAGGGGAUAAAGAUCCAACCUUUUUAUCUGCGCCUUCUUCCUCCUUGGCUUAUCCAUCUCUGCGAACUCGAGCUCCAGCGCCCAAGCCCGCACAUCUCACCUCAACCUUCUCCAAAUAUGUCCGGAGCGGGAGGCAAGUGGAUGGCCUCCUCCGUCACGGAGGGGCAUAUCCAGAAGCUGCGCAACGCCGGAUACUUGUCCAGCGACAUCGCGCAUCGGCUCCCCGACGAGGGAGAGCUCAUCCCCACCCCCAGGCCCCAUGAGAGGGUAGUAUUCCUUCCCCAUUUCCUUCGCGGACUGGGCUUCCCACUUCAUCCCUUUGUCCGGGGGCUCAUGUUCUACUACGGCCUAGAUUUCCAUGAUCUGGCCCCGAAUUUUAUUCUCAACAUCUCGGCGUUUAUCGUCAUGUGUGAGGCCUUCCUCUGCAUCCAGCCCCACUUCGUCUUGUGGCUCAAGACCUUCAGUGUCAAGCCGAAGGUUGUGAAGGGCAGCCAAGCGGAGUGCGGAGGCGCCAUGGUGGGCAGGAUGUCCCAUGUUACGUGGCUGGAGGGCACCUUUGUGGAAACCAUCAAGGGUGGCAAUCGGGGUGGUUCUACAUCACCGAGCCGCGUGAUCCCGAAUGGGCAGCGGCCCCGAAUUCAGAUCCGACAUCCCCACACGGCUCACCUCCUGGAAAGAGAGCGGCCGGAUUUGGGGCGAUUCGGAGGAGCUGACCGGACUCCAAGCCUGCGUCCAAAAGCUGGUGGACAAGAAGCUCAAGCUUGUCAACGUAGUCCAGGUCAUGCUCAUCCACCAGAUUCUCCCGUGCCAACGACGGGGCUUCAAUAUGUGGGAGUUCGAUCUGGUGCAGCACCAGACUUUGAAUGGGCUCUUCGACACUACGUACGAAGAGGUCUGGAAGGUGUUGUUCAAAGGCGCCGAGGCUCCCGCAUCCGCUACCAAAGAUCGUGGAUUCAGCUCGCAGCGUCCAGCUGACGAGGUAAGUGAUAUUGUCCUUUACGGGACGCUUGUUAUUCAUAGUUUGACUCUAUGCGGGAUCUAAACUCCCUUUCCUUUAACAGGACUGGCUGAAGAAGGCCGCACAGGCUAUUUGUCCGGCCCCAUUUCUAGAGGACCUAGGUGACGCCCGCCUAACGGGGCUGCUGGCUCCGGCACCCCACGUGGUGCCGGAGAAGAAGGCCACGGGGACUCGUAAGAGUUCCUGUUUUCAGGUGCUAUCGGACGAUGAAUCCGAGGCCGACUCCUCCCACCAAGGCGAGGAGGAGAAGAAGAAAGCCUCUCCCCCAGCAGGGGGAGGGAAGAAAAGGAAGGCCUCCCCAACAAGGGAGGCCGAAGGGUCCAAGAAGGGAAAAACUCUUCCCCCGGACUGUUCCGCCAACGCCAGUGACGACGACGAGGACUGGCCUCCAAGGGCCAAGCCUCUAGCGAGAUCGUAAGUAUCCGGACUCCCGAAUAACUUCAAGGUUUUCGUUUUCCGCCACGUUAUGUCUUUCUAAUGCCGCAUACAACCCUGCAGUCCGCCUAAGGAUGAUCUCCCCACUUCGUCGAGCGGGUCCUUAGGGGCGUCGGAUAUGGAUUCUCUUCCAACUGCCUCCACCCUCCGUGAUGCGAAUGAUGCCGAGGUGGGAUCCCAGGAAGGGACCCACCAGGAGGAGAGGGCCCCGGAGGUGUCGCGGGACAAACUCCCGGACUUUGCACCGGACUCAGCCCGGAACCCAUAGUGGCUUCGGAGUCCGGUGGGCAACCCCUUCGUAAGAAGGGCAAGACCGCGACGCCGGCUGCCUCCGUCCAACCGGAGGUGCCGGAUAAUUUGCUGGAGGCGCUCAACGGCGCCUCCAUCGAAGAGGAACACCGCACUGUUAUGAGUGCGGUGAUUCAGAAGGUUCAGCUCGCCAAGAGCGGGAUGACCGAAGCCUGCAGCAGCCUUCUAACAGGCUUUGAGGUAAGAAUUUCAAUAUAUGUAAAAUGGUACCGCAUAGACAGUAGCCCCUGAUGCUCGGUUCGGUGUUCGGAAAGAAAAGCCGGACUGAGGAUCAUUAGAAAGAUAAACGCAGGAGUCAUGAAAAUAUGUCAAUAUGGGAUUGCAGGCUGUGCUGCUGACCUCUGCCGCACUGACUGCGGAGGUCAAUACUUUGAAGGAAAACCUCGAGCGGUCCGAGAACGAGCUCGGCCAUGCCAAGAAGCAGCUCGAGGAAAAAGAAGGUGAGUAAUACCUUAUGAAAAUUGUACCUUACAGAAAAGGAUUUGGUUGCAAGAAAAAUGACAAGGAUAACUGGGGUAUUGCAGGGGCCACUAACAAGGUGGCGACCCUGAAGGAGGCGGUGGCCGCGGCCGAACGCAAUGCGGCUGCGGAGCGCACUCCGCGAGAGAAACAGGAGGCGCGGGUGGCGGAGGUACAACAAGAGCUCCAGGAUCUCGUGAAAAAACACGAGAGCCUGGAGCGUGACUCGAAGACUCGAGAGUCUGAGCUUGCAACGGCUCUUGAGAGUGCCAAAGCCGCUAAGGCCGAAGCCUACAAGGCCCUCCAGGAGAUAGAGGUGGUAAAGAAAAUAGCAGCAGGUAAGGCAUUUUUCAUGCAAAGUAAGCAUGUGAGUGUUAAUUACCUGUCGCUUACCCGAAUUCGGAGCUCUCCAGGAGCGUUCGCAGAUCUUCCUCGCAGCGUGUCCGUUGCUGCCGCAUUCUACCGGGCCGAGGAGGGGAGCUCGACGGAGAAGGUCUUCUGGUCUCAGUAUGCUGAGGCCAAACAUCCGGUGCCCCUUAGCGACCAGCUGAAGCAGCUGGUCGAGCUCCACAAGGCGGCCGAACAGGCCAUGAAGGGCCUCAUAGUACGGCUGUGGCCUAAGGAGGCUAUGCCUGGGAGCUACUUCAGCCUGGUGCUGCGGCUGGUGGACGCGUGCCCGUGGGUUGAAGUUAUCAAGCACUCCGCCUGUAUCGAGGGUGCACGUCGGGCCCUUGCCCGCGCAAAGGUGCACUGGGGCAAGAUGGAUGCCCAGAAGCUUGUGAUGGACCCCCCACCAGAGGGCAAGGAGCAUCGCACGCCCGAGAUGUAUUAUAGGAGUGUGCUAAAGGGCGCCCGCAUUAUUGCGGGUGAGUGCUCCAAAGAAGAAGUUUUUGAGUAGACUCGCGUUUUGUUAUCCUGUGCGCUGAAAACUAAGUUCAUAUGCGCGAAGCAACACUUGUUAAUUUAAAAUAUUACCUUCUGUGCGGCUGUUUAUCAAAUCUGAGAGAUGGCAAGUCGUCGGCUUCAGCCCCCAUGCCACGAGUGCUGGGGUGUUCGGGAUAAAUUUGGGCACUCUUGUUCCCAUAUUUGGGUCCAUCGAGGGAGGCGCUCAACACAACGAACAAGGCAACCGGACUUAUAAUGCUUGAACACUCUCACUUAGCCAUAGAAUUCUAUAAUUUUAAAUUUCGGCGAAGCCCCUACUUUUCGGAAGGCCGAAUUGGGGGCGCUAUCCACGCCUUGGCCGGACAGAAUCCGGCUCCUCGCUCGAAGCGGCAUAAGUCUUUAGGGACUCGCAAAGAACCUCUCGAACAGCGACCAGCUCUCGCCUCAUCAUGAUGGUCAGUUUUAGCUUUCUCCACUGAGGCGUUAACCCAGCUCAACUGGGGCGCAAUCGCAGUGGUUCUCCCAGUGCUACCUUAGCCGAUAAAACGGAACGUAAGGUACCAAAACAUGGGAGCCGGGCAAACCCAACUAUUGACCCAAGAACACGAUUCGGAGCCGAUGCAUAUAAUGCUAUAAGUUCGGGGUGCCGCACUUGUGAAAGUGUUCGGACUUAUCACACCAUAACACGGGAAACAUAAGCCCCUGGUGUAUUUAGCCGUACCAAAACGUACGGAUGCAACAUGUCAUAGAUGAACAUGUGUGUAAGAAAGAAAUGCAAUUGGAAGCAAAAAUGUGCUGCAUUGCUUUAUUCAAUAAAAACUGUUGUAAGUGCAGGACGAUACAAGUGGUGCGGUAAGCAAGGGAUGGGACUGUUUAACAUGUCCCCCUCCAGGGGUAGGCUACGGAAUAAUGCAUAAAACAGAUUUAAUGCUCAUGAUGGAGACCACCUGGAUUUUCGUUGUAGCCUUUCUCCUUCCCUGGAUGUUGCAUCGUGGGUGCGGCAUGUCUACUGCCGGACAGGGCCUCUGACGUACAGAGUCUUGUAGGUAAAAAAUAAAAGGAAAAGAAAAAGAAACGACACACUUAAGAGCCCCUGGUGCGGUUGAGCCGCAGUCUGGGCUUAUCGUGGUCGAGCCCCUUGCCCCAUGCCCAUGGUAUCUUCAGAGCGUAAUGGAGUACGCGAAGGGUCUGUCUUAAUGUUUUACAGGGGCUGGGGUUGGGGCCGCACUGCUACGCGUGCUUGGAACGUGCCAGGUGGUCGUGUUGUAGGUUACUCCGGGCACGCUUAGCUGUGUCCGGCCGCUUGGCAGCCGGACUCGAGAAUUGCCUUAAAAGGCUGCUUUGUACUUUUGCCGCGAGAGCCGCUGUAUGUUCCUCUGUUCGGAGGAAGAGUUCAGUGUUUCCGUUGACCGUGAUGACUCCUCUAGGGCCUGGCAUCUUGAGCUUGAGGUAUGCGUAGUGCGGCACCGUGUUGAACUUUGCGAACACGGUACGUCCGAGCAAGGCGUGAUAGCCGCUGCGGAACGGGACUAUGUCGAAGAUUAACUCCUCGCUUCGGAAGUUAUCCGGGGAUCCGAAGACCACUUCCAGUGUAACUGAGCCUGUACAAUUGGCUUCUACACCUGGUAUGACGCCUUUAAAGGUCGUCUUGGUAGGUUUAAUCCUUGAGGGGUCUAUGCCCAUUUUGCGCACCGUGUCCUGAUAAAGCAGGUUUAGGCUGCUACCGCCAUCCAUCAGGACUCUGGUGAGAUGAAAUCCAUCGACGGUUGGGUCUAGAACCAAUGCAGCGAACCCACCAUGGCGAAUGCUGGUGGGGUGGUCCCUUCGGUCAAAGGUGAUCGGGCAAGAGGACCAUGGAUUGAACUUCGAGGCAACUGGCUCCAUCGCGUAUACAUCCCUGAGUGCACACUUCCGCUCCCUUUUGGGUAUGUGCGUGGCAUAUAUCAUGUUCACCGUCCGCACCUGUGGGAGGAAACCCUUCUGUCCUCUAUUGUUCAGCGGUCGGGUCUCUUCCUCGUCGUCGCUAUGUAGCCCCUUGUCGCUGUUUCCGGCAAUUAACUUGCCUGCCUGCUUGAACACCCAACAGUACCUAUUGGUGUGGUUAGCUGGCUUUUCAGGGGUGCCAUGUAUCUGGCACAAGCGGUCGAGAAUUAGGUCCAAAUUGGACGGAUCCUGAGUUGUUCUUUUGAAUGGCUUUUUUUGUUGACCGGGUUUAGAGCCUCUGAAUCCGGCAUUGACUGCCGUAUCCUCACUGUUAUCGCCGUUAAUGCGGCGUUUGUUUUUGUUGCGACGCGACCUGCCACUACGGUCCUUGAUAUCCGGAUUGCCAGAAUUUUUGUUGAGGUUGUUGCUGCGUGCUAGCCAGCUGUCCUCACCCGCACAGAAGCGGGUCAUGAGUGAUGUAAGGGCUGCCAUGGAUUUCGGCUUUUCCUGUCCCAGGUGCCGGGCAAGCCACUCGUCGCGGAUGUUAUGCUUGAAGGUCGCGAGUGCCUCGGCAUCCGGAUAGUCGACGAUUUGGUUUUUCUUGGUUAAGAACCGUGUCCAGAAUUGUCUGGCCAAUUCGUCUGGCUGCUGAGUUAUGUGGCUUAGGUCAUCUGCAUCUGGUGGUCGCACGUACGUGCCUUGGAAGUUAUCGAGGAAUGCGGCUUCCAGGUCCUCCCAACUCCCGAUUGACUCUGCUGGCAAGCUCAUCUGUGAAGCACAGUGGGUGUGCGGUGCCUCUAUACCGGGCGAUAUCGCGACGGAGCUCAAAAGAGCUUUGUCUGUUGUGUUCGGCCCGGCCGGACUUACUGUGUCCGGGGUGACGGUGAUCGUCACGUAUCGUGGGGCGCCCACGUGAUCCAUAGAUCGAUCUUGAUUGUCUUGCCUUAUCCUCCAAUAUGUCUCGCAGGUCCGGAGUGUUCCCCUGUGGCCUUGUGCUUUUCGAGCGAUGCCGGGGUACGGGUCUAGUGAAGGGCCUUGAGGCCUCUCUGUCGCGACCAUGGGGUGGUCGAUCAGCCGUAUUGUCUCCUGGUGAAGCGGGAUCAUAUGCCUCCAGCUCUAAUCGGGGGAGCAGCUUACGUUUGGGGUAGCUUUUGGAGGGGCGUUCGAGUUCAUGCUCUUCGGCCGCGAGGACUUCGGUCCAUCUGUCGGCUAACAGAUCCUGAUCAGCUCUAAGCUGUUGCUGCUUUUUCUUGAGGCUGUUUGCCGUGGCCAUAAGCCUGCGUUUGAAACGCUCAUGUUCGACGGGAUCCUCAGGCACGACGAAUUCAUUGUCGUCGAGGCUUGCCUCGUCUCCGGAGGGAGGCAUAUAGUCCUCUACCUCUUCUUCGGCCGCUCUCUCAUGAGGGCUGGCGUCCCCCUCCUCCUGUGCUGGAUCUUGCUGGAGUGGGUUGUCUUCGGCGCUAUCCAGUGUAUUAUUGUCUCCGGUGCCGGAUUCCUCAUUCUUGCUAUGGCGGGAUUUAGAGCGGCGCCGCUGACGCCGGCGCUUGGGCUGUUUCUUGGAGGGGUCAUCCUCCGCUAUUCCUUCGCCGUUCCCAUCCUUUGGGAUAUCCACCAUGUAUAUGUCGUAUGAAGAGGUGGCUUUCCAGUGCUCGGUGGGCGCUAGUUCUUGGUCGUCUCCGGCAUCGUCGUCCAUACCAUCGAUGUCCUCAGAGUCGUAAUAUAGCAUGUCGGUUAGAUCGUCGACAGUGGCUACCAAGUGGGUGGUGGGUGGGCUCUGAAUUUCUUUGUCGUCCGCAUCCCAACCGUCCUGGCCGCAGUCCGGCCAGGCCUCUCCUAAUAACGAGAGGUACUUUAGCGAACUCAAGAUGUCGCCAAAAGGUGAGCAUUGAAAGAUGUCCGCUGCGGUGAACUCCAUGAUUGGCGCCCAAUCGGAUCCGACUGGAGGGGGCGCGGGAGGUCCGGAGUCCGGCAAGGAGUCCGGCACCUCGGAGUCACGAGCUUCAUGGGGGACAAGAUCGGUGUUCGGCUCUAUCGCCGUAGAGGUUGCAGCCCCCAAGGUGGUGUCUAGGCAUCCAUCCUCGAUCUGCGGAGCUGGCUCCGAAUUGAAGAUCGGAGUGGUUUCGAGUGCAGCCUCCAGGGUACUGUCCGGCGGCACGCUCGGCUGUGGCUUGAAUCCGUCGAAGAUCAAGUCCCCCCGGAUGUCAGCCGUGAAGUCCAAACUUCCAAAUCUGACCUGACGGCCCAGGGCGUAACUUUCGAUCUGCUCUAGAUGGCCAAGCGAAUUGGCCCGCAGUGCAAAGCCGCCGAAUACGAAGAUCUGUCCGGGGAGGAAGGUCUCACCCUGAACUGCGUCGCUGAUGAUGAUCGAAGAAGCCAUCGAGCCUAUCGGUGACGACACAGAGGAACUGUCAAUGAAAGCACCAACGUCGGUGUCAAAACCGGCGGAUCUCAGGUAGGGGGUCCCGAACUGUGCGUCUAGGCGGAUGGUAACAGGAGACGAGGGACACGAUGCUUUUACCCAGGUUCGUGCCCUCUUGAUGGAGGUAAAACCCUACGUCCUGCUUGAUUAAUAUUGAUGAUGUGGGUUACAAGAGUAGAUCUACCAUGAGAUCAAGGAGGCUAAACCCUAGAAGCUAGCCUAUGUUAUGAUUGUUGUUCGUCCUAUGGACUAAGGCCAUCCGGUUUAUAUAGACACCGGAGAGGGCUAGGGUUACACAGAGUCGGUUACAAUGGUAGGAGAUCUACAUAUCCAUAUCGCCAAGCUUGCCUUCCACGCCAAGGAAAGUCCCAUCCGGACACGGGACGAAGUCUUCAAUCUUGUAUCUUCAUAGUCUUGGAGUCCGGCCGAUGAUGAUAAUUCGGCUAUCCGGACACCCCCUAGUCCGGGACUCCCUCAGUGGGCAUGUGGGCCUGGUGGCCUCUGCUGGGGCUCGGUCUGGGCCGCCCGCUCCACCAGCCCUGUCGUCUUUUAUUUCUUUUCCUACCCUUCUGUCUGUGGGCUCGGGGCAAGUGGUAGUGGCCACUGCGCCCCGGCCUUCCCCCCUUUGGCCCGGGCUUCGGUCUCGGCCUGUUCGGCCAAGGCUGGCUCGGCCUGCUGCGGCUAUAUAUGGGUGCGCCGCGGUGCCCUUCCCCCUUCCUAGGGUUUCCGGCCUCCGCCGCUGAUAUUCGCAGGGCGCGUCGUCCCAUUCGCCACUUCUCCAGAUCCGCUUCUUCCCCACCCCCCCCCCUCCUCCUCUCCUUCGCAGACGCGCUCGCCAUGGACAAGUCGAGGGCCUCUUCCUCCGAGGCCCUGUCGGGGAGCAAGAGGGCUCGGGAGUCCUUGCCGGGCUCUGGUGCAGAUCCGGCCUAUGAAACUGAGCUCCGUUCUAAGCUGGAGGCUGACCGGGCGGCGCGCGGGCCUAAGCGUGCGCGGGGGGAGUGGGAGGCGGGGUCAGACUGCUCCGUGGCCAGAUCUGGGACGCCGCUCCCUAGAUCUGGUGCUGGGUCGGGGUCGGGGCCGGAUCCGUGGGAGGCUGCCGUGGCUUCGGCGGCUGGUGGAUCCUCUUCUUCGGCGCCUCGCCCCGUCCAGGCCAGGGGGUCGGUCCCUCCGCCGCGGCCUCCUCCUGCUCCUUCGCGGCCGGCGUGGCCUCCCGCUCGGGGCAGCGCUUUGGCCCUGGGUCGUCUUCCUUGCUGGCUGGAGAUCGGCGUCCUCCCCCUCCUGCUCCGGGCGCUUCCUCGGGGGUUCGUGGUGAUGGUAUCUUGUCGCCGCCGCCGCGUCCAGCUCCUCGCUAACACCCAGUUCCCUCGGGCCCUUCUCCGACCCUCACCUGCUUUGCUUGCCACCGCCCGAACCAUUUCCAGUCGAGAUGCACUAAUCCCCCUUCUGUCUCAUUUGCCGGCCACCUGACUGUGGACUGCCGCAACCGCACCAAGGGUCCCUCUUUUGUGCAGUUUGGGUUGGGUUUGCCUGGGUGCUCCUUCUUCGCUCUGGACGCUGAGGUCCCUCUGGUGAUGGCUGCACCUUCCCUCUCCAAUGCGUCUAUUAUCACAGUGUGUGGUCAGAAAAUAUCCCUGCAGACCCUUUUGGACGGCUUGAAGAUCUGGGAUGAGGGUGGAUGGGACUGGCAGGUGCAUCAGCUCUCAGACUUUGAGUUCGCCGUGGUGUUCCCCUCCAAGGACUGUCUAAGGAUGAUUUCAUUGUGUAGUAGCUUUACUCUGCCCCUCAAUCAGCUUGUGGUUUCUGUCAAAGCGACUACCUGUGGUGCGAAGGUGGUGGGUCCUCUCAGCAAGACUUGGGUAUUGGUUGAUGAUGUGCCUGUUGGGCUUCGGUCUGUGGAAUUCAUUAUGGCUUUUGGUAACCUCAUUGGCAAACCUGUGGAAGUGGACUCAGAAUCACUCAUGAAGGUUGGCCCGGUGCGUCUCAGCAUGUGGUGCAUUGAUCCGGCUUCUGUCCAUGGUUCUGUGGACAUCUUCCCUUCCCCUGAAGGUGUUCGGCUUCGUGUUCGGGUUGAGGGCAUUAGUCUCCAUGCUCCCACUCCGCUUGCGCCUACGCCCCCUCCUUCCAAACCUUCUGACCAAGAUGACACGCAGGGGGAUGGAUUGGUUGGGGGCCAUAAGCCCAAUGGGGGUUUGGAUCUGCGUUUUACUCAAUCAGAAUGGGACAAGAUGGACUCCGAUGAUCGUGAGAUGCUCAAGGAGAAUGCCCCAGCCCCUAACCCUCAGAAGGAGAAUCCGCGGGACGGGGAUGUGGGCAAGGGGACCCCCAUCUCCGGUGCCUGUUCCAUUGUGCCUACUCGCCCGUAGUCGCCUUCCUUUUCUGGCAUUGAGGAUCUCCCUGCUUCUCCUAGGCGCUCCAUUGAUAUUCCCACCAAGAAGAAGAAGAAGGUUUCGAUUCAGAAAUUUUCUGCUAAGAGUUGGGCUUCAUCCACCUCCAAAGUCUCUGCUGCGGGGCUGGCUCGGCGUCUUGACCAGGACCUUGGCGCUGCCUCGGGGUCUGGCCCUGGCUCGGCGAUGCCGGUGCGGGGCGCGCCGGUGCUGCGUUCUCCUGCGUCCACGGCGCGGAAGGGUCAGCGGGUGCGGGACUCCGGCGUCUCGGUGGCGGAGCAUGCGGAGCAUCGCGCUGCGGCUAGAGAUCUCCCUCCUGCAGGUUCGUCUCCCCCCCCCCAUGCUCUUCCUUCUUCCCCAGUUCGCCUAGUUUUACCUGCUCUAUCAGACGAUCAUUUGUUGCAUAUUAUGUCGGAUAUUGGGGUGGUUGACAACCCAGGGUUGGGCGCUUCUUCUCAACUUCUCUCUAUCUUUCAGGCAAAUGAGGAAGCCUAGGCUGCCAUUGCUAAGGCUAUGGAUGCUGCGAAGGGUGCUGGUCCUGUUGGGUGCAGGGCCAACCCGGGGUGGCAGAUGCAAAUACUGGUUGUGGCCAGGCGUCUGCCCGCCCCCCAGUUCUUGCUAAAUCUGGGCGCUCUAAAUGGUCUAAGGCUUAUGUGGCCCCGUGCAGAUCGAGUCUUCGUAUCAAAAACCUUUCUUUUAGAUGAGAGCCCUUUUCUGGAAUGUUUGUGGUUUUGGUGCUAGGGGGCGUCGGGACCAGAUUCAUGACCUGGUGUGUGGGGAGCACAUUGACAUUUUAGGUUUGGUCAAAACUUUCAAGGAAUCCUUUUCUCCCUCUGAAUCGUCUGCGAUUGCUGGGAUUGGUAGAUAUGACUGGCACUUUCUUCCUGCUUCGGGUCAUUCUGGAGGUAUCCUGAUUGGCUCCAAGCGGGACAUCUUUGACUUCAUUACUUUUGACCAUGGUAUUUUUUGGGCUAGCUGCGUAGUUCAUCAUCGCCAACUAAAUAUGAUGUGGGAAUUCAUGGUAGUGUACGGGCCCGCGGAUCAUUCGCUUGCCCCUCUUUUUUUGGAUGAAAUCUCGAGCAAGAUUGAGGCAUGCAAUAUACCUCUUCUUAUAUUGGGAGACUUUAACCCGAUUCGCUCUCCAGCUGACAAGAACAACUCUAACUUCUCGUGGCCCCUCGCCAACGCCUUUAACGAUUUCAUUAGUAGGUGCGCCCUUCAUGAGCUUCCGAGGGUGCGGGCUUGUUUCACCUGGUCUAACCAUCAAGCCUCCCUGGUCCGGUCGGUGCUGGACAGGGUUUUUGUGUCUGUUCGUUGGGAUUCGCUAUUUCCUCAUGCUCUGCUCAAGGCCAGGCCUGCGGUUGGGUCUGACCAUGUCCCCCUUGUCCUUGACGCGGGUAUACUGCCCAUCGCCACCACCUCCCGCUUCCAGUUUGAUGCCUCUUGGCUUUUGAUUGAGGGCUUUUAUGAUAUGCUUGGGUCUCGGAUUUCUUCGUUUCUUGCUUCUCCUCUACGCUCCUUUGGUCCUCUUGACGACUGGCAUAAACUCUCUUACGAGCUUCGCAAAUUCCUUAAGGGGUGGUCUAGAAACAGGGCGGCUGAGGCCCAUAAAGAAAAAUACUCCUUAGAAUCUCAAAUCCGGGAUCUUGAUCUUAUUGUCGACUCUUGUGGCCUCUCCUCCUCUCAAUGGGCCACCCGUUACGCCCUGGAAGAUGCCUUAUUGGUGCUCCAACACCAGUCAGAAAUUUAUUGGCGCCAACGUGGGACCCUCAAUUGGACCUUGAAGGGGGAUGUGAUGACGGCUUACUUCUUUGCGAUUGCCAAUGGUAGGCGCCGCAGAUGCUACAUUGAUUCCCUGGUUAUUAAUGGCGUUAGAACCUUGGACCAACCCACCAUUAUGGCCCACAUUGUGGGAUUCUACUCUAAUCUCCUUAGCUCUAAGCCUGACCCUGGGGUUGGCCUCUGUCCUGAAUUCUGGGACUCUGGUUCUAGGAUCUCUCCUGAAGAAAACCUGGGUCUGAUGGUUCCUUUCUCUGAUGAGGAGAUCUAGCAGGUGAUUAACUCGGCUAACAUGAACGCGGCUUCAGGUCCUGAUGGUUUCUCUAUCCCUUUCUUCAAAAAAAAUUGGCUGCAGCUGCGGGAUCUUAUCUGUAGAGUUAUUCAAGGCUUUUGGUUGGGUACGGUGGAUGUUUCGCGCCUUAAUUAUGCGGUCAUCACCUUAAUUCCUAAAGUUAAGGGCGAAUACUUGAUUUCGCAAUUUAGGCCGAUUGCUCUUAUUAAUAAUUUCGCCAAGUUUCCGGCCAAAGGGUUGGCUACACGCCUAUCUCCCAUUGCCCAUCGUACCAUCAGCCCUUUUCAGUCGGCUUUUAUUAAAGGUCGCUUCAUUCUAGAUGGGGUUCUGUGUUUACAUGAGAUCGUUCAUGACCUUAAGAUUCGAAAGACAAAAGCAGUCAUUCUUAAACUUGAUUUUGAGAAGGCUUACGAUUCGGUUAGCUGGCCUUUUUUGUGUAGAGUGUUGUUUGCCAAUGGAUUCGAUGGUCCUCUUGUCCAUAGGAUUAUGUAGUUAGUCUCAAGGGGCCACACUGCUAUUAAUGUUAACGGCCAGGUCAGUAAGUUCUUUGCUAAUGGUAGGGGCCUGCGGCAAGGUGACCCCCGCCUCGCCUAUCCUGUUUAAUUUUGUGGCUGAUGCUUUAUCUCGCCUGUUAUCUAGGGCAGCUGCCUCUGGGCAUAUAUCCCCUGUUAGCACCCAUCUUAUCCCCCCUGGUCUGACCCAUCUCCAAUACGCGGACGACACCAUUAUCAUGGUGGAGCUAAAUGGCGCCUGCAUAGCGCACCUUAAGUUUAUUCUUCUCUACUUCGAAGCGAUGUCUGGUCUUAAGAUUAAUUUUGCAAAAAGUGAAGUGGUUGUUACUAGGGUCAAGGUUUCGAAAGCCAUUUGAGUGGCUCACCUUCUCAAUUGCAAGCUGGGGUCCUUUCCAUUCAAAUACCUAGGUCUUCCGAUCUCCCCAGAUGUGCUUCAUGCUAAGGAUUUUGCCCCUGUUGUUACCAAGGUGGGGAACAGCGUCCUACCCUGGCGGGGCAGAUAUAAUUCGAAUGCAGGUAAAGUAGCUCUUAUUAACGCCUGUCUCUCCUUCCUCCCUAUGUUCCUGAUGGGCUUCUACCUCCUGUCGGCUGGGAUUCAUGCUGGGUUUGAUAAACACCGUGGUGCAUUUUACUGGAAUGCGGCGGACAACCGCCGCAAGUACCGCUUUGUGAAAUGGAAGCUGAUGUAAAGACCCAAAAACCUUGGGGGGUUGGGGAUCCUUAACACGUCCAUCAUGAACCAAUGCUUACUGAUUAAAUGGUGGUGGAAGAUUAUGAGUGCGGAGGACCAGCCCCUGUGGUUGGACAUCCUGAAAGCUAAAUAUUUCCCGUCCUCUAGCCCAAUGUUUGCCUUGUCGCGUGGUGGCUCGCAGUUCUGGAAGGCGUUGGUCAAAGUUCGGCCGAUUUUUCAAUCAUUCGUUAAGUUUGUCGUUGGGGACGGCUCCUCGAUUAGGUUUUGGUUAGACUGGUGGUGUGGAGAUUCACCCCUCUCGGUGACCUUCCCCACCCUGUUUUCUUAUUGUUCGCAUCCUGCCAUUUCUAUUGCUAGGUUAGCUUCCCAGGGGUGGAACCUGAUCUUCCGGCACUCCCUGUCGCCUGGAGAGUUCGAAGAGUGGCAGCGUCUUACUGUCCUCUUCCCUUCGCUCUCGUCGGCUAGGGACUCGGUGAUCUGGCCGUUGUCCUCCUCUGGUCGGUUCUCGGUGAAAUCUCUUUACUCCAAGCUCAUUGGGGGCACGCCCACUAAUCGCUUCUCCCAGGUCUGGAAGGCUCGUCUUCCCCCUAAGAUUAAAAUCUUCUUAUGGCAAGCCUUUCAGCGGCGGCUGCCCUCGGCUGAUCAAAUUCGUAAGAGAAAUGGCCCGGGCUCCCAGUUCUGUGCUUUGUGUGGUGCUGUUGAGGACACUGAACAUAAUUUUUUCACUGUCACCAGGCUAAGCUCAUUUGGAGUUGCGUUCGGGAUUGGUUAAAUGUCUCUUGGGCCCCUGCCUCCUUUGCGGAACUGCGGGCUUUGGCCCAUGACCUUUCGGGCGUCUCUCGGCGACUCUUUUGGGUGGGCUUGGGAGCGUUGUGCUGGUUCCUUUGGACGACUAGGAACAAAUUUACUAUUGAGCAUGUGUUUCCUGCUAAACCUGCUGAUUGCUUAUUUAAAUCAUGUGCCCUCCUGCAGUAGUGGAAAUCAUUGACUAAGGACGACGACCAUGAGGCGUUCACAGCGUUAACCUCCAAAAUUCGGACGACGGCGUCUCUCCUUUGCAGACAAGCGCAGGGUGACUAAGGGUUUUUGUUUGACUGCUUGGCUUCUACCAGUUGGGUGAUCCUUCUUCCGGCCUGCGUGCCGUGUACUGGCGUGGGUGCCAUGUACCAGACUUCUCUUUGUGUUUUUACUUUGGCUGCUGUUGGGGCCUCGGGUUCUUGCUACAUUCCUGCGUUGGUAUUGUGACCUGCCGUAUGGCUUUAUUUAUAAAGUCGGGCGUAUGCCUUUUCUCUAAAAAAAAAUUAUGCCCAUAUACUCCCAAGCUGCAUAGAUAUCCCCCGAUCUAGUUCUUGAUUGGAAACUUCCUUCAUCCAUCCAGAAUCACUGGUUCCGAAUAAUGUCAAGCACUAUGAAAGAUCUCCCUAUCAGAACGUCCGACUUCCUAACAAGUACCAGAUAGGAAGAUACUCCGUUGCUAGCCUAAAACAUCUUGAGUGCUUUUCAUACCACAGUAAGCUGACGCAAUAAACUUCAACGGAGUGCGGACUUUUACCAGCUACAUAUGGCUGGCCAAGAUUUUCUAUCGGACUUUACAUAUUGUGUGCAACAAGUAGUUCUGACAAGGUUUCAAAUUUCUCGUAAUGUUGUGUGCAACAAGUAGAUUUUGACCAGGUUACUUAUUCUUCCACAACUCAUUAAUUUGCUUUGCACACAGUGAGAAGUUACUAAUUGGUUCCAUCAAGCGUCCUGGAGCAGAAAAACUAUAAUCGCACAAAACAUCAAGGGCUCUAAUCUAAGAUUAUCGUGUGAUGCUGCUUGUCGAUGAUGUGUCUAUCCCAUCAUAGCACUGCGUCUCCAUGUACUCCUCCCCGUCACAUCCCCUCCUUUCCAGUGCACGAGAACGCAACACGCUUACACAUCGAUAGGUUCAACAGUCAAUCAAACAUCAGAAGUUCAAACUUCGGGAAAAAAGAGAAGGCGUCAACCUGGGGCUUGGCCUCGAGGUCGCAGAGCCUGUGGAGCCUGCGGAGCUCCGGCGAGUCUCCUCCAGCGGCCACCUCGACACAGCCCACGCCACCGUCGGACGGGUCGCUGCACAGCGGCUUGACCGGACAUCUCGGGGUGAGCUAUCGAAGUACCCGCGCCGCCUCCUCCGGCGGUAAGUGUGGUCUGUUCUGCGCCGGCCACAUUGUUGCCAUGGCGGCGGUUUGGCUUCUCUCCUCUGUUGUUGGCUUGCUCGGUGGUCGCCUGGAGUCUCCAGUUCCGGUGGGCGGCGAAGGCUGGUUUUGCGAUGCUGGGCCUCUCAGCGAUCCUAGCGAAAAUGCAAAACGAAGGCCGAGGUCCACACAAAGGCUUUAAUUUUUGAAGAAUUAAUACUCAUACUUUUAAGUUUGAAAAAACACACAUAACCAAAGAGAGUGUACAUAUGUGCAGAUUAUCAUGAUGAAAUACUUUAAAAUGAGAACUACACAAAAAAUCGCUUUUCAGCAUAUGUAUUGUUCAUCCUCAAAGUUCAUAAAAAAAUUGUAGCUUGUAAUUCAAGAUAUUUCAUCAUAAGAUUUGGCACACAUAUUCAUUAGAUCGUUGUAUACUUGUAUAUCUUUUCAUAAUUUUUUUGAAAUUGAAAAGUUCAGAAUUUUGAACUUUUCAAAGUUAAGGCCUCCAUGGAGCUCGGCCUCCAAAACGCUCUACUUGUGAUCGUUAUCCUAUUCUGCCCCUGUUAUGCUGGGAUUGUGGGGGCUAGCACGUCGCGAGCUUGGGAGGCAAAUGAUUAUUCGUGCGGAAUCAGUCAACUGACCCAAAGUAUUUCCCAUUCAAUAGUAGAGAAAUAUAAAAAUAAAACGGUUAAAAAAGAGUAAUGUUUGUUGUCCUGCCAGGCAGAGUACUUCAUCCAACUUUACACGUCCCCUUCCCCCGAUCUCUCUGUUUUGAUUUUCCCCUCUCUGGUGUUGACAGAACCCAACCAUAUAGUGUUAGGAACAUAUCUCCCUUAUCACGAUUAUGUGGAUACAUGAUACAAAUCUCAAUAUGAUAUGGUUUAGCACGGGAGGAGCACAAAAUUAGGGAUAGGCCGCGGCGGCAAAGAGGAAGGAUGCACUCGUUUGGUCAUGAGGCGACCGAGGAAGAAGACCAAGUUGUGCUUGUUCAUAAAGCUACUCCUUUUUAUCCUGUUUCACCAGCCAAGGCCCAUUACCAGCCCGAGCCAAUUCAUGCGUUCACGGAGCAUCGCUUUGCCAUGCAUGCUACCAGGCUACUAACGCAAUACCAGCGAAGGCCCAUUACCAGGCUACCAGCCAAGGCACCCACCAAUUCGAGUAACCUACUUGAUGCAUAUUGCUUGGCUUCGGGCCAAAGGGUAAACUAUGAUAAAUCGUCCAUAUUUUUCAGUAAGGGAUGCCCGGAGACCCUUAGGGUGGAGAUAAAGAAUAUACUUAAUGUGCAGAAUGAGUCUUUGAGUGAAAAGUAUUUGGGUCUGCCGACCGAUGUUGAACAGUCCAAAAAUGGCACCUUCAAAUAUUUACGAGACAGAGUUUGGGAAAGGAUAAAGGGAUGGAUGGAGAAACUUUUAUCAGUGGCAGGAAAGGAGGUUCUCAUAAAAUCUGUGGCUCAAGCUUUACCAGUUUUUUCGAUGUCUUGCUUCAGAUUACCUCGAGGCCUUUGUGGAAGCAUUACGUCACUCAUUCAUCAAUUUUGGUGGGGGAGCAAGAGAGGCAAGAGGAAACCAUGUUGGGUAGCUUGGGAUUUGAUGACCCGACCGAAAAGUUUGGGAGGACUUGGCUUUCGGGAUAUAGAAAUCUUCAACUUGGCACUUUUGUCUCGGCAAAUUUGGAGAUUAUUGAAUGAUCCCUCCUCUCUUAGUGCACAAAUCCUUAAAGCAUCAUAUUUUCCACAAUGUACAGUCCUUGAAGCUCAACUAGGUCCACAUCCUUUUCAGGUGUGGCGAUCUAUACUUGACGGGAGAGAUAUUAUCACCCAAGGAGCUAUCCGGCGUAUUGGUGAUGGAACUACCACGAACAUAUGGCAACAUAGUUGGAUCCCAAGGGACGGAAUGAUGAAGCCGGUGGCCUCCUUAGUUGCUGACCCACCGCAACUGGUUUCUGAUCUGAUCGACCACACUAGAGUUGCGUGGCGAGAUGACUUGCUUAGACAGGUGUUCAUACCCAUUGAUGUGGAGGCGAUCUUGCAAAUACCGCUCUGUACACGGCGUGUGGACGAUUUCUGGGCAUGGAAUGAUGAUCCAAGGGGGCGUUUUUCUGUACGGUCAGCUUAUAAGAUGAUUGUCAAGAUCAAGAUUGGGCGCGAGGCAUGGCUGGAGGAAAGGGAGGAUCCUUCCAACUCUGAACAUGAGAUGAGGGGGUGGAACUCGCUAUGGAACAUGUCAGUGCCACCGAAACUGCGCCUUUUCACUUGGCGAUUGGCGCAACACUCACUCCCUACGGAAGAUGUCCUAAACCAUCGUCAUAUGGCCACUACGAGUGCUUGCUCCCUAUGCGGAGGGCAGGAUAGCUGGCGGCAUUCUUUGCUGGAGUGUAAUGUGUCUAGGUGUGUGUGGGCACUUUCAGAAGCCGAGAUGGUCGAGCACAUGUGGGCAACCUCAGAACCUGACGCACGGCUGUGGCUCUUUGCCAUGAAUGACUCUCUUCCACCGGAGCAAUUUCAGUUGAUGAUUGUUACUUUAUGGGCGAUUUGGAGUGCAAGACGGAAAGCUAUACAUGAGGAUAUAUACCAGACUCCGUUUUCCACUGACAACUUCAUCAAAGCUUACUUAUCAGACAUAGAGUUUUUGAAGAAGAAGAAGGAGGAAGCACAUGGGAUAGCAGUACCACGACCCCGUACGUGGAUUCCACCACCAACAGAUUACUACAAACUCAAUGUGGACGUGGCCGUGUCACGCCCAGGUACAUUUGGCGCAGUUGGUGUGGUUUGCAGGGAUGAGAGAGGUUUGUUCAUGGGAGCGUCAGCUCUCGUUUUCAGAGGACUGCACAACCCCCAAGUGCUAGAAGCACUAGCUGUUCGGGAGGCAUUAGCACUUUCAGAAGAUCUCUAUAUCAACCAUUUACUUGUUGCCUCCGAUUGCAAGUUGGUGGUAGAUGCAAUCAGACAGGGAAGCUCAGCAGAAUUUGGAGCCAUUGUCGAGGAAAUCAAGACUAGAGCAACUACCUUUAUUUCAUGUUCGUUUACUCAUGAGUAUAGGACCUCCAAUACGGAGGCCCAUAAUCUCGCAAAGCAUGCGUUAUCUUUAGGGUUUGGCCGACACACUUGGCUAGGACAACCCGGCGAUCUUCUUUUUGUACCUAUGAACAUUAUGAUUCAGUAAUAAAGCUUUGUGAGAUUCUCAAAAAAAAAAACCAAUUCGAGUAUCCGACACUAAGUUGAGGGCCUAAUAAACCCGGACGGAGGUAGUACUAUACAUAGCAGCGGUGCAGGCACAAGUGCGGUUACCACUUAUUACAUCUUCUUGCCAACUCCCACUUACUUGGCCGUCCGGACGCUGCAGUCCCUCAGGACUGAGGGCCCUCUGUGGAUUCUUGUCCAAUGAGCUUCUUCGCGUACAGGUUGUAGCACUCUACGGAUUCCAGGAAUUCCUCGAAGCCAGGGACCUCCACGUCCCGAUCGAAUGCGAGGUUCGGUUGAGCAAAGGACAAGAGAGCAGGAGAGCUCUACAUACGACUCGGAGCUGCUCGGUAGAUCUUGCCGAGAGCUCCAUUGGAGAUAUACAUUGGUUUGUCCCACCGCUCCAUGAAAUCGGGGUACUUCCUUGGUCAUAGUGACUGGAGAAUUUUAGCUGGAGCUCCUGACUUGGCGAAGUCAACUGCCAUCGAAUACAAAGUAGCUAGCUGGAGGCAGUCAGGGCUCUGAACUUUCAUUGGAUGACGGUCUGCGUGAAUCGAGUGAGCAGUUGAGAUUGCAUCGAGCGAGUCAUUAUCAUGUAAUCGACAAAGUACUUCUGAAUAGACUGUAGUUCAUCAGAUGUUUUGGUAAGAUUUUAGGUGUAAACGUGUCAGGCGAGGAAAGUACAUUUGCUUGUCGAAAAGAUAGCUCUGAACUGCUUAUCAGAGCUAACUAGUAAAUUGUUGUGACCCUACCAAUGUUAGAGACAUAUGCUGAAGAGCGUUUUAAAGCUAAGAGCACUUUAAAACUCAAUCAUGCAUAGCUGUUUUCUUUAGGCCUUGUUUGGUUGUGUUGGUUUUGAAGGGGAUAGUGAGGGAUUAAAUCCCCUGCAAGUCAAAAUCCUUUCAAUCCCCUUAAGACCUCUCAAAUCCCCUUGGAGAAGGGAUUAACCGAACGCCCUUAGAGGAUGGCAUAAAUGUCUUUUUUCUGAAAUAAGUGCCACAUUUCUAAACAAAAUUAAUGAAAAAAAAUCUCAAACGAAGGAGAGUUGCAUAUAAUUGCAUUAAGAAGAAAUGUAGAUACGGUACAAACACACAGCCANNNNNNNNNNNNNNNNNNNNNNNNNNNNNNNNNNNNNNNNNNNNNNNNNNNNNNNNNNNNNNNNNNNNNNNNNNNNNNNNNNNNNNNNNNNNNNNNNNNNNNNNNNNNNNNNNNNNNNNNNNNNNNNNNNNNNNNNNNNNNNNNNNNNNNNNNNNNNNNNNNNNNNNNNNNNNNNNNNNNNNNNNNNNNNNNNNNNNNNNNNNNGACGAGCAAUAAAAAAGAUGAACCACACUCAACCCAUGACCAAACUAAGACUCUCCCAUGAUCAGCCUGGCCAAGCCUUUGGCCCCAACCUUCGUUCAAAGCAUUCUAAGUUUUGUGUUGGCUGUUCUGCCAUCUUGGCUGAGUUCGACACUCGUAGCCAGUUCUCUCUGGUCAUGUUGCUAUAUCACAUAUUUCAUUAAGUGUGUGCACUUAUCACCUAAAGCAUUUUCUCAGUAAAGCCUUUUUCGGUAAAGCAUUGAUAUCAUUUUUUAUACUCUCAAAUAUAAUCGUUGAAAAAGGCUUCGAGAUAACAAAUAUUAUUGAAAUGCUACAGUUGUAAAAACUGAUAUUUCGAUUAUAUUUGAGAGUAUAAAAAAUGAUAUUAGUCAAAUAAAACAAUCUUCAGUAAAAAUUAGCAGCAAAAACCUAGGAAGAGAAAUUAAAAUGAAUAAAUAGUCACGAAUAUACCUCGAGUGUAACAACAUAAUCCAUUAUGCGUGGCCUUGCUGUAGUGUAGUCCAUAAGUGUAUCAACCUUCUCUGGAAUCAGUUUUCUCAUCCUAAGUGAUAAAAUAGAGAUCCUCGUCCAAAUCGCCUCAGGAGCAUUCAUUCGGAUGAGGCUUGACUAUCAAAGAUUAAAGUAUACUAUCACAAAUGCUCGUGGGUUGCUAUAAAACUAAAAUAUGAGGAUUAAGCUCAUGGCUUAAGCAUAAUUUUAAGUUGGAGUCACAUUUUUGCAUCUUGUUAUUUGUGCAUUCUUCAAGUGUUGGUCUAACAUAAAAGUAGUAGCGAACUUGUUAAUCUCUACUUCUAAUGGCGCAGUUGGUGAAUAGUCUGCCGGUUAUUUUUCGCUGGUUUUAUUUCGCCUCACCACUUUCGUUGGUUUUAUUUCGCUAGUUUAUUUCGUCUCUCUCCCACCUGCCUUUUCGCUUCACCACCCACAUAAACCCAUCAGAUUAGUUACCAUAUAAAAAAUAAAUCGCAAUCAAUCAAGUAUUGAUGAUCAGAUUAGUUACCAUAUAAAAAAUAAAUCGCAAUCAAUCAAGUAUUGAUGGGAUAUUUCCUUAUAUUGAUGUGAUUUUCCCUUUCUUAUCAUCAAUCAUCUCUACUGCCGAAAAAAAUGUGUAGCUUUCCUUUUCCUGCCAACCAAUCGUGUCCCGUCUCCCUACAUCCGCCCUCGUUGCUCUGCCUCCCGCACGAAAAAAACCCUCUCGUUUGACCUCCCCCAAACCCCGCACGAUGGAAAAACCCAGCCGCCUGCUUCCCCUCCUCUCGACCGCUCCAUACGUCCAGAUCGCGGGCCCAUCCCCAUCCUCCUCUCACGUCACGGCGGCCGAUGGACUGCCGCCACCACCCUCCUACUCUCUCGCCGUCGCCGCCCUCCCGCUCGCUCGCCGCAGCUAUCGCCACCAAUCCCGGCGAGGGCGUCGUUGCUGCUAUGUAGCCUCCUUUCCCCAUUAAAGCCUGACCAUGGCAACGGUGCCCUCUCAUGUGUCCCACGGUGAGGUUUGGGGAGGCGUGACCACAAUCCAGUAGGGAUCUCACCGCGGACCCGUCCGCUAGGAUGAGUGUUGCCUCCGUUGCGAAUGGGAUCGAAGGGAGGGACUACUUCGUCGUCAAUCUCGGCGAGGCAGCGGUCGAUUGGGAGCCCGGUUGUGAACUGUUGGAAAUAUGCCCUAGAGGCAAUAAUAAAUUAGUUAUUAUUAUAUUUCCUUGUUCAUGAUAAUCGUUUAUUAUCCAUGCUAUAAUUGUAUUGAUAGGAAACUCAGAUACAUGUGUGGGUACAUAGACAACACCAUGUCCCUAGUAAGCCUCUAGUUGACUAGCUCGUUGAUCAAUAGAUGGUUACGGUUUCCUGACCAUGGACAUUGGAUGUCGUUGAUAACGGGAUCACAUCAUUAGGAGAAUGAUGUGAUGGACAAGACCCAAUCCUAAGCCUAGCACAAAGAUCAUGUAGUUCGUAUGCUAAAGCUUUUCUAAUGUCAAGUAUCUUUUCCUUAGACCAUGAGAUUGUGCAACUCCCGGAUACCGUAGGAAUGCUUUGGGUGUACCAAACGUCACAACGUAACUGGGUGGCUAUAAAGGUACACUACGGGUAUCUCCGAAAGUGUCUGUUGGGUUGGCACGAAUCGAGACUGGGAUUUGUCACUCCGUGUGACGGAGAGGUAUCUCUGGGCCCACUUGGUAGGACAUCAUCAUAAUGUGCACAAUGUGACCAAGGGGAUGAUCACGGGAUGAUGUGUUACGGAACGAGUAAAGAGACUUGCCGGUAACGAGAUUGAACAAGGUAUCGGAUACCGACGGUCGAAUCUCGGGCAAGUACAAUACCGCUAGACAAAGGGAAUUGAAUACGGGAUCGAUUGAGUCCUUGACAUCGUGGUUCAUCCGAUGAGAUCAUCGUGGAAAAUGUGGGAGCCAACAUGGGUAUCCAGAUCCCGCUGUUGGUUAUUGACCGGAGAACGUCUCGGUCAUUUCUGCAUGGUUCCCGAACCCGUAGGGUCUACACACUUAAGGGUUGAUGACGCUAGGGUUAUAAAGGAAGUUUGUAUGUGGUUACCGAAUGUUGUUCGGAGGCCCGGAUGAGAUCCCGGACGUCAUGAGGAGUUCCAGAAUGGUCCGGAGGUAAAGAUUUAUAUAUGGAAAGUUGUUGUUCGGGUUCCGGGAAAAGUUCGGGUUUUUUCCGGUAUUGUACCGGGAAGCUUCCAGAAGGUUCCAGAGGAUUCCGAAGGGGUCCGGAGGUCCAGAAAUUGUUCCACCACGUCCAAUACAGCAGCAUGGGCUGUAGAGGGGCGCCCUAGCCUUAAUGGGCCAGGGGCACCAGCCCCCCCAAGGCCCAUGCGCAUGGGAGAGGGGAAACCCUAAGGGGGAGGGCCUCCACUUGACUUGGGAGGCACUCCUCCCCCCUUGGCCGCCACCCCCAACCCUAGAUGAGAUCUAGGGGGGGAGGCCCCCUCUCCCCCCACCUAUAAAUAGUGGAGGGGUGGGAGGGCAGCCGCACCCCAAGUUCUGGCGCAGCCCUCCCCCUCUCCCAAGUUCUCCUCCUCUCCCGCGGUGCUUGGCGAAGCCCUGCAGGAUUGCCACGCUCCUCCACCACCACCACGCCGUCGUGCUGCUGCUGGAUGGAGUCUCGGUCAUGUCUGCAUGGUUCCCGAACCCGUAGGGUCUACACACUUAAGGUUCGAUGAUGCUAGGGUUAUAAAGGAAGUUUGUAUGUGGUUACCGAAUGUUGUUCGGAGUCCCGGAUGAGAUCCCAGACGUCACGAGAAGUUCCGGAAUGGUCCGGAGGUAAAGAUUUAUAUAUGAGAUCUAGGGGGGCCGGCCCCCUCUCCCCCCACCUAUAAAUAGUGGAGGGGUGGGAGGGCAGCCGCACCCCAAGUUCUGGCGCAACCCUCCCCCUCUCCCAAGUUCACCUCCUCUCCCGCGGUGCUUGGCGAAGCCCUGCAGGAAUGCCACGCUCCUCCACCACCACCACGCCGUCGUGCUGCUGCUGGAUGGAGUCUUCCUCAACCUCUCCCUCUCUCCUUGCUGGAUCAAGGCAUGGGAGACGUCACCAGGCUGUACGUGUGUUGAACGCGGAGGUGCCGUCCGUUCGGCACUAGGAUCUCCGGUGAUUUGGAUCACGACGAGUACGACUCCUUCAACCCCGUUCUCUUGAACGCUUCCGCUUAGCGAUCUACAAGGGUAUGUAGAAGCACUCUCCUUCCCCUCGUUGCUAGUCUCUCCAUAGAUAGAUCUUGGUGACUCGUACGAAAAUUUUGAAUUUCUGCUACGUUUCCCAACAGUGGCAUCAUGAGCUAGGUCUAUUGCGUAGAUUCUUUGCACGAGUAGAACACAAAGUAGUUGUGGGCGUUGAUUUUGUUCAAUAUGCUUACCGUUACUAGUCCAAUCUUGAUUCGGCGGCAUUGUGGGAUGAAGCGGCCCGGACCGACCUUACACGUACACUUACGUGAGACAGGUUCCACCGACUGACAUGCACUUAUUGCAUAAGGUGGCUAGCGGGUGCCAGUCUCUCCCACUUUAGUCGGAUCGGAUUCGAUGAAAAGGGUCCUUAUGAAGGGUAAAUAGCAAUUGGCAUAUCACGUUGUGGCUUUUGCGUAGGUAAGAAACGUUCUUGCUAGAAACCCAUAGCAGCCACGUAAAACAUGCAAACAACAAUUAGAGGACGUCUAACUUGUUUUUGCAGGGUAUGCUAUGUGAUGUGAUAUGGCCAAGAAGAAUGUGAUGAAUGAUAUGUGAUGUAUGAGAUUGAUCAUGUUCUUGUAAUAGGAAUCAUGACUUGCAUGUCGAUGAGUAUGACAACCGGCAGGAGCCAUAGGAGUUGUCUUUAUUUAUUGUAUGACCUGCGUGUCAUUGAACAACGCCAUGUAAUUACUUUACUUUAUUGCUAACAGGUAGCCAUAGUAGUAGAAGUAAUAAGUUGGCGAGACAACUUCAUGGAGACACGAUGAUGGAGAUCAUGGUGUCAUGCCGAUGACGAUGAUGAUCAUGGAGCCCCGAAGAUGGAGAUCAAAAGGAGCAAAAUGAUAUUGGCCAUAUCAUGUCACUUUUUGAUUGCAUGUGAUGUUUAUCAUGUUUAUGCAUCUUAUUUGCUUGGAACGACGGUAGUAAAUAAGAUGAUCCCUCAUUAAAAUUUCAAGAAAGUGUUCCCCCUAACUGUGCACCGUUGCGAAAGUUCGUUGUUUCGAAGCACCACGUGAUGAUCGGGUGUGAUAGAUUCUAAUGUUCACAUAAAACGGGUGUAAGCCAGAUUUACACACGCGAAACACUUAGGUUGACUUGACGAGCCUAGCAUGUACAGACAUGGCCUCGGAACACAAGAGACCGAAAGGUCGAGCAUGAGUCGUAUAGUAGAUACAAUCAACAUGAAGAUGUUCACUGAUGAUGACUAGCCCGUCUCACGUGAUGAUCGGACACGGCCUAGUUGACUCGGAUCAUGUAAUCACUUAGAAGACUAGAGGGAUGUCUAUCUGAGUGGGAGUUCAUAAGAUGAACUUAAUUAUCCUGAACAUAGUCAAAAGAUUCUUGCAAAUUGUGUCGUAGCUCGCACUUUAGUUCUACUGUUUUAGAUAUGUUCCUAGAGAAAAUUUAGUUGAAAGUUGAUAGUAGCAAUUAUGCGGACUGGAUCCGUAAACUGAGGAUUGUCCUCAUUGCUUCGUAGAAUUCUUAUGUCCUUAAUGCACCGCUCGGUGUGCUGAACCUCGAACGUCGUCUGUGGAUGUUACGAACAUUUGACAUACACGUUUCGAUAACUACAUGAUAGUUCAGUUAAAUGGUUUAGAGUAGAGGCACCAAAGACGUUUUCGAAACGUCGCAGAACAUGUGAGAUGUUUCGAGGGCUGAAAUUGGGAUUUCAGGCUCGUGCCCACGUUAAGAGGUAUGAGACCUCCGACGAUUUUCUUAGUCUGCAUACUAAGGGAGAAAUGGCUCAAUCAUUGAGCUUGUGCUCAGAUUGUCUGAGUACAACAAUCACUUGAAUUGAGUGGAAGUUGAUCUUCCAAAUGAGAUAGUAAUGUUUCUCCAAAGUCAAUGCCACCAAGCUGCUAGAGGUUUGUGAUGAACUAUAACAUAUCAGGGAUAGAUAUGAUGAUCCUUGAGAUAUUCGCGAUGUUUGACACUGCGAAAGUAGAAAUCAAGAAGGAGCAUCAAUUGUUGAUGGUUAGUAAAACCACUAGUUUCAAAAAGGGCAAGGGCAAGAAGGGAUACUUCAUGAAAUGGCAAAUCAGCUGCUGCUCUAGUGAAGAAACCCAAGGUUGAACCCAAACCCGAGACUAAGUGCUUCUGUAAUAAGGGGAACAGCCAUUGGAGCAGAAUCACCCUAGAUACUUGGUAGAUGAGAAGGCUGACAAGGUCGAUAGAAGUAUAUUGGAUAUACAUUAUGUUAAUGUGUACUUUACUAGUACUCCUAGUAGCACCAGGGUAUUAGAUACCGGUUCGGUUGCUAAGUGUUAGUAACUCGAAAUAAAAGGCUACGGAAUAAAUGGAGACUAGCUAAAGGUGAGCUGACGAUAUGUGUUGGAAGUGUUUCCAAGGUUGAUGUGAUCAAGCAUCGCACGCUCUCUCUACCAUCGAGAUUGGUGUUAAACCUAAAUAAUUGUUAUUUGGGUUUCCGUUGAGCAUAGACAUGAUUGGAUUAUGUCUAUCGCAAUACGGUUAUUCAUUUAAGAAGAAUAAUGGUUACUCUGGUUAUUUGAAUAACCUUCAAUGGUCUUGCACCUAAAAUGAAUGGUUUAUUGAAUCUCGGUCGUAGUGAUACACAUGUUCAUGCCAAAAGAUAUAAGAUAGUAAUGAUAGUACCACCUACUUGUGGCACUGCCAUGUAAGUCAUAUUGGUAUAAAACGCAUGAAGAAGCUCCAUGUUGAUGGAUCUUUGGACUCACUCAUUUUUGAAAAGAUUGAGACAUGUGAACCAUGUCUAUUGGUAUAUACGCAUGAAGAAACUCCAUGCAGAUGGACCGUUUGGACUCACUUGAUUUUGAAUCACUUCAGACAUGCAAAUCAUACCACAUGGGCAAGAUGACUGAAAGGCUCGUUUUCAGUAAAAUGGAACAAAAAGCAACUUGUUGGAAGUAACACAUUUUGAUGUGUGCAGUCCAAUGAGUGCUGAGGCACGCAGUGGAUAUCGUUAUGUUCUUACUUCACGGAUGAUUUGAGUAGAUACUAAGUAUAUUUACUUGAUGAAACACAAGUCUGAAUUGUUGAAUGGUUCAAGUAAUUUCAGAGUGAAGUUGAAGAUCAUCGUGACAAGAGGAUAAAAUGUCUAUGAUAUGAUCAUAGAGAUGAGUAUCUGAGUUACGAGUUUUGGCACGCAAUUAAGACAUUGUGGAAAUUGUUUCACAAUUAAUACCGCCCGGAACACCAUAGUGUGAUGGUGUGUCCGAACAUCAUAGUUGCACCCUAUUGGAUAUGGUGCAUACCAUAAUGUCUCUUAUCGAAUUACCACUAUCAUUCAUGGGUUAGGCAUUAGAGACAACCGCAUUCACUUUAAAAUAGGGCACCACGUAAUUCCGUUGAGAUGACACCAUUUGAACUAUGGUUUGGAGAAACCUAAGCUGUCGUUUCUUGAAAGUUUGGGGCUGCGACGCUUAUGUGAAAAAGUUUCAGGCUGAUAAGCUCGAACCCAAAGCGGAUAAAUGCAUCUUCAUAGGACACCCAAAACAGUUGGGUAUACCUCCAGUCUCAGUUCCGGAAGCAAAAAGGAUUGUUUCUAGAAUUAGGUCCUUUCCCGAGGAAAAGUUUCUCUCGAAAGAAUUGAGUGGGAGGAUGGUGGAGACUUGAUGAGGUUAUUGAACCAUCACUUCAACAAGUGUGUAGCAGGGCACAGGAAGUUGUUCCUGUGGCGCCUACACCAAUUGAAAUAGAAGCUUAUGAUAGUGAUCAUGAAGUUUUGGAUCAAGUCACUACCGUACCUCGUAGGGUGACAAGGAUGCGUACUACUUCAGAGUGGUACAGUAAUCCUGUCUUGAAGGUCAUGUUGCUAGACAACAAUGAACCUACGAGCUAUGGAGAAGCGAUGGUGGGCCCAAAUUCCAACAAAUGGUUAGAAGCCAUUAAAUCCGAGAUAGGAUCCAUGUAUCAGAACAAAGCAUGGACUUUGGUGGACUUGCCCGAUGAUCGGCAAGCCAUUGAGAUAAAUGGAUCUUUAAGAAGAAGACGGACGCGGACGGUAAUGUCACCGUCUAUGAAGCUCGACUUGUGGCGAAGAGUUUUUUCACAAGUUUAAGGAGUUGACUACGAUGAGAUUUUCUCAUCCGUAGCGAUGCUUAAGUCCGUCGGAAUCAUGUUAGCAUUAGCUGCAUUUAUGAAAUCUGGCAGAUGGAUGUCAAAACGAGUUUCCUUACCAGUUUUCGUAAGGAAAGAUUGUAUGCGAUACAAUUAGAAAGGUUUUGUCGAUCCUAAGGAUGCUAAAAGGUAUGCUAGCUCCUAUGAUCCUUCCAUGGACUAGAGCAAGCAUUUCAGAGUUGGAAUAUACGCUUUGAUGAGAUGAUCAAAGAUUUUGGGUUUAUACAAAGUUUAUGAGAAAUUUGUAUUUCCAAAGAAGUGAGUGGGAGCACUAUAGCAUUUCUGAUGAUUAUAUGUUGUUGACAUAUUGUUGAUCGGAAAUGAUGUACAAUUUCUGGAAAGCAUAUAGGGUUAUUUGAAAAGUGUUUUUCAAUGGAAAACCAGGAUUAAGCUCCUUGAACAUUGAGCAUCAAGAUCUAUGAGGAUAGAUCAAAAACGAUAAAUGGUACUUUCAAAUGAGCACAUACCUUGACAUGAUCUUGAAGGUGUUCAAGAUGGAUCAGUCAAAGAAGGAGUUCUUGCCUGAGUUGUAAGGUAUGAAGUUAAGAGUUAAAGCUCGACUACGGCAGAAGAGAGAGAAAGGAUGAAUGUCGUCCCCUAUGCUUCAGACAUAGGCUCUAUAGUAUGCUAUGCUGUGUACCGCACCGGAAGUGUGCCUUUCCAUGAGUCAGUCAAGGGGUAGAAGAAUGAUCCAGGAAUGGAUCAUUGGACAACGGUCAAAAUUGUCCUUGGAGUAAAUAAGGACAUGUUUCUCGAUUAUGGAGGUGAUAAAGAGUUCGGCGUAAAGGGUUACGUCGAUGCAAGCUUUAACACCUAUCCGAGUGACUCUAAGUAGCAAACCGGAUACGUAUAGUGGAGCAACCAUUUGGAAUAUCUCCAAGUGGAGCGUGGAAGCAGCCUUUACAAUAUGACCUAGAGAUUUGCGAAGUACAUACGGAUCUGAAUGUUACAGAUCCUUUGACUAAAACCUCUCUCAAAAGCAAAACAUGAUCAAACCCCAGAACUCAUUGAGUCUUAAUCACAUGAUGAUGUGAACUAGUUUAGUGACACUAGUAAACUCUUUGGAUGUUGGUCACAUGGCGAUGUGACCUGUGAAUGUUAAUCACAUGGCGAUGUGAACUAGAUUAUUGACUCUAGUGUAAGUGGGAGACUGUUGGAAAUAUGCCCUAGAGGCAAUAAUAAAUUAGUUAUUAUUAUGUUUCCUUGUUCAUGAUAAUCGUUUAUUAUCCAUGCUAUAAUUGUAUUGAUAGGAAACUCAGAUACAUGUGUGGGUACAUAGACAACACCAUGUCCCUAGUAAGCCUCUAGUUGACUAGCUCGUUGAUCAAUAGAUGGUUACGGUUUCCUGACCAUGGACAUUGGAUGUCGUUGAUAACGGGAUCACAUCAUUAGGAGAAUGAUGUGAUGGACAAGACCCAAUCCUAAGCCUAGCACAAAGAUCAUGUAGUUCGUAUGCUAAAGCUUUUCUAAUGUCAAGUAUCUUUUCCUUAGACCAUGAGAUUGUGCAACUCCCGGAUACCGUAGGAAUGCUUUGGGUGUACCAAACGUCACAACGUAACUGGGUGGCUAUAAAGGUACACUACGGGUAUCUCCGAAAGUGUCUGUUGGGUUGGCACGAAUCGAGACUGGGAUUUGUCACUCCGUGUGACGGAGAGGUAUCUCUGGGCCCACUCGGUAGGACAUCAUCAUAAUGUGCACAAUGUGACCAAGGGGUUGAUCACGGGAUGAUGUGUUACGGAACGAGUAAAGAGACUUGCCGGUAACGAGAUUGAACAAGGUAUCGGAUACCGACGGUCGAAUCUCGGGCAAGUACAAUACCGCUAGACAAAGGGAAUUGAAUACGAGAUCGAUUGAGUCCUUGACAUCGUGGUUCAUCCGAUGAGAUCAUCGUGGAAAAUGUGGGAGCCAACAUGGGUAUCCAGAUCCCGCUGUUGGUUAUUGACCGGAGAACGUCUAGGUAAUGUCUGCAUGGUUCCCGAACCCGUAGGGUCUACACACUUAAGGUUCGAUGACGCUAGGGUUAUAAAGGAAGUUUGUAUGUGGUUACCGAAUGUUGUUCGGAGUCCUAGAUGAGAUCCCGGAUGUCACGAGGAGUUCCGGAAUGGUCCGGAGGUAAAUAUUUAUAUAUGGAAAGUUGUUGUUCGGGUUCCGGGAAAAGUUUGGGUUUUUUCCGGUAUUGUACCGGGAAGCUUCCAGAGGGUUCCAGAGGAUUCCGGAGGGGUCCAGAGAUCUGGAAAUUGUUCCACCACGUCCAAUACAGCAGCAUGGGCUGUAGGAGGGCGCCCUAGCCUUAAUGGUCCAGGGGCACCAGCCCCCCCAAGGCCCAUGCGCAUGGGAGAGGGGAAACCCUAAGGGGAAGGGCCUCCACUUGACUUGGGAGGCACUCCUCCCCCCUUGGCCGCCGCCCCAACCCUAGAUGAGAUCUAGGGGGGCCGGCCCCCUCUCCCCCCACAUAUAAAUAGCGGAGGGGUGGGAGGGCAGCCGCACCCCAAGUUCUGGUGCAGCCCUCCCCCUCUCCCAAGUUCUCCUCCUCUCCCGCGGUGCUUGGCGAAGCCCUGCAGGAUUGCCACGCUCCUCCACCACCACCACGCCGUCGUGCUACUGCUGGAUGGAGUCUUCCUCAACCUCUCCCUCUCUCCUUGUUGGAUCAAGGCAUGGGAGACGUCACCGAGAUGUACAUGUGUUGAACGCGGAGGUGCCAUCCGUUCGGCACUAGGAUCUCCGGUGAUUUGGAUCACGACGAGUACGACUCCUUCAACCCCGUUCUCUUGAACGCUUCCGCUUAGCGAUCUACAAGGGUAUGUAGAUGCACUCUCCUUCCCCUCGUUGCUAGUCUCUCCAUAGAUAGAUCUUGGUGACUCGUAGGAAAAUUUUGAAUUUCUGCUACGUUCCCCAACAUGAACAUGGGAGUUCGUCCCUAUGGAGGCGGCGGCCGUGGAGAUUGGAUGUGAAGCAACCCCACUUGCCGAUGGUGGAGGCUUGCCGUCCAUGUGAUCCUUUCUUCUCCCGGUAUCCCCAUUCCUUUCCUCCCAUUACAAAAGCGAGCAUGAAUGAGAGCAGGGGCUGAUUUUCAUCAAUUCAUUACUCAUAUUUUUAGUUGCUUUUUUGAGAUUAUACAAGAUGGUCCCGAUCUGUUUUGUCAAAUUACUUGGAUCGUCUUAUGGAAUUGAAAGCCAUCGUAUUUUUCACCUCAUGUUAUUUCUUAAUCCUUGUCCCACUAGGCAUCCACUACAUGUUUGGUAAUGACGUGAUGUUGAGGCGGCUAGAAGAAGCUCAGCAGCCAGAUCAAGGGCUAUCGAGAUGGAUCUGGGAGCCAAGCAGUAGUUCUUCUAUUAAAUUUUGGUUAUUAUAUUUUCUAUUGUUACGAUUGUGGGAUGGUUGAUUUUGACUCGGUGUAACAUUUGCAUUUGUUUCCCCAGCUUGUUGGCGUAGAUGCGUGGCACUGCGGCAACUAAUCAAGAGCAAGGGCAGUGCACAUCAGAGCUACGCUGAAUGUAGCGAGCCAACCAUGAAUUGGGUAUGUUCACACGAGGGAUGGGAGAGGAGAGGAACAUUAACAUUUUUCAUGAUUUGGAUAAAAAUUUCAGUUUGUAGUUUCUCCGUACGUGGCAACACACUAGCGGUACUCAUGGGCUUAGGAUGAAAGUAGCGCCAGCAGAAUCAGUUGGUUGGAUGGAAAGGCGGUUGUUGCCCUUGUCCCUUGGUGCUAGCCUACCGUGGCGGCCUCACUAACUUGCUCAUUGUGAAUACGAGUUUGUGGGGUCGCGAGUUGCUGCAGAUUUGUUUUUAUCACUUUUUACAAUAUUUAUUGAUGUAUCCCUAACUCAUCGAGUCAUUUUUAGCUUUGAUUUCCCACAUACGCCAGCCUAAAUAUCCCAUGGUCAGAAUAUUUGCAUGGUUAGUGGACAUUGUCCCUUUCUUUCUAAUGUUUAGUAUUUUAUAUUGCCGAUAGAAAUAAUUUUAUCCGCUUGAUUUAGGAAGUGCACAUAGGUAGGUCAACAUAUUUUGUAGCUCUUUCAGAUGUAAAAGUAUAUGUUGCAUAAGAAAUUAUUAUCUUCCAAGCAUACUCACAUUUCACUAACAAAUAGGGGGAGGUUCAGAUUUCAGAGCAAUGAUAAAAAGGUUUGUUCCUCACUCUUUUGUUGGAAUUUUAGUUCCAAGUUAACAUGAUUUCUUAUCCGCUUCAUAAGUCAUGCAUUUGCUUAAUUAGGUGAUAAGUAGAGCAAAAAAAAUUGAUCAUGUUAUUGUGGGGUUUGUUUAAACUCCAACAUAAGGAAUUCUGGUUUAAGAAAAAAGACUUUUGGCUUCUUUAAUUACAAAUUGAUUGCAACAUCGUGUUAGUAUGUGAUUUCUCACAUCUGGUUAUAAUAUUUGUGAAGACGUGCAUUGCACGUGCACUUGGAAGCGGGCCCGUGGCCCGCGUUGGACGGUGCCGACGCUGACCCGGGCCACCUCCUCCGCGUAUUCUUGGAGCUGUGGCUGGCCGAUUUACAUGAAAUUAAUUCCCUCAGUUCUGGUGGCAAAUAUAAUACACAUAAUCCAUAUAGUUAUGCACUAGCUAGUGUGUGUGUGAAAUAGAUGGAUUAUGGUUCCGUACCCAAAGAUGGAUAUGUGUGUGUGUUAGAGAGAGAGAGGGGGAGAGAGAGUGAGGAAGAGGGAGGGAGAGUGUGUGUGUGUGAGGAUUUGAUGGUAAAAAAGGUCGCCAAUGUCGUAAUAUUGAACUCUUAAAGUUAAUGUGGCCCCGUUGCAACGCACGGGUGUUCUUCUAGUUUAUUUUAGGUCCCACAUGACAAUAUAAGUGCAUUUGUUUAUUUAUAUCUCUUGAAAGGCGACGCGGCGUUUUGUCUCCUAGGUGCAUAUGUACCCAUUGUCGAAAUACACAUUUCGAAAAGUUGAAAAAUUCGUAACAAAAUUUCCAUGUGUAUAUCCGGACAUUUUAUGUGCGUUCACAGGGUUUCGGUGAAAAACGACGUUUUUAUGGCUUGUGUAAAAAAGAUAAAGAAAUGCGUCGUGAAUAGUUAGAAUGAAGCAUCUGAAAUUGUCUCUUUUACACAAGCCACAAAAAAGUCGUUUUUCACUGAAACCUUGUGCACGCACAUAAAAUGUUCGGAUAUACACGCGGGAUUUUUGUUCCGGAUUUUUCAACUUUUCAAAAUGUGUAUUUCGACAAUGGAUGCAUAUGCACCUAGGAGCCAAAGGCAAUUACCGCUUGAAAUGUUGCUAGUCUCACAUGUGGGUAAGGGUUCUUUUAUUUUAUUGGUGAAGGUUGUCAGUCUCAGAAGUGAACUCACCACCAACUCCAACCUUUAUAAGUAGGAAAGAUAUGGACAAGGCCUAUUAAACGGCAAAGAUUAAUUUAAGGAGAAAGCAAGAAUUGGCAACAUCCAUCUAUUAGGCUUAUAUAUGUAACAUGGCCGGAUAUCAAUCUAACAUGGAAACGAAGCUGACAAUAUGAAAUCUAGAUGCCUUUCAGUUUUAGUAUAACAUUACGAUAACUACCUUUAUCUUCUUUGAGGGAAGACAAAAGAAUCAACCAGGUUCUCGGCUCCAUGGUCAUAUACAAUUUCAAGUACUCUGAUGUCACUAGGAUGGAGACAAGGAUUAUUUUUAUAUUGCAACUUUUCCAACAACAAUUGUUGUUUUAUAUUUCCCCAUUAUCUUCAGAAAAGUACGGCCAACCAUUAUCCUUCUGCUCUUUGCUGUUUUUUGUAAUUCUGAUGUACACUUGACCAUAUUUUAAUUCGCUUGUUUCGUCCAAACAACCAAUAAGAACAUGGCCUUUCCGAACAUGAAUCUUACAUCUAGUUCUUAUGUCAGUCAGCCUAUUAUCUUGAUGGGCCUUAAGAAUCAUCAACAUGCAAGGCUCUAAACUUGGUUCAUAACCUUGCAGUAACAUUUUCGAUGUCGUCUUUGUUUUAGCACUACCAAUUUUCCCUAGAACAGAGAGACCAACUUAUCUAUUCGUCAGCAUUUCAGCUAAUUCAUGCAUGUCAUCUUGUUGCAUUAACUCAAAUAUCUCAUCUUUUAUUCCAAAAGUCGAAAGGAGAGAUAGUUUUGCGAUUCAUAUAGCAUGGUUGGGCUUUGCUCCAACUUGUAGUGUUAAAAAUUGUAUUCUUAGAUUCGAAUUUCAUCAUGCUAGGCCGUAGAGAAAGAUUACGAAAGGAAUCAGGGUCGACAGAAAUAACUCCUUUGUAGCCACCAUACCUCGUUUGAAAAGCUGAAUAGUGAGCCAUUUCUUUGGCAAAUCUCUCAGACAUCUUCCCAAUACCAUCAGAAAAUAUGUAUUUAGUGCCAUCAGUGGUGACUUCAAUAUCUGGAAUCUCUUCCAUAACCCGUGGUAGGAUUUCAAUUAUUUUUCUAGAGAUGCUGAACAGCUGGCCCGCUCUAGUCGCACACUAAAAUAUUGAACGAAUUUCUUCAAAGUGGCCCAUCCACUUUCUUAUAUCCUCGGCCUUCACGGAAUCAUUAGAAUCAACCAACUAAACAGAACUUCCACGAAGUUGACUUGCUGAGAAGGCCAGGAAUUCAUACUUCUUUGGACCAAGGGAAAAUCCUUCUUUCAUGAUGGAUAAAAUGAGAUAAUACAAACCACUUUUCUAGGGUCGAGAAAAGAACCUCAUCCAGUUCUAGCAGAGAUAGCAUCUAGAAAAAAUAUCCAAGUUCCUAACAAAUACCGAAUAGGAAGAUACUCAACUGCUAGCCUAAAACAUCUUGAAUGCUUUUCACACCACUUGUGACUUUACUGCGGACUUUUACCAGUUACAUAUGGCUGAUGAGUUAUGACCAAGCUUUUCUUUAUGAAUUUUAAUAUUGUUUGCAAUGAGUAGGUUCUUAUAAGGUUUCAAAUCUCUCGUAAUGUUGUGUGCAACAAAUAGAUACUGACCAGGUUUCUUACUCUUGCACACCUUAUUAACAUGUUCUGCAAAAAGAUGCCACACAAACACAAAAGGCUUGGUGAGUUUUGUUGGAGAGUGCCAUCAACUAAAAGAGAACUCAAUUGUAAUCUUACAUUGGGUGAAUUUUGUUUUCCAAGUUACACUUACACCUGUUAAUUUUGCGAUGGCAUUGGGCUUGUUUGGUCUAACUUACUCUAGUGCUUAUGUUAGCCAGCCAAUUCUAGCAUAACUCAGUGAUGGACCUGCUCUAGAUCUAGCAUUCGUGUAUACAAUCAACAGUUUACACGCCAUUACUAUGAACUAAAGCUCAAGAUCGCACUGAGAGGUUACUAAUUGAUUCCAUAAGGCAUAUUGGAGCACAAAAUCAUACUCAGAGAACAGAGCUGUAGACAUGAAAUGCCUGCAGAUAAACAUGUUGAAUCUACAAACUACAUAAUCGCAUAAAACAUCAAGGGCUCUAAUCUAAUCUUACUAUGUGAUGCUGCCUGUCGAUGCAGUUGAUCCCAUCAUAGUGCUGCAUCUCCACGUACUCUUCCCCGUCCAGCACCAACUUCUAUGCCCGACAAUGUAGCAUGCUUAGAUCGAUGAUUCAACAAUAAAACAUCGGUAAUCCCAACAACAUAAGAAGAGAGAAAAGGGCAUCAACCUGGGGCUUGGCCUCGAGGUCGGCGGGCUUGUGAAGCUCUGAUGAGCCGCCUCCAGCGGCCACCAUGGCGUAGCCCGCCCUACUGUCCGACGAGUUGCUGCGCGGCGGCUUGGCCGGGCGUCUCGGGUCGACGUUGUCGAAGUACCCGCACCGCGCGCCUGGCCUCCACCCGCACCGCCUCCUCGGGCGGCAAGUGCGGUUCGUUCCGUGCCGGCCACGUCGCUGCCAUGCAUGUUUAUCUGUAAUGGGAGUAUCAUAUACUAGUAUCAUGCAUAUGAUACUAGUGUAUGAUACUACAUUCGUAUUGCAUGAUAUCAUAUAUUGGUAUCAUAUAGGACUACAUCUAUUGUCAUCCAUGAUACAAAGUAGCACAUCAUUUAAUAUGAUACGGUAUCAUGAUAUUAUAAUCAAGGCUCUCUUUCUUCAUUUAAUUCUUUGCCACCUCAUCAUAAUUGCGUUGACAUGCAUGAUACUACCUAUGAUACUCCCAUUACAACCAACCUUAUAUUCUCUCCUCUCCUUUUGGCUCGCUCGGUGGUCACCUGGGCGGAGAAGGCUGGUUUUGCGCUGGCGGCGGCGCCCUGUUUGGGCGGUAGGGCACAAUUUUUUUCUUAACUGGGUAGAGCACAAUUGGGCAAGCUACAUGCCGUGAACGCGAUAGUCGUUCUUUUUAUGGCCAAAGAGGUAAUCGUUGAUCCUAUAAUCCGCUCCGUCCAUUUGUUUCGAAGCUUGUCAAAAUUCAAAAUGAAAAUGUCUUUCAUAAGAGGGUUUGCAAAAAAAUGAUUUUUUUCAGGAAAAACUGAAUUUAUUUUUUGCAAGGGAAGAAAAACUUGGUGAUAGAAUGAUUGCAUGGAUGUUCAACUCUGCACACAAAUACAUAAGAUUUUUCAUGGUAGAUUAGAGUGGACCAACAAUUUCCUCGGAAAUCAUGGGCAAUGAAAUCAUAAGAAAGAAAAACCUAAUGGAUUGUGACAUUAUUAAUGAAACAAUCCACGUACGAAAAAUUGCUAACUACAACCUUAUAACAUUUCUUUGAAUUUUUUAUGGAAUUAGAGAGGUACUUUGGGAUUUAAGACCUUGACGCCAUCAUCUUUGGCGCGAAAACCGUGAAUCAUAGAUUUCAAAGCUGAAGUUGUCAGCGUAAAUGUGAAACUGAGUAAUUAUUGGUAUGCCUUUAAUUGAUUCUCUUUUGUAUUACUGCCAGUCCAUGGAUAAAUUUGUUAUGUCUUUACAUUCUUCAUCCUCUCUAAAAAAGGGAGAGCCCUACCUAACCCGGAUGUUGGUUUCCUUGGUAAACCCGCACAUCACACUGUAAAUUGCAUGUGUUUGGCACUUAUCAAAGUUCCAUCGCGCUUUGUCGUUUUGUUCGUUCGCUACAUGGGCACAUCGCUUUUCUUCUCUCGGCCUCUGGUUUCUAAUUGCCCACAUCUUCUCUUCCAGUCCACGACGAACUCCACCGCCCAUCCUUCCACGCCGCCGGCGUCAAAGAGGGGGGCGUCGCUAUACUGCGAUGCCAAAAAUGAGGGCCAUGCAACCUUCACCGUGACUCCGUGAGAAGGCCCUAUUUAUCUCGGCGAGUAUGAGAUACUGUCAUACCGAGUGUGGACACCUUUUCUAGGCUGUGAUUUCAUAUUAGGGGCUUGAUACAAAGUUUAGAAUGCUAGGCACUGACAACAAGAUUCUCUAAAUUACAAUAUGGUAUGUCUUAUGAGAGUUCGAGAAGAACAUAUUGGUCAUGCACAACUUAACCAAAACAAAGACUCAGCUAUCGAAUGGUGAUUUAUGUGUUAUUAGAGCAUCUACAGCCGAACAUGGUAAAAUUCGGCCCCUCAAACACUCGUGGGAGCGUUCGGGCGCAUCCGCGAGCACUGACAGGUCAGUCCUCAAAUAUCGUCGUCCACGUCCAUGUAUCUCAUAUCUGACCCCCCCAUAUCUAUACUAAACCAUGCAACAUUGAUUAAAAAAAUGCGUGUAUUAUGAGCGGACAGACAAAUGCACAAUCCGUUCACCAAAAGAUCACAAACCGGAUGUUUGAAAGAUAGCCAAAGUUCACAUAAUGCACAUAAUACGGUAGACAAAUUCAAACUACAUCCAAGAACUUGAAAUUGAGGUGAAGAAGAUGGAUCUUCACGACUUCCUCGCCGGCCCUUUCCCCUUUCGGUCAAUGACACUGCUGUAGGCAUCGGUGGCGGGUGGAGGAUCGCCUGAGUCAUCAGACGAGGCGUUGUGGUCGUCACUGUCGGAGGAGGAGAGGACGACCAGCCCUUUGAGCCGUCGGACGGCCCUGUCUUUCUGACGUUUGAGCUUCGCCACUUGAGUUGCCUCCACCGCUACCUCCACUGCCUCGCGCUUUGACUGCUCAAUGGAAGCUGGAGCUCCUUGGCGUUCUUUCGAAGGAGCCGCCGAGCAUCCGUCUCCACCGUUGCAAGCGACCGGCGGUACACCCAAGCGAGGAACCACUCGUCCUCAUAUCGGUGGCGCACGGACUGCUCCGCCGCCUUUGUUUCCCUUGCCCGAUGCCUCUCGCGGCGGGCGGCGCGCGCCUACGAUUUCGGAGUGCCUGUCCGUGCGGGCGGUGCAGGCACUAGCACCCGCCGCUGCCUCGCGUGGUGCAGCAAACGACUCCUCGCAAAGCUGCACGUGGGCAGGGAGGUGCCUGCGCCGGUGUCCUCGCUGCGCCGACGGGGAGAGGCGAGGCGGCAGAUCCGGAACUGCCCCCGUGUCCACCUUGGACCUCUCGAGGGCAAUGUGGAGGGUCAACUCAUCGUCGAUGUCGGGGUCGGAGUCGGAGCGGCUGUCAGAGCUCGACAUGGGCGCCGGAGUGGAUCAAAUCGGAGAAAUCGAAGGAGGAGAAGAAGAGACGGAGCGAAAUCGGAGUGAGGUAGGGUUUAUGGAUUGGAGAUAUUUGUGGGGACGGUGUGGGGUCGGGGUGGACCGGAUUGACAUGGCGGACGCGCCGGGUCGCGCCCGGGCCGAUCUAUAUCCGCUCCAUAUUUGGGCUGGAUAUGAGGGGCGUCGGACAGCCCAGGCAUUUGACGCCCAUUUGAGACGCCCAUCGAGGUCGAGUUUCGUGACCGGGCAGUCCGUCCGGAUAUUUGAGAUGGAUUUGAGGCGCCCGGCUGUAGGUGCUCUAAACUAGUCUCUGUUCAUGUUUAGAUGAAGCUUCGAAGCAAAUGGAAUCGGAGAGAGUUACGUGUGGUGUUCGUCAGGAGUCACGAUCACAGCCUAUAAGGACGGAUUAUACGCAAAAAUCACUAUUCUGACCUGUGAAUGAAACAAUAUCACAAAAUGAAUCGUUGGCGAAAUUUUUUCACCCGACUGACUUUUUGUGUAACGCCCGACAACUAUGCGUCAUACUGCACUGUGCAGCAUCUGACCGACAGACGUUGCACGUUCACAGGUUAAAUUUGUCGUUUUUGCCCGGAUUAUAGAAACACGGAUUACCGCUUUCAUCAUCAGGAAACGACUAUCGUGUUCACGGCAUAUCGCUUGCCCAAUCGUGCCCUGCCGAGUUUAAAAAUAUUGUGCCCUACCGAGUUACUACCGCCGCCGCCGCCGCCGCCGCCGAGCCCGGAAUCGGAGACUCAGGUGACCACCGAGCGAGCCAAUAGGAAAGGAUAGAAUACAAGCCGCCCAGGAGGCGACGCGGCCGGAGCGGAGCGAACCGCUUUGCCGGCAGAGGAGGCGGCGUGGGUCCUCCAGGCUGCGGGUAUUUCGACAGCGUCGCCCCGAUACGCCCGGCCAAGCCACCGCGCAGCGACCCGUCGGACGGUGGUGCGGGCUGUGCCGUGGUUGCAGCGGGUGGCGACUUGCCGGAGCUCCGCAAGCUCUGCGAUCUCGAGGCCAAGCCCCAGGUUGACGCCCUUUUCUCUUUCCGGGAGUUCGAAUUUCUGACGUCAUACUGCUGAACCCAUCGAUGUAAGCGUGUUGCGUUGUCGUGCACAGAAGCUGGUGCUGGAUGGAGGGGUUGCGAACGGGGAAGAGUACAUGGAGAUGCAGUACUACUAUGGGAUCAACUGCAUCGACAAUCAGCAUCACACGGUAAGAUUAGAUUAGAGCCCUUGGUGUUUUUUGUGUGAUUAUGUAGUUUGUAGAUGCGACAUGUUUGUCUGCAGGCAUUUCGUAUCUACUAUUGUGUUCUCGGAGAAUAAUUUGUGCUCUAGGACGCCUUAUGGAACCAAUUAGUAACCUCUCACUGUGAGCUUGAGCUUUAGUUCAU